GUGAGGGUGGAUCUGUGAAGCUGUCACAUUGCACAGCCCACAUCCAGCCAGGGCUGAAAGACACCGAGCUGUGAGAGGUCCUAAUCAUCAUCCCUCCUUCUCACACCCUCUAAUCUCCCCAGGAUUUACUGACAGCCAUAACAAAGUGCUUGUUUCCCUGGGAGAGGUACCCAGCAUCACUUACCCUGUGUGCACCCACCUUGACAAGAGUCUGCCUGGUGAUGGGGGACAAAGGAACCAGGUUAGUCAGUGCUCCAUCCCUCUGAUACAUUGUAACAGCUCCCAUCUCAUUGGAAUAUCUCAUUGUGGGUCUGCAGCCUGGGGAUUGUGUGCAUUGCUUGUCAGUGUACAAUGCAAGUAUUGCAUGCUGGGGGUCCAUGGGGGACCCCAAUAUAGGCCAUUUUAUUCUAGGAGUUCCUGCUGAUCCUGGCUUUAUCUCUGGCAGGUUAAUGGUUCACCAGGCAGAGGGUUGGAAGGGGAAAUGUGUGUUUGUGUUUCCAUAUUGCCUGUGAAGGCAGGAUUUAUUGACACUGGGAUUUUAGGAAGUCACACUGCUUCCCAGCUUCCCUUAGCUCUAACCCUACAGUUUAUUCAUGGUGAGUGGGGUGCAUAGCUUCAUGAAGGAAAGAGCUAGCUCUUGGUUUGGGGGUACUGGGGUGCUCAAUGUAAAUAAACCAUUAUUUUAUUGCAACAUAUAGGAUCCUAUUUAUAAUGUCAUAGCUGUUUAGAGGCAUUUGUAAGGGUUAACAAGGCAAGGACUGCAGCUCUCAUCAUCCGCAGCCAGACGGAUACAUUAAAGAGUUUAUUUUCCAAACAGUGAACUAAAAGCUAAGCUGCUAAAUUGGCUAUUUUGUAAUCAUUCCUCAGCCAUAGUGUCAGGCUGGCUAGCUUGGCCACAGUGUCUCAGUUUGUGAUACAGUGUUUAGUAAAUAGACCCGAGUGGUGCUGAUGGAUGUGGGGUUAUUCUGGGACCUAAUUUGCAACAAGAGCCAAAAUAAGUCAAUUGGGUCUAUUUCCUAAACAAUCAGUGUGUCAAAAACAACUUGCAAAAUUCAGUCUAAAAUAAUAGAUUUUUUUCCAGUUGGUUAUUGGUUACUAUUUGCUCCACCAACUAGUAACUGUUAGUGAACUAAAACUCCCAUAAACCGUAGCUCCUUCUUACGUCAUAUUAUAUUACUUAUAUUUGUGACUCCCAUAGCUUGGGGUCCGGUAUUUGAGGAGCCCUGCGUUAAUGAAGAAGUAACACAGCAAGUCCAAGAAUCAAUGGCUGGCUGAACCUAAUGAGUGUGGUAACCACUAGUAAUGAUAGUAAUAAUACCUGCCUGGAUAAAAGCUGACCCUGUAGUAUCCUGUUCCGCUGUCUCAUUACACAGGUGUAUUUAUCGGCCUUAACCUGGAUAUCUAAAUAUGUCAUUUAAAAAAAAUACACUUUUUAAAAUAUAAAAUGUGUUCACCAAACCCAGAACUUAAGACAAUUGGUUAGAGAAUUUAAAUGUUUAGGCUAAAUUUACCCAGUAGGAAAUAUAGCGGAUUUGUCCUAAAACACUAUACUGUGGUAAUGGUAGUUAUUGUAUAAUGACAGCAGAUGGUAAUGGGAGUUAUUGUAUAAUGACAGCGGACGGUAAUGGGAGUUAUUGUAUAAUGACAGCGGAUGGUAACGGGAGUUAUUGUAUAAUGACAGCGGAUGUUAACGGGAUUUAUUGUGUAAUGUCAGCGGAUGGUAACGGGAGUUAUUGUAUAAUGACAGCGGAUGGUAACGGGAGUUAUUGUAUAAUGACAGCAGGUGGUAACGGGAGUUAUUGUAUAAUGUCAGCGGAUGGUAACGGGAGUUAUUGUAUAAUGACAGCGGAUGUAACGGGAGUUAUUGUAUAAUGACAGCAGAUGGUAACGGGAGUUAUUGUAUAAUGACAGCGGAUGGUAACGGGAGUUAUUGUAUAAUGACAGCAGAUGGUAACGGGAGUUAUUGUAUAAUGACAGCAGGUGGUAACGGGAGUUAUUGUAUAAUGACAGCGGAUGGUAACGGGAGUUAUUGUAUAAUGACAGCGGAUGGUAACAGGAGUUAUUGUAUAAUGACAGCGGAUGGUAACAGGAGUUAUUGUAUAAUGACAGCGGAUGGUAACAGGAGUUAUUAUGUAAUGGCAGCGGAUUGUAACAUGAGUUAUUGUAUAAUGUCAGCCGAUGGUAAUGGGAGUUUUUGUAUAAUGACAGCGGAUGGUAACGGGAGUUAUUGUAUAAUGACAGCGGAUGGUAACAGGAGUUAUUGUAUAAUGCCAGCGGAUGGUAACGGGAGUUAUUGUAUAAUGACAGCGGAUGGUAACAGAAGUUAUUGUAUAAUGCCAGCGGAUGGUAACAGGAGUUAUUGUAUAAUGACAGCGGAUGGUAAAGGGAGUUAUUGUAUAAUGACAGCGGAUGGUAACGGGAGUUAUUGUAUAAUGACAGCGGAUGGUAACAGGAGUUAUUGUAUAAUGCCAGCGGAUGGUAACAGGAGUUAUUGUAUAAUGACAGCUACAGGUAACGGGAGUUAUUGUAUAAUGCCAGCGGAUGGUAACAGGAGUUAUUGUAUAAUGACAGCUACAGGUAACGGGAGUUAUUGUGUAACUUUCUAAUUUUAUCGAUACUUUAUACUUUAUAAGUCUGUCGCUAAGUCUGUCGCUAAAAUUCCUGCUGCUACUGUGUGUAAGUGUUAGUAAAUAGUGGCUGCAGAAUUUCCCCUGUAAUGACAGGGAGCCGUGAGCCGCCAUUAUUUUUUGUCACUUGCUAAGUAUUGGCUGAGAGCUCCCAUUAUUCUCUUUGGAAGCUGCUAAUUGCAUGUAAUAACUGGUUUCUUACUGGUUGGCAUCCCAACUUCUGGUCGGGUGGAAAGAAAUUAAAGGGAAACUAUAAGCAUCAAUACAACUCUAGUGUAAUGGAGUGGUUUUGGUGUGUAGAUUUAAAUGAACAAUUCGCAUAGCAAAAAUGAACCACAAAAGUUAUACAUUGUAUUCACCGUCUAUGUCUCCUGGGCCGUUUUACCAGCACGGUGUGACGGUUUAUACUUUGUUUCCGUGCUUUACCAGUGAACGGCUAAUUAGCGAGUGGUCUGUAUCAAUGGAAGCAGACAAUAUUAUCAGACAGUCAACAAAAAGUAGUGACAAGAUUGGAAACCAGUCAGUCAUUAGUAGCGGCUGCAACCUAUCAGCUGUUGUUAAUGGCGACAGCUUAUGGCAGCAAGAAGUAUAUUUGCUGGAUAUACGCUACUGUGCAGAAAAAAGGUGUUUUUGUAUACGUCAUUUAGUUUAUCAAUAUGUUUUGGAUAAUAUUCAGUUUAUAGCUUGGAGUGGCACUGACCUCUGGGGACGCAAUGAAAUCAUUCUCUAAAGGGAUACAAUGGGCACCCUAACCACUGUAAGCUGACAGCUCUCUGCCAAUUAAUACCAUUGAAUGGAGCCAGAAAGACUGUGAGUUCAAGGUAAGUAUCAAACCGUUUGUAAAUUAUUAAGCAGCCAGUGACUUCUGGCACCAUAAUUACUACCGCGCAAAGACAAAACUAUGCUUAAUCCAGCAAACCUAUAAGAUACAACUAUACAAAACACUCGCAUAUAAAUAUAUAAAAAUUAUGCUAAAUACACAAGAGUAAUAAAACUAUGACACCUGUGGUAAAUCAAUCGAGCAAAGCCUAAUGCAUCUAAACAGCUUUGUGCAUUGCCAGCAUUAACAUGUUUCUAUUAAUUGUAUUAUACCUGCACUAAUAGAAUUGUACAAAGGGUAUUACACCCGGAUUUAGGGAAUUAUAUAAAGCCUAUCACGCAAGCACUAAUAUGGCUGUAUUAAACUCAGUAAUGACAAGUAUUUUUAUGCCAGCAUUAAUACAGCUGUAUCAGACGUAAAGGGACACUCCACAGCCAAAUACAAACACAAUAAAAAAUCACUGGUUUAGUAGAUAUAUCCCAAAUGAAACAUGCAGGCAUUUAAUCCUGCAUUUUUUCACUCAGGGUAUCUCUAAUUAUGGCUUACAUACAAUGCAGAUCUCUUGUCUGUGGCUUUGCAAGCCCUCCCCUUCUAACCCCGCCCAUACUUUCUGUGGCUGUCCAAUCACAGACUUUCCAAUGCAGCUUAAUGAGAAGUCUUUACAAGGCAGGUGCACUGGGCAAUUGCUGCCUCUUGGGUUAAUCUCCACCCAGCUAACCAAACCAAGAAGUAACAGGACCGGUUGUUUGAAUUAUUACAUCAACAGUAAGACAGCUAUAUCAAAAAUAUUAAAGAAAUCCUAUAGUGCCAGGAAAACAAAUCAGUUUUCCUGGCAUUAUAAGGUUAAUAGUUCCCCCCCUCCCUCCCAUGAAAUGGGGUUUCCCACACAAACAGACACGGUCACAUCCCAAAAUCCGCCCCCUCCCUGGGACCCUAGCACAGGAAGGGACUUUAUUCCCUUUGUCCCUAAAGCCCGCCACUGUGAACACAGGGUUUUCCACACUAGCCAACAGGAGGUCCUCUUCCCAGGGGCCUCUGUGCCUUGGAGUCCAGGCGCAGGAAAAAGGGAGCGUCCCUUUGUCUCCCAGGCACAGAAAAGCCUGCUUAAGGGAAAAGAGCUGGUGUCUUUGUCCCUGCAGGCACCGACAAGCCUGCCAACCUAACCAGUGCCCCAUGAGUGUUCCCACCAACCUCAGGGAACCUAACAGCGUUGCCUUACUCGACCAGACUCAGUUUGCAAGGUCCCUGUGUGAAACCCAGCAAGGGAUGCGUCACCUUUCGGGAUACGAAUGCUACCCCUGGGUGGCAUUCGUCUAUACGAAAUAUCAGCCACCCACGGUAGCACUCAUUAAUUACUUCCCUUGCGGUUCCACACUUAUGUUGCGAGUGCGAACGUUCUGAUUAAUUGGUAUGAACGUUCCAAUGGGGCACCGGGGAGGUCCUCGUUCGAGAGACCAACGAGUUGGGAAAUAAUCCAUGAAUGCUCCCCAUGGUGGCGUUCGCCUGUGUAUGAAUGGCGGCCACCUAGGGAAGCACUCAUUAACUGUUUCCCUUUGCAGUUUGUGGUCUGACACCUAUGUAGCAAGGUGUGAAUGUUCUAACCUAACAUUUUAAAUGAGGUAUCGGGGUGGUCCCCGUUCGGGAGGUGAAUGGAUUCCCUUCAUGGAAAACCUCCCGAACGGGGAGCGGGCACAAUAAACAAAAGAAUGGGGAAAACACACACAAUUUAAAGAAAGUCAAUUUAUGGACAGGCAGUAGUUCCGCCAAAAGCAACUUACCUGAAUCCAGCACCGAUGUCCCUCGCUGAAUGUGCCCACACUCCUCCCCCGCUAAUGUCUGCUGGCAGGUGAGACCUAAUGCGCAUGCACCGCAAUGGCAGUGUCAACCUUUUUCUACCUACUGCCCACUAAUGCAUCUUUUUGGUUGAAAAAAUUUCCUUACCGCCCACCAGCUUUCGCGCAAGUGCGGAAUAUUUUUUCAAAGGAGGGUGUUUUAAAAAAAAAGAAAUGUACGUACGUUUAUCUUUUUAUUUCUACUUAAUGCAUGUUUAUAAUGUUUUUAACUUUAUAAAGUUUAAUGAGAAAACAAUAAAGUAAAUUGAAAUUACCUUGGUUGAUGCUGCAAGACUAAAUAUUUCAUAUCUGGUUCGAUUUUCGUAAGGAACAAACGAUGGACUCCUCUUCUGGUGAUAUUCAGACGACUUCUCUGAUUGAGCAUAAUACGAUUUCUCAUCUGUGCGUCAGCUUCCCUCCUCUCCCUCCUCAAUUCCCCUCCCCCCCUUUUUUCCCCCCCUUUUUUUUUUUUUCAAUUUUUUAACCUUCCUUAUAGCAAUGCCCAGUAGGAAGGAUUAGCUAGGUAUCCCACUUACUAUUACUUACUAUAGCCCACUAUAACAGACAGGCACACAUACGUACAUACAUACAUACAUACAUACAGACAAGACACACAUACAUACAGACAGACAGGCAUACACAUACAUACAGACACACAGACAGGCACACAUACAGACACAAAAACACACAAGACACAUACAUACAAACAGACAGGCACACAUACAUACAGAAACACACACACAGACAUGCAUACAGACACACACAUACAAAGACACACACACAAGACAUACAUACAAAGACACCUACACACACAACAUAUACAUACAAAGACAAGACACACAUACAUACACACAUAUAUACAGACAGACACACACAUAUAUACAGAAAGACACACACACACACACACACAAGACACAUACAAAGACACACACAUACAUACAAAGACACAUACAUACACACACAUACAGACACAUGCAUACAGACAGACACACACAAGACAUACAUACAAAGACACAUACACAAACAAACACACACAAAAUAUUUUAGUCACCCUCCUGUUUCCUACCUUUUAGGUGCAGGAGGGUGACUUUCCCUGGGGUCCAGUGGUGGCUCAGGUGGAUGGGAGUCCCCACACUGACUCCCUCCUCCUUCCUCCCGUGGGGUCUGUGCAGGCCCGGACUGGCCAUCGGGCACACCGGGCAAAUGCCCGGUGGGCCGCGGUGGCCGUGGGGCCGAGGCCGGCAGGGGAGGUCCCAGGACAUCCCCUGCCGGUCUAUGCAGGGCCGGCACUAUGCGAGCGCCGGCCCCGCUGUCUUCCAUGGAGGGCCGGUGGGGAGAUCAAAGCUCUCCCUCACCGGCCCAUUUAAACAGACCUGCGGCUGGGGAGAGAGGGAGAGGACCCGGCGGAGCUCUAUCUUGUAGCUCAGCCGGGGUCCUCUCGCGAGAUCGGGAGCGUUGCCAUGGCAACGCCCCGAUCUCGCGAGAGUCACCAUUGGACCACCUGGGAUCGUGUGUGAGUGCUGGUCCCCCCACUCACCAGCGUGCCGGACCCCUCCUCCUCCCAGGCUACAGGUAAGGGGAGGGGGGGGGGGGAUAAUGCAUGAUUAGUGUUUUUGUUUAUUUACCCCCCCUUAUUUUUUUUUAUUUGUAUAUUUAGUCCCACUUAGGUUUUUAUUUGUUUAUUUACCCCCUAACACACAACAUUUAUACACAGCACUCUCACACUCAGCACACUCAGCACUCACACACAUACACAACACUCACACACAUCAUACACAGCACUCACACACAUACACAACACUCACACACAUCAUACACAGCACUAUUACACUCAGCACUCACACACAUCAUACACAGCACUCACACACAUCAUACACAGCACUAUUACACUCAGCACUCACACACAUCAUACACAGCACUAUUACACUCAGCACUCACACACAUCAUACACAGCACUNNNNNNNNNNNNNNNNNNNNNNNNNNNNNNNNNNNNNNNNNNNNNNNNNNNNNNNNNNNNNNNNNNNNNNNNNNNNNNNNNNNNNNNNNNNNNNNNNNNNGCUGUAUUCACAAUGUGAAGGUUAAACAAAUUUAGAUGAUAUGAUCUAUCCAGGAGGAUGCAGCAUAAAGUAUAAAAUCAAAAUGAUGACGACUUUAUUUACUUAAAAAACGCACAACCCAUGGAUAAUGAUGUCAUUCUGCGUUAACUAAAGACAUAUUUUAUUUCCUGACCUCGUACUAUGUCAGGAAUAAUGCUAACUGGCGCACAGACCCUACCAACGCAAUCCAGGGUAAAGGAGAACACAGAAAUACUGCUUAUAAAACUUAAUGUGGAAUUUUACUAAUCCAAACAUUCUCCUGUAAGUGUGAUAUUAAAUCUGAUGGAAUUGCAAGCCAGGCUCACGUAACAACGUCACUGCUGGAGCAGUGGAGGAGUUAAUGUCUCUGCAAAUAUUUAUAAUCCGCUGACCUUUCCGACGUGUUAUUUACUAUCUGAAAGAAUUUCCCUGCAGUGACUGCACACAGCUGUACCAUAGCUGCGUGCGUUCAGCAAUGGGGUUGAGCUGGUGAAAGGUCUUGGAAGUUCACAUACCCUCAAAAGCAUUUGUAAAAUCUAAAUAAUCCCCCAGCAAAGGGUCACAGCAGCUCAGCAAAGAAAAAAGGUCACAACUUCAAAACUCUUGUCAGUAAAGUUCNNNNNNNNNNNNNNNNNNNNNNNNNNNNNNNNNNNNNNNNNNNNNNNNNNNNNNNNNNNNNNNNNNNNNNNNNNNNNNNNNNNNNNNNNNNNNNNNNNNNCUCCUCAUCCCAUAAUCCUCUUCACCUACUGCUUUAACACCGCCAGUUUCAGAUCGAGCCCUCCAAAUAAAUGUCACCCUACCUGCCUAUUGUCUGCUUCAUCAAACCCAGUGAUGUGUGAUAUUUGCUGAUGUCUGUUAGUGCCUAAUAGGGACUAAUGAUGAUGUCUGUAUUGCUUUAAAGGAACACAAAUGUAUUCCUCACCCUGUAGUGUUAAAACCACCACAUAACCCCCCAAAGCCGCCUCUUGCCUUCCUAAAUAUAGCAAAAUCUUACUUGUAUUCAUGUCUGCAGCUGCUGCCUCUGCCUCUGACCUGCCUACUUACAGCUGACAUAAUCAGAAGUGAUUCUGUGAGCCAAUCACAAUGCUUCCUCAUAGGAUUAGCUAAGCCUGUCAAGGAGGUAGAUCAGGGGCAGAGCCAGCACAAGCCAAACACAGCCCUGGCCAAUCAUAGAGAUACAUUAAAUCAAUGCAUCUCUAUGAGGAAAGUUCAGUGUCUCCAUGCAGAGGGUGGAGACACUGAAUGUCAGUCACAUUGUGCAGCACUGCCCCAGGAAACAUCUCUAGCAGCCAUCUGAGGAGUGGCCAGUGGAGGUAUCACUAGGCUGUAAUGUAAACAUUGCAUUUUCUUUAAAACAAGCAGUGCUUACUGCAAAAAGGGACUGAUUCUACUCACCCAAACAAAUACAAUAAGCUGUAGUUGUUCUGGUGACUAUAGUGUCCUUUUAAGUAUGCUUGAUACUGUGCUGUGUCACACAAAUGUUUGUGUGGUAAAAAAUAUUUUUUUCAAUUGAAAACAAAAAGUGAUGGUGUGAGUUGUAACCAGACACCUGAUGACAUACCUCCUCCCUACAUUAGGACUAUCAGGCAAGAUCCGGGACAUUUGAGAGGUAUGCAUGAUGCAGUAUUAGCCUAUCAAGCACCAAAUAAUUGUUCUUUAGCCAGGAGAUCAUUACGUGCCACUCAGAACUGUAUGCCAUGCAUUUGACAUCUGUGCUCUAAAUCCUGUGACUUAAAAUAUUCAGUUUGACUUUAAAAUAAUGUCUAUUGUGUAGUGGUUAUGGUAUAUGGGAGCUGUCCAACUGUUUUCUGUCAAACCAUUUUGGUUGUUUAACAAGAGGAAUUCUCCCCAGCACCCAGAGCCAGGAUUGUCUUCAACCUCAUUGAUAAUACAGAAAUCUANNNNNNNNNNNNNNNNNNNNNNNNNNNNNNNNNNNNNNNNNNNNNNNNNNNNNNNNNNNNNNNNNNNNNNNNNNNNNNNNNNNNNNNNNNNNNNNNNNNNACUACAACGGCUGAGAGUGCCUAGGGUGGGAUUGGUGCAGCAGGCUAGCCCAGCACUCUAAGCCUGUCAUUGCCAUCCGAGGUUGGACAGAUUUACACUUGAAAAUGCAGAUGGAUAAUUACUGGUACUGAAUAGGGACGUAGCUAUGGCCCUUAUUUGAAUCAUUUCAGCAUGCAGUUGUAUUGUCAGAGUGUAGCUAUAUUUAUAUAAAUAUAUGAAAAUGGUUCUUCAAAGAAAAAAAGUAAAUACAUGAUUAAGUAAAAGCCACAUCUCCGGCUGGAAUCCCAGUUACUUCUACCUGGUUUGUGACAGAUUGUCUGAUGUAGCGAGGCGUUGGGAAUCCGGAGUGUAUGUGAGGAAAUGGCUAUGGCUCUGUAUCUGUAGGGUGGAAAGAGCUAUACGGAAAUGUAAGGAAUCAGGGAACAGAGAAGGUAUUCCUGGAAUGUACUGUUUGUAAAACCAGCCGCUGCACGCUCAGGACAACAUUAAAUACACGGGGAAGCAAAGAACAGCGCAGUCCAAGAUGGCUUUCAUACCUCAGAAACAACAAAGCGCUACGGAAUCUGUUGGCGCUAUAUAAAUGGCGAUAAUAAUAAUAACAAAGUCACCUGCGCACUUUCACUUAACUCUUAUAUAUUGUCUCACUAGUCUCCAUGUAACGCAGGAGGUUAAUGAUCCAUUUACCCCUAAUCUUUAUAUAACCCUUUUGUUACAAGGGGCUCGGUAAAUCNNNNNNNNNNNNNNNNNNNNNNNNNNNNNNNNNNNNNNNNNNNNNNNNNNNNNNNNNNNNNNNNNNNNNNNNNNNNNNNNNNNNNNNNNNNNNNNNNNNNUCAUUUUACCUGUAGAUCCUGGAGAGAUUUAAAAUAGAAUUUGUCUCAAAAGCAAAUACAGUGUAUUAACCCCUUCCCUCCCAGCUCUUUGCGUACUACGGGCUAGAUUGCAUUCUGCCCCUUUUCUCCAGGGCUGUGCCACGGGACCUGCAAGAGUUAAAGUGAAACUCCUGGAUUGUCACGGGAGACGUGAUGAGGACAGCUUUACCAAUAAUGUCUGUGCAUGUUGUACUUAUAUAAUACAGGUAUCUGUCUUUAACCCGGCAGCUAUACGUAUAUAUGGCAUUAUGUCCAACUACAGAUUUUAGGUUUAAAUUCUAGUGACAUUUUUGUGCAAUUCCCAAUAUUCCAAUAGGUUCCUUAAAAAUACAUGUAUGGAGGGUAUCCCUAAACAUAAAUCUAAUCAGAAAGUUUCGUAAAAUUGCCGCAAAUGUAAUUGCUAGCUAUACAUCCUGUGUUUCAUAUAUGUUUAAAGAUUUUAACAAAAAAAUGCAAAAAAUGUUUAGAUUUGAAGGGGUUAAAUUACAGUAAACAAUUUUGUUCCGUAGACAGGAAUAGUUAAGGAUUUAUUUCACUAUUUAGUUCUACAGAAUAACUUCAUUAAGAGGAAAGGUUGCCGUACAUACUUCCUGCCCCAGUGUAAUUGAAUGAAAAACAUCAGCAGGCAGGCCACAACUGGGUUUUCAGUUUGCUACAAUUCAGUGUUUAGUGAAUAAACCCUUUCACUUUAACCCCUAUAUAUACUCUGUGCUGUUUGUAUACGGUGUAAUCUUAAUGGCGCCCCUCCGGCUGUAUACUGGUUAAAAUCCUGUAUGUUUGACACAGCACACACCUAAAGGUUAGGUCGCAGUGAAAGAGGAUCAUUUCCCGAUUGUUCAACUCCCAAACACGGUCUGCGCUUUCCUUAUAUAGUCUAAAAUCACUAUAGGAAUCUGUGACAGAUUCAGCUAAUAUACAGGUCGGAUGACUUAUAGACAGACGUCCUAUCACAUUUUACAUUGUGUGCGUCUGUAGAAGCCUUAAAUAGUCCUGCAUACUGCGUGAAAUCCUCGGGUCUCUGACAUUUCAAAUCCCAAAUAUUUAAAGUGUUUAUUAACAGAGUCUAUAAAAAGACAAAAAGCGUGAAAUGCAGAUUAUUUAUGUAAGAUAUUUGACAUGAUUCAGAUCCAAGCAGAACUCACUAUUCAGGUGGAGAACAAAUUUCAGGGGAGAUGAGCUAGACGGCUAAUUCAUACUAUUUUUUUUUUUUAACUCAGUUACUUUGUAGGUAAACCAGCUAUUAAAAUGGUAAAUAAAUUUUACUGGUAUUUGAACCCUGGGAUUGACGCAUCAUUGAUGUAUAAUCACACAUUUUUUUAAAUAUAGGCUGGAAAUAGUCUCACUUUUUUUGUAUUUUAUACUUUGCUUACUCUAUGCUUUACUCAGGGCAGCAAGGGUAAAACACAAUACACGUAAAAGAAAAUAUAACAACCUGUUAAAGACGAUAUAAGAAUAUGCUGGUAUAUGGACGAAUCUAGAAAAUCAAUACACACCAGAUGCACAGGAAAAACAUCAGUAUGGCAACAUAGAGGAAAUACAUUGUUGCGGUCCAAGUUGGAACACACGCCGAACACAGCCGGAACGAAUAUUCAUCAACGUCUACUGAUUUAAGGUCGCCUGCAAAAGAAGAGUUUACAUCCCUGAAGAGGUCCCAUCAGUCGGACGAAACGCGUUGGAUUCUUACAUCGUUCUUUUUUAAAUGUACUUUUAUUUUAUGUUCAUUUCUCCACUGUGUCGGAGGGAUUCCUGCCAGCUGUACCAGAUCCUGAUUCCCGUAGAGUUCCACUACUAGUGGAGAUAUGUCUAAUAUUUUACAUUUUCUGUAAGUGCAAUACAAUCAUUUUUUCUUGGUUUUUAUUGUACUUCACUAUUGUGGUUUCUUUCUCUUCCGUAAUUUUUUACCAAGCAAUUUUCUUACCAAGAAGACCUUCGUUUCCAUACCCAUAGAAGGGUGAUGAGCCUGAAUUUUCUGUGUGUUUGUGAGUUUUUUACUUUCACUCACUGCGGUGGUUUUUUAUUACAGUAUUACGCUAUGGAUUUUUUAUGAUUUUCUAGAUUCUACCAUAUACCAGCAGGUUCUUAUAUCCUAUUUAACAGGUUGUUAUGUUUUCGUUUCCCAUAUUCUUUACUAUUUUAUCCAUAAUUUGAUGUAGCAUACAGCAGAACUCUGGAAGUUGAAAUAUAACUUAGUAACCAAUAAGUUGCUAGUAUUAUUUUGACUCUGUGCCAUUCACAGAGACCUAUUGAAACUAAAUUUUUCAAUAAAUCGUUAGAUUGCACUAGAAACUCUGUUUGCCAGUUUGAUUAUUCUUCCUAACCGUUUGAAUCAACAAGGGUGUAGAUGUGCGCUCAUGCUUCCUCAAAUUGUGAUCCCAGCAUCCUGCUCUUAUCUGGAUGUCAUGCUAUGAAAUCUGUCAUUAUUUUACGUAAUUUAUUUUAUGGACCAAGGACAAACUGGACAAACGUGGAAUACUGUAUAACUGUUCCAGAACUAGAAAAUCGGUAGAAUACCUGUUCUGUUCAAUUUGUUCCUAUCUGUCUGAUUAAAAGGGAACUGUCACUUCCCAGCAUUUUACAUGUCCUGCAUUAGUUAUCUCUCACAUUUCUUAAAAAUAUCAUUUAAGGGACAUUAUAGGCAUAAAAACGUUAGUUUAAUUAAGCCAUUUUGGUGUGUAGAUUUUGCCCCUGCAGUCUCUCUGCUCAAUUCUCUGCCAUUUAGGAGUCAAAUCACUUUUGUUUUUGUUGAUGCAGCUGUGACUCACACAGCCUGCAUGAAAAAAAGGUUUCAUUUUUAAUCACUAACUUAAGAAGUUUUUAUGUCCUGCUCUGCUAUUUGAACUUUAAUCACACACAGGAUGUGCAGUUGCACCAUCACAAUACCCUACCCUAUUCUAUGCAUGCGUCCUCCACAGAUAAUUUCUUGUGCAUGCGCGAUACCAGCAUUAGAAAACCCUACCCAAGACCAUGCAUGAGCAGUUCCUCAUUCAUACCCCUCGUCCUGCCCCCAGCCACAGCUUUCGUAUUAAAUCCAUAUAUUCACCCUACCGCAUCCUGCACACAAGCAUGCAGCCCUAUCAGGAUCCCAAAUCCCCUCCUGGUGAGAUGCAGGUGCCCCACACAGGCAAUCUGAUCAGCUGAAGUGGAAUCACUUUUGGUGCGGUCGCAUCACUGGAAGUGAUAAGGGUAGGGAAUUUUCACGGGGUAGGGAAAUUUGAUAAAACACCAACAAUUACUCCCUGCACGAGAAAUCUAGCACCCGUGGGUAAUCGUUUUGACUUUCUUGGGCCUCGUCAGCGAGGUGUAGCUAUUAUCCCUCCAGGCACAGUGAGGACAGGGUCCACGUCUGGAUUACCCUUUAAGCUUAGGGAGAGCCUAAGCAAAUGCCUUUUAAAAAAAACAAAGAAUAUGAGAACUCUGAGAACUGGUAGAAACUUGUCAGAAACUCAGUAGCAUGCGCACGCACUUUGAGCCAGUGUGUGUGGUCCAAUCAAAUGCUCCUCUUUCUGAUUAUUAAAGUGGGGGCGUGCUGUUUAGCUAGGCUGCGCAUGACAAGUCAAAAGGAAUUAUUUUCCAGAUCAGCUAUUUUACCCUCAAUGUUAAGAUUUCAAUUUGCAUUCAAUCCAAUUCUAUAGUUUAGUGGAUAACCAUAUGUACAGUAUCUUUAUAUCUUAACACUUACUACUUAAUUUCCUAGCACCAUUCAUAACAAAAUCCAUCAGUAUUUUUUUUUUGUAAGUGUGAUAGUGUGUGUUGGUUUGAAUCUUACCAGCUGCUGUGGUUUAUUGAAUUUCCAAAGUGACAGCAAUUGGUUUCCUUUGAGAAAAGUAGCCGCAAGGUUCACAGCCUCGAGGAAUCCUUCCUGUCAGGUCAGAGAGAUUACAAAAUGCUGACACCCAGAAUGCCUUGUGUUUUGCGUAUGCCUGAAAUAUUGAUGCUUUGCUGCUUGGGCCGAGCGUCCAUUUUUCAUGAAAUGCCAUAGAUGUCUGCUCAAACCAUCAUAUGCUGAUACUCUAUAAAUAAUAUAUAAUAAUAAUUACUCUGUGUGGCCAAUUUCAUCUCCCAGUUACUAAGAGCUAAAUCUGUGCUGCAUUAUGGCUCAUUUUUGGAACAGGCCUUUUUUAAGAAGUAAAAACACUAUUAACACUAUUAACACUAGUAUCAGUUCUAACUUAAUUUGCUGGUUUACAAAGGUCUCAGCAGGAGUGUUAUAUAUCUCCCAAGUGUGCCUAUUUUGGAGAUGCCGCCCUUCUCUAGAACCCAAAUACCAGGCUCUGCCCCUUUUCCUAUUCCUGUAUCUUUUUAACAGCAUGAUAUCAGGGCUCCCAGCAGUUCCAAUGUUGGGGUUCUGUCUGUCAGCCUGGCCUGCCCCUUUACUGGCUAUACCCACUCGCGGUCCAACCACCAUUUGGGAGGUAUUUAUUAUUGGGUGGCAUAACGUUAUGGGGAAUGUAGCAACCUCUGGAAAAUUAACGAAAAAUUAACGGUGUGUGAUUAUAUUGCAAUAAUCCUCGUUUACCCCAUGAUUGUCAAAAAUCAAUAUAGCGAAUAUAUUUGUGAUAAAUAUCGAAGACAAUAGUGUCCAGAAAAUGACCCGUGAAAUAAGUGACAGGCUAAUAGAAGACAUUUCUGUGUGCUUUGAUGCAAUGCUCCGCAACUUUGUUAAAAUAUUGUUUAUAUUUAUAAGAUGAGAUAAAAUUUACAGCUCACUAUUUAUUGAAUACAUUAUCACUAGAGCAAAAUACAUAAUAACAUUUGAUUAUUUGUUAUAAUUUAGAGGGACAUUCCAUUGCCCAAAUACUAAACAAUACAUAGAAAGCACUGUUUGAUAGAUAUACCGCAAAUAAAAGAAUAUGCAUGCAUUUAAUUAUGCAUUUCUUAUUGGGGGUAUCUUUAAAAACAGCUAGCAAUAGCUGCAGAUCUCUUGUCUGCAGCCUUCACAAGCCCUCCCCUUCUAACUCCGCCCAGACUUUAUGUGGCUGUCCAAUCACAGACUUCCCAGUGCAGCUCAAGUCUUUGCAAGGCAGGUGUUCUUGUUAGUUGGUAGCUGUUGCCUUUUGAGUUUAUCUCCACUGAGCCAACCAAACCAGGAAACAACAAUACAAGCUGUCUGAUUGACAGCCAGGAGGGUGUAACAAGGUUAAUUUAUAAAAAAAAAGCCAGUUUCUGUUGAAAUCUUCAAAAAAACAAAACACUCUUCACAUAUAUUGCAUUAAGCAUUUAGGGGUAUGGAGUGUCCCUUUAAUUUUCUUUACACAUUAAUAGAAUGUUCCUCACAUAUUCUCCCUAAUUCUUGUUAGAGAGCAUGUGUAAUACAAUUUUAAACAAACAAUUUAAAUGAUAUGUAACUCAGUGCAUGUGUUGAGAAUUGAACCUGGUCUAGGGGGUGUUAUCAAAUAAAUAAUCUGGUGCUGGUUUUUCCCAUUAAUUUCAUACACUGACGCAGCAUGCCUGUCUUGGCCAUUAUGACUAAACUUGUGCAUGGAUGAAAAAAGAUUGCUUCAGCAGUAUUGAUUUGUCCCAAAAAAAUAUUAUUAGUUUGGGUGGUGCAAAGCUUAUUCAUAUGGAGUUUUGGUUCAAACCUAUUUUGUCCAUGCAAACAAUUUGGGAAAAUGGUUCUGAGGAACCAGAAGGGUACAAGAUAAAUAAAAUAAAAUAUAUUGUGUAAUAUUUAGCAGUACAUUGAUACAUGUUCCCACCAUUUUCUUCACAGGUCACUGGAGAAGAAGUAAACAAUAAAUGAGAGUAAAAAUAAAUAAAUCUAUAUUAAUAUGUGGAUAUACUAAAUAUUAAUCAAAUAUCUUUUUUUUUUGUCCUGUGCUGGAUACUUCUCGCGAAUCGCAAUUCGUUUGAAAGUCUAAUGGUGGCUAAACAGUUACAUUCCAAAGGGUUUUUUUCAUUUUCAUUUUUUGUGUUGAACAUGUGAUGCAACUUUUUGUUUUUUGCUUUUUGGAAUUAAUUCAAAAUGAGGCAAAAAGUCAACUGUCCCAUUCAGCUCCUCUGUACCAACAGCUAACCGAAGAACAACUAAAAUAAUUGUCUGUCUCUCUGUCUGUCUGCUAUUUAUGUAUGGAUCCAGCACUAUUACAUGGAAAUAAAGAAUACUGUGUAAAAUUCGCCAUCAAAACUCCCAUUGCACCAGAAGACAGAAAAUAUCGGUGAUUCUGCAGAAAUCAUGGAACUUUCUUCUUCUAAAACAUGGGGGUGCACAGUCUCCCCUUUCCCCUACCCAUGUACAGUGGGGUGAGGGUUAAUAUAGCUCCCUGCUCCUUCCCUUCUCUAUGAGAUAAGAGUGCAGAGCUGAUAAAACUGUAUAAGAUACAGAUUUCUAGAGCAUUAUUAGGUCCACUUUGAAGCCAAUAUCACUGUGUUAUAAACAUUCAAUUAAAUUAUUUUCGUAACACCAGAAUGGGCAUCCUGCCAGCUGAGACAGGAUGAUGUGAAUAUUUUUGCUUAUUGAUUAGGAUCUGUAUUGAGUGGGCAAUACGAUAAAUUUCUAGGAUCCAGCUCUGUUUGCCGUGCUGCAGAUCCGUGUUAAUGGAUGCCUGUAGAAGAUCUGUAUUCACUAAUGUGGCUUGCAUUUAUUCAUUGCUGCAGCCAAUCUUCCUCAUGCAUAAAGCUGGAUAUAAUUGAUUCGCUGGCAUUACUCCAAACUGCAUGCAAAUCAUCUAAUUACAGCCAACAUGUUAUUUCUUUGAGAGUGACAGACCAUCCGGUGAGAUGAAGUAUCUGUCUGUGGGGGGCUUCUCGCUGCGGCCUACUUUCCCAUCAAAGCCUAGUUUGGGAGUAUGUUUGUUUACAGAAAAAAAUAUAGAUUGGAAAAAUACAGAGCAUCCCAACUGUGUGUUUUUCAGAGCAUAUAACAAAUUACUAUGUUUUUAAAGUCAUUAUUGGUGCAAAUAAAAAAUAUAAACAUAUCUAUAUAAAUUUGAUAUUUUGCUUCAUUCAGUAAUUUUUAUUUUAAUGAAUACAGUGAAAACAGUUACAAUGUGUUUGACUGAAAUCUGAAAAAAAGCUUCCUGGAAUCCUGUUAUAUAAAGGUAUUUGUCUAACCCUUUGUCUGUAAGGGGUUAAACAGAAGGAUAGAUUUAUAAUUUCGCAGAAUUAGGAGACACUAUGUGGGCCUCUUUCACAGGAGCGCAGCUGGAUCCUGACCUCAGAUACUCUAAGGCUGCCAUUUAAAUGGAUCAAGCGCUGAGCCCCUUUAAUUACGUACACAAUAUUGCUCUUAUUUUGUUUGGCGUCUGUUUAUUGAAAGCCAGAAAGGUCGCACACCUUGGGGAGAUGGGCAGCAUUCCCAGAAUGCAUUUCUUGGCAUCGUAUUCCAUGCGUUGAUUGGUCAGAUGUCCUGAAUUGCGUGCUUGCCACAGUUGUGGUCUGUCUUACACGGGCUUCAAACCACAUGUUACGUAUUGUGCAGCCAGAGAAAACAGGUCAUUGUAUAAAUACCUGGGCUGGUUCUUUUCAAGCCAUUGUGCACUUUUCUCGUAGCGUCAUUAAACAAUAUGGAUGAUUUUAAAUUCUGGGUUUUGUAUUAAGCGAUGCAGGGAAAUGAAGAAGCAGUUAAUUGGAGAUUGGAAAUUUAAAACAGAAUGCAUUGUGUGUUUCUGUGUGUGUGUGUGUCAGGGAUGCAUUGUGUAUUUGUGUGUGUGUGUGUGUGUGUGUGCAAGGGAUACAUUGUGUAUGUGUAAGGGAUGAAAUUUGUGUAUGUGAUUUGUGUGUGUGUAAGGGAUAUAUUGUGUGUGUAAGGGAUGCAAUGUGUGUGUGUGUGUGUGUGAGGAAUGCGCUGUUUGCUUCUGUGUGUGUUUGUGUGUGUGUCAGGGAUGCAUUGUGUGUGUGUGUAAGGGAUACAUUGUGUGUUUCUGUGUGUGUGUCCAAGGGAUGUAUUGUGUGUGUAAAGGAUGCACUGCAUGUUUGUGUGUUUAAGGGAUACAUUGUGUCUUUUUGUGUGUGUUUUUGUGUGAUUCAGGGAGGCAUUGUGUGUUUUUGUGUGUGUGUCAGGAAUGCACUGUGUGCUUCUGUGUGCUGGGCCUGCGCCACCUAUAGCAAAGCAGGCACCGGCCUAGGGCACAAGUUUGGAAGGGGCGCCCCACGCACACCUCUUCACACAGCGCUUAUAGUAGUGCCGCGGCGGCAGUGUCGGCACGCGGUCCGACAGAGAAAGGCGUGGGCACCAGGAGCACCUACAAUUUGCUGGGCAGUGCCCCGGGUUCAGACUUGGAACCAGAUCCUCCUCCCUGGCCCAAGGUAAGCCUCAGGGAGUGUGAAGAAACAUAAAAAAAACAAAAAAACACGUUUAUAUAUACUGUAUAUAUAUGUAUUUCUUAACACCCUAAAGCCCUAAUCCUCACUACUGCCCCUAACUCCCUACCAUUGCCCUCUACCACCCACUACUGCCCCUAACCACUCACCACUGCUCCUAACCCCACACUAUUGUCCUUAACUCUCUACUACUGCCAAUAACCCCCUACUAUUGCCCCUAACCACUCAUCACAAGUCCUAGCCUCCUACUAUUGACCCUAGCCACCCAUCACAGGUCCUAAGCCCCCAUUACUGACUCUAAUCCCUCACUGCAGGUGCUAACCCCCCACUGCAGAUCUUGACCUCUUACUACUGCCCCUGCCUCCCUACUGCUACCUCUAAACCCCUACUAUUGCUCCUAACCACCAAGUACUGCCCCUAACCCCCUACUAAUAUCCCUAACUACUUACUACUGUCCCUAACCCCCUACUCAUGCCCCUAACCACCCACUACUACCCCUAACCCCUACUAAUGUUCCUAACCACCCACUACUGCCCCUAACCACACACUAUUGGCUCUAACCCUUUACUGCCACUAACCCUCUACUAUUGCCCUUAACCACCCACUACAGGUCCUAACCCCCCACUACAGAUACUAACCCCCUACUUAUGUCCCUAGCCACCCAUCGCAGGUCCUUACCCACCAUUAUUGACCCUAAUCCCCCACUGCAGGUCCUAACCCCCAAUUCGGGUCCUGACCUCUUACUACUGCCAUGGCCCCCUAGUGUCACGAACGCACCCUACUUCAAGAGUGUGCGUGACAUAGUUGUGGUGGUGAAAGGGUUAAAGUUUACUAUUUUACUGCACUAGAGCGGAAAUAAUGACAAAAUCCCCCUUAACACCACCCACACUUAAACAUAAUAAUAUAACUAUUACUAUUUUAACGCUGCCACCCUCAAGACAAUUUAUAAAUGGGGUGCCUUGGUCCCCCAGGUAAAUCAAUAAUAAAAACCCACUAAAUAUUACUUAGCACAAUAAUUAGCACAGUAAUUGCAAAAUACGAAUACGUUUCUUCAGGUAACGUGAUUCUUAACCAGACAAAGGCAGAACUUAAUAAAUUAAUGCUUAUUAUGAGCAAAAAAUUGUCACAGUGCAUACGAAAAUAUAGAUGAAACACAAAUGAUUCACACCAACGACAGAUAAAAACAAAAAGGACAAAAUAACUGACUCACUUAGGUUUUCAAAGUAAAACUUCUGCCCAGGGAGUCUCUGGCAAGGAAUGAUGAUGGUGACUCACUCAAAAUUAGAUCUUGGCCCCAAGCAAGUACAACAACACCACUCUAAAUCAUUGGAUAUAUACCCUGUGGAUUAUCAAGUCUUGCCCAGGGGUGGAGUUAAGGCGUACCUAUAGAAAUAAUAAGUGACCACCUCCUUUGUUCCAGACCAACGUCAAUCCAAAUGGAAACAUUUGGCUCUAUCGUCUCUUUAAGAGAUCCCUCUCUACAUACCUCAAAGCAGAAUGCACGUGUUAUGGUUGAUUAUAUAUUUCCUACCUGUUCUAUGUUAAAUUUUGUAUAUAUUGUGUAUUAGUAUUGUUUUUGUAUUUUAUUGUACCCUAAUGUAUCAAUGAAUGUUUCAUGGACCCAGGGCAUACUUGAAAACAAGAGAAAUGUCAAUGUAUCUUUCCUGGUAAAAUAUUUUAUAAAUAAAUUCUAUAGAGAAGUUGCACACCGUACUUGGGACCCAUUAUGGUGGACAUCACAAUCCCUUCCCCUACGGUCAAGUUAGGCCACUCAUGUUUGGGCUUGUUUAGAAGAUGGCGCUUGUCACAUUCCAAAUAUAACAAAAAUGAGGCUUAAUUAUUAUUAUGUGGGAUAAAUCUGAAUGUUUUUUCCUUCCUUUGCAUAUGAUACUGGAACAAGGCUCAUCAAUUACAAGGUACAGCCAAAUGGCUGAAGCUAGCUAGACAUUAAGGCUGCAGAGCCUUGAUUAAUUCACAUCCAUAUGGUAAAAUCCUUUUCACAUUCUUAUGCCAUUUCCUUUCAUCAUCUGACCUCUGUUGGGGGUCCCACCUUCAAAAGAUGUAACCCCUUUUGACCUCCAUACAAUCAGGUUAACCCCUUUUGACAUUGACAAUACCAUCUCUGCCAGGCCAGCGGGUCCUUAAUGCACUACACAAAUUACAUUAAAGGACAAUAUUCCAUAGUGUAAUAAUAAAUUAGGCACCCUUGCCGUGACACCUACCACUACCCCUGACCCCCUACUACUUCCCCUUACCUCCUACUACUGCCCCUGAGCUGCAGGCACUAACCUACCACUUUAUCUCCUAGCCCCUCACUUCAGCCCUUAACCCUCCACUGCAACUUCUAACCCCUUAUUUAAUCCUCUAACCGCUCACUACACCCCAUAACUUCACACUACACCCUGCUGCAGCCCCACUGCCCCUAACAUCCACUAAUCCACUACUGCCACUAUCCAUCACUACAGACCCUUACCCUGACUGCUGCCUUUAAACCCUCACUACAGCACCUAAAUUCCCCCACGCCCCAGCUAUAUUGGGCUGAGGGGGAGCUAAUUUAAAUCUCCCUUCCCACAUUGAACUAAAUGGAAAUUCCACUACUUCCUACAUACAUUUCGCACACGUCACACAUUACCACACAUACCGCUCACAGCGGCCCAAACGUAUCACUCACAGCUUCUCACACUGUCACACAUACCGCUCACAGCUACCCACACACAGAUACUGACAGCUAUACACACAUCACACAUUGCCAAACAUAACACUCUCAGCGGCCCAAACGUAUCACUCACAGCUUCUCACACUGUCACACAUACCGCUCACAGCUACCCACACACAGACACUGACAGCUAUACACACAUCACCCAUUGCCACACAUAACACUCACAGCGGCCCAAACGUAUCACUCACAGCUACUCACACUGCCACAGAUACAGCUCACAACUACCCACACGCGGACUCUGACAGCUAUACACACAUCACACAUUGCCACACAUAACACUCACAGCGGCACAAACGUAUCACUCACAGCUUCUCACACUGCCACAGAUACAGCUCACAACUACCUACACGCAGACACUGACAGCUAUACACACAUCAUCCAUUGCCACACAUAACACUCACAGCGGCCAAAUGUAUCACUCACAGCUACUCACACUGCCACACAUACCGCUCACAGCUACCCACACACAGACACUGACAGCUAUACACACAUCAUACAUUACCAAAAAUAACACUCACAGCGGCCCAAACGUAUCACUCACAGCUACUCACACUGCCACACAUACCGCUCACAGCUACCCACACACAGACACUGACAGCUAUACACACAUCAUACAUUACCAAACAUAACACUCACAGCGGCCCAAACGUAUCACUCACAGCUACUCACACUGCCACACAUACCGCUCACAGCUACCCACACACAGACACUGACAGCUAUACACACAUCAUACAUUACCAAACAUAACACUCACAGCGGCCCAAACGUAUCAAUCACAGCUACUCACACUGCCACAUAUACCGCUCACAGCUACCCACACACAGACACUAACAGCUAUACACACAUUGCCACACAUAACACUCACAGCGGCCCAAACGUAUCACUCACAGCUACUCACAAUGCCACACAUACCGCUCACAGCUACCCACACGCAGACUCUGACAGCUAUACACACAUCACACAUUGUCACACAUAACACUCACUGUAGCACAAACGUAUCACUCACAGCUUCUGACACUGCCACAGAUACAGCUCACAACUACCUACACGCAGACACUGACAGCUAUACACAAUUUACACAGCCUUAUACAUCACACACAGAUAGCCACAACAUAAACUUCACACAUAGCUACAACACUUUCAGCCACCCUACACAACACACACACACCCACACCACACAUCCACUCAACAUUUUUAAAAAUAUUCACAUUACAUAACAAUAAAAAAAUAACAUAGGGGAAGAAUUUCCUGGUACAAACCCUAAUAAUAUGGUCUGUGCAUGCCUAGGCGCACAUGUGUCUGCUUUACUGGAGUAUGGGCAAAUGAGCUGCCCAGACAGACCAAGCAAAGAGCAUUAAUAUUGGCAGUCACUCAGGGGUUGGGCAUAUGUGAUGUCAUGACAUGAGUGGAUCAUAUGGAUAGGACAUUGUGAUGUUACUACAUGGUUGGGAGAGGGGGGCAGCAAAAAUCCUUGCACCGUCCCUGUCUGUGUGUACUGUGUGUGUGUGUGUGUGUAAGGGAAGCAUUGUGUGUUUCUGUAUGAGUCAUAAAUGCAUUGUGUGUUUCUGUGUGUGUGUGGUAUGUGAGAGAAACUUUGUAGGGUAGGAUAUGGGUGUUUUCUGUGGUGAGAGAGGGAGCAGCUUGAUAUAUUUUUUGCAUUUUUCAUAUUAUAUAUUUUUUUGCUCUUUAAAAUCUUACUCUCCCCCUCUUUGUUUCUGACUUGGUGAUGAGAAUGUGGAAGAUAUUUUGCAUCAAGGUGACAGUGCGAGAAAAAGAACACGGUUAGAACUUGCUAAUUCUGGACACUUAUGCAAUGUGACCCCAACCUGGACUACAAAAGGUGGACAAGACAGGACCAUAGUGGGACAGACCAUGGCACCUUUAUAGGAUGUCCCGGGGGGGUGAUUGCCUCAUAGGGUUGUUAGCCGUAUCUUAGCCUCCUAUCCCCACUAUCCUGGGAGGUAAGAAGAUGUCUACUUUGCCUGGAUCACAUAAUGGGGAGUGAGAUCACAGGAUGAGUGCAACCUACUAUAGUUUCCCACACCGUGUGGCACCAGACUGAUUAGUGGUAAAAUUUGUAUUUGACUGGAUUGAAAUCCAGUAGUUAAGUGUUCUUGCAUAGCAAGACCACUUAAUGUUAUCUCACAUAUAUAUUAUUAUUAUUAUAGCCAAAUUUACCAACCAAACUCCUCCCACAGUUUUUACACUACAUAGACAGUAAUAUACCGAAACGUGCGGAUUGUUCCCGAUUGGUGUGCUAUUACUUUGUGGAACGUGUUGCCGAAUGGUUCACGGAAUAUCGUCGUUCUUGUGGCGAAAUUGGUCCCAUAGGAAUGAAUGGCAAAAUGUUCAAAACUAGAGUGGGAGCUGGCAAAAGCUGGAAAAUCAGGACAUGAUUUCUAAACUGCCACCACUCCCUCAUUUUCAAGCCCACCUACACAAAUCUUAUUUCAAAACGUUCAACUAUCCCUGCUGCCACUAAACAUGUCCACGGCUAAGCCAUAGCCCUGAUAGUUUUCACAAUAUAAUCAUUUGUUUGCAACUCACGCUGUCCAUUGACAUUCAUUGAAACUCCACUCUAGCCAGCUGAAAUUUGAAGGGCAAUUUCUAAACUGAGACUGUGCCUUCAUUUUUACUAUUUCAGAGACAUACUAUGCAUCAAAAUGUAGGUCUGGGUCUUGUGAUUCUCACAAUAUAAAGCUCUUCACUGUAGGAGUUAUAGUUUUUAAAAAACGACCAUUUGAAAAUGGCAACCGCCAAAAUACUCUGACCUGUGCCAGGCUGCAGCAGCAAGUGAUGUCAUAGACAGGGCCUUUUGAACACCUGCUAAUGUUUUUAUAAAUGUAUGGUUUAAUGUAACUGUGAAGCACUUUGGGCAACAACGUUGCAAUUAAAUGUGCUAUAUAAAUAAAUAAAAGUUGAAAUGCAUUUCUCACUCUAUCAAGCUUGCCAUGUGCACUUUUUAAAUUUGAUCAAUCAAUUGGUUAGUGUAAUGUUUACUAUCUUUACUCACUCCAAACACUCCACACAGUUACUCUACCCAGUUCAACCUUUCCACAGUUACUCCAGCCACUCCAACCACAUAACAGUUACUCAAGCCACUCCACCCAGUUACUCCACCCACUCCAGUUGUAGACUACUGGUAAAGGCAAGAACACUUCACACAAUUUCCCCAGAAAUUGUAGCUUUUCUAGUUUUGCUCUAUAAUGAUAAAAAUCACCAUCCCGUGUAUAAAACACAAGGCACUAAGAUAGCCGUGACGAUCUGCGUGCUCUAUGUGUAUUAAUUAGACGUCUUCCUGUGUUUAAACAUUUAAACCUAUCCACUAUAUCUAUUAUCUUUUUUCUGUGCCUGGAAUAACCAUUUAUAUCUCCCUUCCCAAAUCCAUCACUAAAGGGAAGGAACAUGCUUCCUUCUUGUAAUAGCUCAGUGAGAGUAUUGUAUUGUCGCCCAUGUGAAAGGCCAGUGUGGGAUUAUUUAGUGUUUCUCGUGGGAUAAUGUGCCUGAGCAUUGGAUGGAUGUGUGGCUAUUAUCUCGAGCCUAGCAGGAAGCCACACACAGAGAGAGAGGAAGCAUCGGAGCUCUGUCAUAGGAAGAACAGUUUAUGGGAAAUACUUGCGGUUGGCAAUGAAACUGUCAGGAAAUUCAUAGGGUUUCAUUAGUUACUUGUCCCCCUAGAGGAUUAUGACAUGCAGAAUAGUAAAUGGCUGAACAAUGUAUCUAGCAAGUUACGUGUUUUCUUCCAACGUUCAAAUAGAUUAGUAACGUGGAAAAUCAGGCCAUUCUCUGUUGUGUUGUAGUCUCAUCGGUAUAUUCAGUGGUGGACAUUGUGUAACCCCACUACAACUGCAUAAAUAUCACCACAACUGGACCCUGUGGGAUUGUGUCUUCAUUACUGUAUGUGAAACAGGGGGUCCGCACUCACAGAAAUAUACAUUAUAAGGAACACAUACAGAAUCUAGCACACUAAUACCCUAUAAACCAGCCCACAUUGCGUUAGUGUGGAGUCCGUUGUGUUAUAGCGUGUGUCAUUGUUGCGGUUUUGUUUUACACACUGAUACUGUCCAGAUUACAUCUGAAGCCUACACACUGUACACUGCACCAAUGCUGUCAUUUAUUAGGGUGUCAGAGAACUGGUAAAUAUAAUCCACGCACAUCCAUGUAUGUUUAUUUAUAUAUAGUAUGUGAACAUCUUAAAGACUCCGCGUCUUGCUCUCUUUGUGCUAUAACGUGCUUUGUAAGUUUAUGUAAUUUGUGUGUACUGGCGAUUUCUUUUUUCAUACUUAUUGGAGACAGGUGUACUUUGUGAAAUAGUGAGGAAAGUUUGACUGGGGUGAAAUUGUCAGUUUGAUCUCCUUCCUGAGGUAUGUUUAAACGGGACGCUCCGGGCACCAAUACAACUUUAAUUCACGCUUCUCAUGCCAGAAAGACUUUUUCUGAUCGAAUUUAUCGACACAGUCUCAGCAACCUGCUUUUAAUUCAAAACCAGGCUGCAGACAGAGAAGCUACAAACAUCCUUACUAUAUGUAUUACUGAGUGUCCACUCCUUCUAAUGCAGCUUGUUUUAUAGUUCUUAUCAUUUAGUACUGUCAAUGGCUGAGCUGUGUAUGUUCAUUUUACAGUCUUUUUCAGGAAUGAGGAGGUUUGGCUAAAGAGACAGGCUUAUGGUGCAACAUUCUGCAAAACAUUUUUUUAAUGCAAAAACUAUAAAGAUUUGAGCGUGUAAAGAAUACGGCAUAUUAAUGAGGCCAAAAUCCCUCAAACACAUUGUUGUAUUAAUAACCGGAGUGCCCCUUUACGGAGAAGGUUGGUUUUUACUAUGUCCAAAAUCCACUUAAAGCAAAUUAACCCACAAGUUAUUUUAUUUAGCAUAGUCUACCCUGCGGAGCUUGCAAUCUCUAUGUAUUGCUGUAUUCUGCUGUAUCGGACCUGGCCCGUCCAUUAGAGAUCUCCCCAGGGGCCCAUUCGAUGUCCACCCUAUCACUGUCAUCACCUCCCUUUGUGAUAAGUAAAAUGAUGUGCAGGCAGUAUGCUGCUCGAUCUCUGUGAAGAGGUUUUUGAAUGAGGAGUGUGUGCCUUCACAUAUCUCAGACCAAUUCCUUAUGCUAAUGGCGUUCAGAAUAAGCUCAGACCUGGAUCAGAUGGUUGAGACUCUGUUAGUCGUCAUUACCAUGCCUGUCCGCUAAUUAGGUUUUCUCAUGUUUGCCGGGCUCCCAGUUAAUUCGUUUUGCAAAGGUGUUGUAUCACCUGAUCCCAGCAACAAAUGCAUCUGACAUAACCCAGUCAGUUAACGCUUUCUCUGACAGACGUGUGGGUAAUGCGUGUUCAAAGGCAAACACCAUAAUUAGGUUAGAAUACGUGAAGACACAAACACUCAAAGCUCCUCAGAUAUUAAGACUCAUGGACAUUGCACAUAACUGAGUUUUAUUGAUGUGGAGGUUUGUGUGUACAUUACUGUGAGAUUUAUAGUUGUGAAGCUCUGUCAUACAAUUAUACACAUUAGAUAUUACUGUGGAGCUCUGUGAUACACUCACACACACUGCACAUUACUGUGAGAUUUAUAGUUGUGGAGCUCUGUCAUACACUUAUACACACUGCACAUUACUGUGAAUUACAUUGUUCAGUUAUGUGAUGCACUCAUACACAUUGCAUAUUAUUGGGAGUUUUAUUGUUGUGGAGCUCUGUGAUACACACACUGGAUUUUAAUGUGAGUUCUAUGAUACACUCAUAAAUACUGCACAUUACUGUGAGUUAUAUACCCCUGGAGCUCUGUGAUACACUCACACACACUGUGCAUUACUGUGAGUUAUAUACCACUGGAGCUCUGUGAUACACUCAUACACACUGCACAUUACUGUCACUUUUAUCACUGUGGAUCUUUGUGAUGCUAAAAUAUACAAUCAAGUAAAAAUGGCGCUCUACAAAAUUUAAGCUAAGUGAGUUAAAUCCUUAUCCAGCGUAUGGUAUUUUAAAGAAAAGCUGCACCUUUAAAAGUGAAAUAGUAUGAAAAAAGGGUGCACUAAAAUCUAUAAAACAAAUAUAUAGUGCAACACUGUACAAUGAGAGUGCAAUUUAAAGUGUACUAUAUUGUGCUGUAAGUGGUAUAAUACAUAGAAAUGUUUUGAAGUGUAGUGUAAGCACAAACCUGUGCCUUUACUGAUAAAAGACAGAAAAAGCGCACUCACUCUAUCGGCCUUGAAAAAGGAACUGCUAAGUAUACCUUCCCCGAUAUGGGCAAUAUAGAUCAGUACAUAAAAAAUGAAAAAAAAACAAUAAUAGUGUAACUCUGAUCUUUUCUACAUAUUAUUGGGACUUUUAUUGUUGUGAAGCGCUGUGAUAAACACAUUGCAUAUUAGAAGGGGCAUGGUCGCGCUGUUGACAUGCAUAACAGGGCCCUAGUGGUAGAACCGCUAUUACCAAAUUAUUUCGCGUACCCACAGGGGAACUGGAUUGUACAUGUACCACAGGUUGGUAACCACUGGUCUAAAGGGACACUAUAGGCACUGGAACUAUUACAGCUUAAUGUAGUAGGUCUGGUGUCUAUUGCAUGUAAACUUUGCCUUUUCAGAGAAAUGGAAGUAUUGACAUUGCUGCCUAACACCACUUCUAGACUUUGACAGCCAUUAGAAGGACUUCUUAGACAAGGUCCUGUAACGAUUCCUGGGAGCAAAGGUACAUUUUAAAACUUUCAUCCCCACUGAAAACCUAAACAUUAAUUCCUGCAUUAUAGUGUUUUUUUAAGCUAAAGUUGUUUUGAUGCCUAUAGUACACCGCUCUAUUUUAAAGGAACAUUAUAGGGUCAGGAACACAGAGGGAGGUGCAUUCUUGACCCUAUAGUGUUACAAACACUAUUUAGUUAGUUUGCCCCCCCCCCCUCCUUGGUCCCCUGAAAUAUAGUGAAAACUCACCUUUUUUUCGAGCGCUGUGAGAUUCCACUGAUUUUGAACCUUUUCCAAAUCCUCCUCCUUGGCUGACAUCAUCAGAAUUGCCAAUCACAAUGCUUUCCCAUAGGAAAAGGCUGAACCAAACACUGCUCUGGCCAAUCAGAAUCUCCUCAUAAAGAUUAAUCAAGUUCAGCAUUUCCAUACAGAGUGUGUCAGUGCUGCAGGUUCUGGACAGCCUUGCCCCUAGGGGGUGGAGCUAGUAACAUGACUCAUUGGGCCACCCGUUUUACCUCCCUCCCACUAGCAUCUCGAUUCUCAGGAUGCUGGGGUAAUAUCAAUAUUUGGGACAUUUCGUUUUAUAUGGGAUUUGGAGACACACCCAUAACAUGCAUUUCUCAGCAGUGGGGCUACUGUAAAGACCAAAAUAUGUGCAAAAUACAGAUUAAGGGAACAGUUCACACAAAAUAAAAAAUUAAGUGUCAGAGUAUUUUUAAGGCAACGUUUGGAUAAUUCCAAGCACCAUACGGCCAUAGGACACAAUAAAAUAAUAGAAUGGUAAUUGGCAAUGACACAGGUGAAGAAGGUACGCACCUUUUGAUUGAAAAUAAAAAUCCAUUGGUCUUCCCCUCUAUACAUCAUUUUGCUUAUCUAAUUGUGCUUGUGUAUUGAUCUGCAGGCAGGCAUUUGGUAUUUCCCAGCAGUAAUGGGAGGGGAAGAAGCGCUGAGUCGAGGAUAUUCAAUCUGACUUCUUAGAAUCCUGACUCGGACACCUUUUACUGCCGCAUUAAAAUCUUCUGCUAAUGCACAUUUACAUGCAACAGGCUGCAGUAUCUUGGAAAUGUCACAUUACUUGCUGCAAUACUAACUAAUUUGACUUAAUAUUUUUUUUAGCAUUAAAUUAUAGAUGGCAAUUAAGUAUACUUUUAAAAUUCAUGUUUUAUUUUUCUCUUUUUGUCAUAUUUUUUCUCCUCGAUACACAAUGGCAUUUGGCAGUUUAAUCACUCUUAUAAAAGCUGCAUUUAUUUAUUUAUACAAAAGGAGAAAUGUUACUUUUCUGGAAAUUACACCAUUAAAAAAAACAUAAAAAAAUCUCCCAAAAUUUGUUAAAGGGUUACUCCAACCACCAUAACCAUUAAAGGUGAUUUGAAGUGGUCAUGGUGGUAGGAGUCAGUAUGUGCAGUGUGUCAGCUUUAAACGCUGCACAUAUUGAGCUAUUGGCAAUUAUGUGCCUGAGGCUAGUUGCAACCCCAGCAUACGUGACAUUGGCAGCCCAGAACAAUUCUGUGCAUAAAAUGCAUCUGUCAUAAGCGUGCACUGCGCGCUGCCGACAGACAUGAUAAUCUUCCCAAAGUAGGCAGAGCGCAAGUUGAAGAUUGCUUCCUCCCAUCCCUCCUGCCUUCCUCAAUUGCACAUUGUUAAAAAUCCCUCUCUCCUCUCCGCUCUCUCCUUCCCCUUGCCUCACCAGCCUGAAGUGCAUGCAGGCUCUUUGAGCUGACAAAAUGGUCAACCACAGGCUGUGACACAGUGCCUGUGACGCCUGGAGCUUCAUCUUGCGCUGGGUUCCAGGUGAGUAAAACAUUUUUUGGAAUGUUUUAUUGCAAAUCGAAGGGUGGAGGGGGAUCUCUUCAUAGUGCCCAAUAGCGCAUUUUACACAGGGAAGGUCCUGCCACAAAGGUUAACUCAUUAACCAUUUUCAUGGAGUCUAUUUUAUUUUGAAUUCAUAUUAAACAUUUAACAUAUUACAUCAUAAUCCAGUUCAGCCCAGGCACAAAUUGUUUAAUUUUUCCUCUUCUCUGUAUGCUCGCUCUCUGCUGACAGUCAUGUGCAAAAGACAGAACAAUGAUUGAGUGAGAGCUAAUAUGUCGGCGUCCAGUUGCAGGAUAAAGAGGUGUGAAGUUCUACAUUUACUGUAAUUUUCACACCACACAAAUAUAUACUGGUUAAAUGUAGAAGAUAAUUAAACGUAAUAUUAAAAAUCCAGGGGAGAGGUAGCUCCCCUUUAACUCCUUAAGGACCAAACUUCUGGAAUAAAAGGGAAUCAUAACAUGUCACACAUGUCAUGUGUCCUUAAGGGGUUAAAGAACGUUAAAUUGUUGUUAGCGUGGUCUGACCAUUUUCAAGAUGCUACGACUUUGGAUAAAAUGGUGAAUACUGCCUGAGAAGAAAAGGGUAAAGUCAAAGCUUAAAGGACCACUAUAUUGCCAGGAAAACAUACUCGUUUUCCUGGCACUAUAGUGAACUGAGGGUGCCCCACCCUCAGAGACCCCCUCCCGCCGGGCUCUGGGGGGAGGAAGGGGUAAAAAUCUUACCUUUCUCCAGCUUCGGGCGGGGAGCUCUCCUCCUCCUCUCCGCCUAUUCUCCUCCUCUUCGGCUGAAUGCCCAUAUGCGACAGGAGCUGCGCGCGCAUUCAGCCAGUCUCAUAGGAAAGCUUUCCUAUGGACGCUGGCGCAUUCAGCCAGUCUCAUAAUGCUUUCCUAUGGAAAAUCACAGUGAGAAUCACGCAAGCGCCUCUAGCGGCUGUCAUUGAUAUAGCCACUAGAAGCUUUAGAGGCUGGAUUAACCUAUUUAUAAACAUAGCAGUUUCUCUGAAACGGCUAUGUUUAUAAAAAAAAAUGGGUUACCCCUAGCUGGACCAGGCAGCUGAAGUGGUCUGGGUGCAUAGAGUGGUACUUUAAGGUCAGGGCUGUAGUGAAGAUGGCAUAUUGUGCCACUAAGUGAAAGCAGGAAUCCAGGAAGAAUGAAUGCCUUUCCAUACCAGCCAACUUCCUCGUCUCUGCAAGUGGGUGUUGAAGGGGUCAGGCCAGGGCCGGAUUAACAUAGGGGCUGAUGGAGCUGCAGCUCCAGGCCCAGGCCCAGGCCCAUGGAAUAGGCCCAUUUUUUUUUUUUUUUACACACACACUACUGUUAGGUUUGCCACCUGACUGGUGUUUUACCAGCACAGCCGGUAUUUGAGGCUGCUUGGCCGUGCCGGUAUUGCAGUAAUAUUGGCAAUACAAAUGCAGGUAUUUUUCUCAGUAUAAACGGAGAUUACUCUGCAAUACCAGCACUAACCAGUAGGGGUCACUGUGUGUGGAGAGAGGCAGGGAUAGGAAGUUACAGCAUAUCACUCCCUGCCUCUCUACUCACUGAUCCGCAGGGGAGCAGCUACACAGCACAGAGAGGCCAGACAGCAGCUCCCAGCCUACAGAGACAGCCUACAGCUCAGGUAAGUGAAGGAUGGGGGGAAAGGCAGCAGGGAGACAUGGGGACACUGAGACACUAGGGGACACUGUGAGAUAUGGGGAUGCUGAGACACAUGGGGACAUUGGGAGACACACAGACACAUGGGACACAGUGUCCCCAUGCCUCCAAGCCAGUGUCCCUAUUGUCUCAGUGUCCCCUAGUCUCCCAGUGUCUAUGUCCCCAUGUCUCUCAGUGUCCCUAGUGUCUGUGUCCCCAUGUCUCCCAGUGUCCACAUGUCUCCCAGCCAGUCCCCCUAGUGUCUCCCAGUGUCCCUAUGUCUCCCAGCCAGUGUCUCUAGUGUCUGUGUUCCAUGUCUCUCAGUGUCCCUAGUGUCCCCAUGUCUCCCAGUGUCCCCAAGUGUCUCCAUGCCUGUGUCUCCAUGCCUCCCAGCCAGUGUCCCUAGUGUCUCAGUGUCCCUAGUGUCUUAGUGUCCCCAUGUCUUCCAGAGUCUGUGUCUCUGUGUCCCUAGUGUAUGUGUCCCCAUUUCUCCCAGUGUCCCCAUUGACUUCCUGCUUCACUGGACACUGCUGUUAAGGGGUAUGGAUUUACUUGAAAGAUUAAAGCAUAAAUUAGAGAGAGAUUAGCAUAGAGUAUGUGUUUCUUAAAGCUGCAUCCUUUGAGUUUCCCUCCAACACCAUCUCCAUUAGAUACUUGACGCUUGAGAGGUAUGACUGUUUUAGUGUCUAUGGUCGAUAAGAUUCUUGUCAUGACUGCUAGUGUGGUCCAGCACGCAGAACUAUGUAACAUCUACAUAGACCGAACAGAAAAUGAUAAAACGUAAACCGGUCCUUAGUAUGGCCGGACUAAUAUGUUAAAAACAGAGAAUGGUCAAGGGAGCCAGAAAUAUACAAUACCAUUUAACAAGCCAAGUCAGGGAAGCCAGGAAUCAGAAUAGUCAGGAAUAGCCAAGGUCAAAAUACUGGGAAUAUCAAAAACAGGACAAGGAAACGCACUCUCAGGAUUCAGGAACCAGAAACGAAAACCACAACAGGGUUACAUAUCCCUCUGGCCUCUGACUGCAGAACGUGUGUGUGUGAGCCUGGGGGGGGCAGAGCUAUAUCUAGCUGCGACCGUGUGUUUGGCACCAUCUUGAACCCGGGCAGACAGCUGGGAGAACCCGGCAGAGGGGCUCCUGACUCGCCGCUGAGCAGGUAAGCUCAGUUCGUUGGCGCGGUCGCACUGGUCCGGUGCGACCGCACCUCACGGUGAGCCAGGGGCCGUGACAUUUCUGUAAUUAGGCCCCAUCAUAAUUGUCAGCACCAGGCCCACUGGGCUCUUAAUCUGGCCCUGGGUCAGGCUAGUGACUUGAAACGCAUUACUGGCACAGCCCAAAGGGGGCAGAUGCGACCAGAAAGGGGGUGGGUCGACUCCAAAGAUUUGACAGGUUCUGUCAAUCCCACAGGCUGGCCCACUGUGAUAUGCAGGGAGCACUGUUUCAUUGCCCUCUGUGUCUCUCGUGUUUCCUUUGGCUCUGACUUUGUAUGUCACAUAUAUCUAUAGAAUGAAAUGAACCUUAUAUCACAGUAAUAAACAAUAUACAAAACAAAAAAAUUAUAUCAGCCAAUUCAUUUCCGGGAUAUCCAUGAGGGACAAAUGGUCAAGUAAAAAGUGACACUGUAACAUUGCGAGUUUGGCUUUUAUUAGUGGGAGUGCUGUUAACCAACAAAACAUGGAUGCUGUGCUGUGUGCAUAUACAGUUGUAUCCUCAACAUACAUUGUGCUUAAAGUAGGCACUAUAGUAGUAGCAGUGUUAAAGGGGCACUAUAGGCAUCAACAUUAGCUUAAUGAAGCAGUUUUGGUUUAUAGAGCAGGCUGCAAAAACAAGAAAAACAAAAAAGUGUACCUUUUUUGUUUUUCUUGUUUAGUUCCAUUUGGGGUUACCCCCCGUUUCCCAAAGUGUACCUUUCAUUUGGCUCUAUUUUUAUUCUCUUUUGUUUUUUUAGGCUGCAAAAACAGAAACAAAAGUUAUUUACCUCCUACAUGGCAGAGAAUUGGGCAGUGAGACUGGAGGGGCGUGAUCUAUACAGCAAAACUGCUUCAUUCAGCUGAAGUUGUUUUGGUGCCUAUAGUGACAAAUAAUGCUGGGUUACCUAUUAUUGUGAAUUUAUCUCGGUUACCUGUUUGUCUGAUACAUGCUGAAAUAAAGGCAGUAAACUCCUGUAGGAUGUCUACAUUGUGCCGGCAGGCAGGGAAGCUGUAGUAAUGUUUUCUCUUGUGGCAAAAUUAAUAUGAUGUGCUUUUUGGAAAAAACAAAUUCCCACUAAAAUAGGGACCAAAUUCAUAUCUAAGGGUAAAAAAACAGGAAAAAUAAUUUCUCUAGUUUGUCAAUUUUUAAAAUGUGUUUUAUAUCAAUAGCUGUCUCUUUAUAAUCCUGUUCUAUAUUACGAGACAACAUUUAAAGUGAACCAGACACCUCAAAUCUCCGAUGUUCUGCAAAGAAGAAGCACAUUUAUAAUCUUUAAAUAUCUCCCAGAAGCUAUGAUAUCAAACUCUUGAAAGUGAGUCCUCAAACCACAAAUAUUAUCGUUAUAAUUAUUAUUAGACUUUAUUUAUACAGCGCCAACACAUUCCGCAGCGCUGCACAUGGUUACAAUUGGUACAAGUUAAUAGUUACAAUACACCUGAUACAAAGUUUAGCAAACACAUUCAUGCAAUUCUUGUUCGAUUGGACGUGUGAGCUGUGUGUAUUUGGAUGUCAUGGGCAUAUUUGUGGUUUCCCUUCUGUUUCAGUUGUUAAACUCUCUGCCAAUAGGAGAUUUAUUUCUAUUUUUUAAUCACAGAGCAGGCCUGCUUAAUGGCUUGUUACAGCUGUUCACAAGAGCAAUGAACUACAUAAGACUUAUUAAUAUUUGAUGAGACUUUCUCUUUCAUAAUGAAUGUGUACUUUCAGGGUUAGCCCUAUUGAAGACAAAUAUCACGGCUGAUAAUUACUAUUAAUACCAUGUGACUCACUGUCCAGUCCCCACAAAAAGCGAAACGCGUUAUAUAAGCCCAUUGCUGUUACGUUAAUAAACUACAAUCUAUUGCAAGUCAUAGGUCGAAUACGUGUCUUUCAAUAAAGUCUUAAUCUCUAUAAAAUGAAGCAUUCUGUUACUUUUUAAUCAGAAUUAUCACCAUUGAUAAUUGCAGUUUUACUAGAUCUUUUUUGAGCAUAUAUUCUGUUUACAUUGACAAAACCAAAUAACAUGAAAAAAACAAAAAAACAAAUACAUUGUCUGCAUCGAAAACAAGUUUUUUGUUUUAUUUAUUUAUCAGAAACAAAAAGAUCUGGGGACUUUGGUUCAUCAAGAGGAAUAACUAUAUGAACGUCUGUAGCAUUUCAUUUUCCCAAUAUAGCUUUAUAAACCUGCUCACAACAUAAAUUGUUUGUCCUGUGAAGAGCGAAUAGUGGAGAAAUAAAAAUCAAAUUGCAAAAUGUAGGCAUGCAGUGUUUGUCUGGAAAAAUCCUCAACUAGCCACAAUUUGGUUAUUCUGUGACACACACUGGUUAAUCCCUCUGCAGGUGCAAUUAUUGUUAAGGCUAGCAAUACAGGUUCUUUGGAAGGUGGGAGUUUAUAGGCAACUGAGCACCAGUUUAUGCUGAAUUUAUUGUUUUUCGACUUCAAGACAGAUUUUAUAUUGUCCAUACAUUUGUGUGGACUCAUCCCUGCUGUACCGCAUGUUUUUCAAUGUUUAAACACUGAUUUUGAUGGUGGUACCAAUAGAUGUAAACAAUAUACAUACAUAAGGCAAAGCUCUUGAGUAGGAGUUCAGUAUGAAUCCGUAACAGUACAAAAAUGCAAGACAAAAGUGCAAUGGAACAAAUCAAAUAUGAUAUCUGAACGUUAGGAGUGAUAGACCACUUGUCUAUCAAAAUACCUACUUCUCACAUAUAUAUAUUUUCUUCUAGACACAUGUUGAAAGUACCGUAUAUACUCGAGUAUAAGUCGACCCAAAUAUAAGUCGAGACCCCUAAUUUUACCCCAAAAAACUGGGAAAACUUAUUGACUCGAGUAUAAGACUAGGGUGGGAAAUGCAGCAGCUACUGGUAAAUUUCUAAAUAAAAUUAGAUCCCCCCAAAAUAAUAUUAAUUGAAUAUUUAUUUACAGUGUGUGUAUAUAAUGAAUGCAGUGUGUUCUCUCUACGCAUUGAUGUAACAUGUUGGAACGCAUAUGCGAUCCAUACACGAGGAGAAAAGACGAACCAGAAGAAGAAGCGCACUGACGCAAGACGCUAGAACGCACGCUGCGUUCCACAAACCAGAAACAUCGAACUGGAAGUAAACAGAAAGCAGGAGACUUAAAGAGAAGAGGACAGAGAACGUGAACACAACCAACAGAGGAAACCCAUUUGAAUGGGUGAAACGCGUUUUGGACAUGUAUUGGACUAUUUAGCCAACCAGAGGACACUAUACCUGGUACUUACUAUUGUUUUUAAAUUCAUUUCAUUUUAUUUUGUUAUUUUUUAUCAAUAAAGAACCUUUUGGAAUAUACUCCUGGUAUACUGUGUAUACACUUCUGGCAUCCUGUGCGUCCUGGUAUCCUGAGCAUUCCGUGUGUCAGGCGGUGAGAGCCCCAGAAAGAGAACCAAAGAGAUAAGGAAUUACAUUUUUAUCCUGUGAGUGGUUGUGUUUGCUUUCCUAUAAUGUUGUUAAGGCAGCCCUGUUUAGGGGGGCACCUGGUAUAUGGGGAUGGUUAAAUGAGUAUAAUAUGGCUAAUUAAUAAACGUUCUCAAAGCAGAGCUAUUGUACGGUACAUGAUGAUCCCUGCUGUAGAAAAAGCUGUCAGUAGCUGCCAAUGUGUGGAGCCCACUUAUAUCUUAGAACCAUGCCGUGCCAUCGCCGAGGAGUUUGGAGAAGUUGCCAAGCAGAUUUGAGACUCAGUGCUGAUGGCUUUAGAAAUUGGCUGAGUUCUGUUCCAGCUUUUGUUCUACGUAAUGAUUGCAGCCAUUGAAAUCUCCUUCAGUUUUCUCUGCAGACUCAUGAAUACCUUGGGCUCAUUUCCUUGAUUUCAUUAGCAUAUGCAAGGAGGUAAUUACAUGCAAACAGCCACUCAGAGUUCUAUAAAUAUCUCAAUAGACCACAUUAACGGGGACGCGUUUGGACAAAACACUGAGGAUCAAUGUGAUUUGCAUAAAGUUUUAUACGGAGGAAAGAUACCUCCACGAUUACUUAUAGAAGGAGAAGAUUCAUUCAAACUGGUAUUUUAUUCACUUGUGCAGCUGGAUAUUUGUUGUAGUGCACUUAAUAAUGCAGUUAUUUGUAUUUAUUAUAAACACGUGGAUUAUGGACACCCAUUAUGCAUUCAUAAAUUACCAUAAAACAAUCCAUAAGUGAAGCUCUAUAUGACAUUUCCAUCGAAGAUAUGAUGAACACAACAAUAUAACUCCCAACAUUGAGAGAAGUAAGAAUGGAGAUAUUAAAGGAUCGGGGCAAUGGUGUGCACGGGACACACAGAUGAUAGCGGUCAUCAAAAGAAGGUUGAUGCCGGCUCUUUAUGUAUUUAUAUGCGCUCUGACCUCAUGGUGGAACUUUGUAAGGUAAAAACCUAAGAUGGUGUUACAAGGUUCCCAAGUCAGGACGUUUGGGAUCUAUGGCACAAUAAUAAAAUAAAAGCAUACGGAACACUUCAUCUAUCAGAUAAAUAUGCUGGUGCUAUCUGCUCAUUGUGGUCUGCUAAAAGAAAAAUGUAUCAGUAGUUAUUUCUCCAAAUAAUAAACAGUUGGACCUCACUCACAUGGAACAAUGCAAAUGCCCUUGUUCUUGCCUGCGGCUCUUUCCAAUGUGUAAUAAUCCUUAUUUGGCCAUGGGGAGGUUAACCUCUGCUUCUGGCGGUCAGCUUACUGUUACAUAGUUACACAGCUGAAAAUAGACUGGCGUCCAUCAAGUUCAGCCUUCCUCACAUCUGUUUUUGCUGUUGAUCCAAAAGAAGGCAAAAAACCCAGUCUGAAGAGCUUCCAAUUAUGCAACAAACUAGGAAAAAAAAUCCUUCUUGAUUCCAAAAUAGCAGUCAGAUGUCUCCUUGGAUCAAGCAGCUAUUUCCCCACUAAUUAGAAAUGAUAUCCUUGAAUAUUCUGUUUUUGCAAGUAUGCAUCUAGUAGCCGUUUGAACACCUGUAUGGACUCUGAUAAAACCACCUCUUCAGGCAGAGAAUUCCAUAUCCUUAUUACUUUUACUCUAAAAAAACCUUUUCUUUGCCUUAGAUGAAAUCUCUUUUCUUCCAGCCUAAAUGUGUGACCUUGUGUCCUAUGUAUAGCCCUGUUUAUGAAUAGAUUUCCAGAUAAUGGUUUGUACUGGCCCCGAAUAUAUUUGUAUAAAGCUAUCAUAUCCCCUCUCAGGCGCCGUUUUUCCAAACUAAACAGAUUUAAUUUUUUAACCUUUCUUCAUAACUAAAAUGCUCCAUUCCUUUUAUUAAUUUUGUAGCUCGUCUCUGCACUUUUUUUAGUGCCAUGAUAUCCUUCUUUAGAACAGGCGCCCAAAAUUCCAUUCCAUGUUUUUUCUCACGCAUUUGAUUUAAUUAAAUUGGAAUUAUUUUGUUUUAUUAGAUAUAAAGGCAGUCUGAAUUUAUGAAAAUAUAGGUAUUAUAUAGUUUAUUUGUAACAGAGAAAGAGACGUGGUAACAUGAAUACGGGCUUGGUCUUUUAGAAAUGGAGUUGAGUAUUAAAGGGUCUCUGUCAGAGUUUGUUCCACUAUUUUGGUGUGUUAUUAUUUUGUUACUAUUCCGUUUUCUGCUUUAGCAUUUUACAUUUUGUACCCUGUUUGUCAUUUUUAGCUUGCAUCUUUUUAUUUUUUUGUAAGACCACAAUUUUCACUUGGUCUGUAUCCAAAGAAUGCUGUUUUCUCUGUUCUGGUUAAGCAAUUACGAAAGAGGGAAAAACAAUGUUACACAUAACAGACAAAUUUGUUGUGUAAAAAUAGAAAAAGCUUGCGCGUAUAUGAAGAUGUAAGUAAUAGUUUUGUACAUGUGAAUUUGGCACAUACAGAACAUUGAGGGACCCUUUCAAAAAUGAAAAUAUUUUUUUCGAUAUAUCCCUUUUCUUUCUAAAACAAGAACUGGAAAGGUUACAGAAUAGAGAUGACAAGUGAUGAAGCCAAUCACCCUUAGGUUGUACUGCAAUUAAAAGAACAUUGUAGUCACUUUAACAACUUAUCUUAUUAAAGGAUCACUAUAGGGUCAGGAACACAAACAUGUAUUCCUGACCCUAUAGUGUUAAAACCACCAUCUAACCCCCCUGGGCCCCUCAUGCCUCCAUAAAUAUAGUACAAAUCUUACUGUAUUCAAACUUGAAGCUGUAACUCUGCUUGCUGUUAGACUCAGAAAAACAAGCAGUCUGCUGACAUCAUCAGAAGUGGUGGCCUGAUCCAAUCACAACGCUUCCCCAUAGGAUUGGCUGAGACUGACAAAGAGGCAGAUCAGGGGCAGAGCCAGCAUGAUUCAAACACAGCCCUGGCCAAUCAGCAUCUCCUCAUAGAGAUUAAUUGAAUCAAUGAAUCUCUAUGAGGAAAGUUCAGUGUCUGCAUGCAGUGGGAGGAGACACUGAAUGUUUGGAUGCAUUUUAGGCAGCCAUGACCCAGGAAGGAUCUCUAACAGCCAUCUGAGGAGUGGCCAGUGAAGUUAUCACUAGGCUGUAAUGUAAACACUGCAUUUUCUCUGAAAAGACAGUGUUUACAGCAAAAAGCCUGACAGUAAUGAUUCUACUCACCAGAACAAAUUCAAUAAGCUGUAGUUGUUAUGGUGAUUAUAGUGUCCCUUUAAAGUUGUUAUAAUGCCUCAAAUAAAUAAUGAAAUAGAAGGCUUGGAAGCGCAGCAUCAAGUGACGUCUCCAAGCUUUCUAGGUAUGAGAUCCUCUGGGUAUAAUGAUUUAAAUAAAAAAUAAAAAAGCAAAAUUGAGAAAUGUUAGCAAACAAAACAAAAUCUAUAUUUAAGAGAAACUUGCUGGAGAUAUGUUCCUGAUCUGGUCUUAACUAGAGGGCGAAAGAAGAAAAACAUCUCAAAAAUAAUCGUAGUGCUGUCUAUAUGUAAUGAUCUUACUUCCUGCCUUUCAUUCCGUAACAUACCGUGAACACCAUGAUUCCUUAUGGAGAAAUCGUAGGUGCAUUACGGUGAGUGCUGUGCAUGUGCCUACAUUCCCCAAUGCUCCUCUGCCCCAUUAUCCUGAAGGCACUCCUACAAGAUGACGUAACACGAGGAAGAGAUUGUGGCAGAAAAGAUGAGUUAUUAAUUUAUUUGUAUAUUUAUUUUGUGACGCAUGUGGGGGACCUAAAUGACAAUAUGCAUCAGGGCUGUAGCAUUAGGAAUACAGAUAUGUAUUCCAAACACCACAGUGUUCCUUUAAUCUUGUUUUUAGAGUUUUCUGGGGGGGGGAGGUCUUUUAUUCCCUACACCUGAUCAAAACACCUAUCCUUAUAUAUUCUAGAGCGCAGUAGUUUACUCUGUACAGUGUGAGUGAUGUCCAACAGGAUGGAUUUGUAUUAUAAUGUUAUUACAUAUAAACAGCACAAUGAUUAUUAUAUAGAUGUUUUUCUUCUCGUGCUCUGUAGCUAUGACCAAAUACCUUCAGCAAGUUUCUCUUAAAUAUAGAUUUAUUUUUUUGUUUGUUAAUAUUUCUCAGUUUGGAACUUGUUAUAUUUAGAUUUAAAUCAUUAUACAUAACAUCAUUUACUGUUAUUUUAUUCUAAUCAUAAGCAGAAUUCAGCCUACUUUCUGUGGAUGUAAGCAUAAAGGGACUCUCUAGGUACCAAAACCACUUUAGCUUACUGAAGUGGGUUUGGUGUAUAGAUCAAGCCCCUGCUGUCUCACUGCUCAAUUCUCUGCUAUUUAGGAGUUAAGUCACUUUUGUUUAAACAGUCCUAGCAACACCUCUCUUGAGUGAGACUCACACUGCCCGAUAAAAAGUCUACAUUUUCUAUCUUCUUUUUUUGCACAAUGUGUAUAAUUUAAAAUUUCGUAUGGUAUAGGAGCCUCAGAUACGAACUUCUAAAAUCAACCUUUUGUGCUGUCAGAUCUGAUUGAAACUGAAGAUAGAGGAGAUAAGAACUUCUAAAGCAAAUGCACAGUGCUAUCAUGGAGGAAUGGUAAGUAACUGCCAGGAGAGGUGUGGAUAGGGCAUAAACAGAAACAAAAGUGAUCUGGCUCCUAAAUGGUAGAGAAUUGAGCAGUGAGACGGCAGGGGCAUGAUCUAUACACCAAAACUGCUUCAUUCAGCUAAAGUUGGUUGGUGCUUAGAGUAUUUCUUUAAAUGAUUAAAAAUACAAUAAACUGAAUUAUUAUAACUGCUAAACCCAAAAACAUAGUAGAGGUCAAUUUUCUGAAAAUGAUCAAAUAUCCAAAUAAAACGCUUAAGGACUGGCGCUCUCUAGAAAUCUCUUGGUGGGGAAGAGUUAAUACCAUCAAACCAUAUAUUAUCCCCAAAUGGACAUAUUUCUUCAAUAUGAUCCCAUUAAAAUCCCCUAAGCCAUGGCUGGAUGUGCUUCAUCACUCUUUUUCCAAUUAUAUAUGGAAAUUAAAAACUCCAAGAAUAAAAUCUCAAAUUUUAACCAAAAAAAUUAACCAAGGAGGCAUGGCACUUCCCUUGAUGAGAGAUAAAUACUAUGCCAAUAUUAUCACCCAUAUUCAUAAAUUCCAGAUUCAAGAGACUUGAAAUCAAGUCUGGUAUAGAAUUGAAUCAGUCAGAGCUAACAAAAAUGAUCUAUCCCUUUUGAUCUGGGAUGACUUUACUAACUUUAAGCAUUCAUUACAAAGAAAACUCGACGGUAACGCAUCUUAUAGAAGAAUGGCAAUUAAUUUAAAAAAUACUUAAAAUCACUAAAAAAAUAUUUGAAGGAGCAAACAUUUGAAUUCUGGAAAGAGCUAUUCCUGAUUUAAAUUUAAGUACUUGGAGAGCUCACAAAGAGAUUUUUAUUGAAGAUCUCAUACAAGAUUCUAAACUGUCUCCUUAUGACAACAUGAAAAUAAAAUUAAACAUCUCCGAUAAAGAAAUCUUUAGUUAUUUGAGAGUUAGAGGGUUUCUCAAAGAAUUUCUUAUAAAGACUGAAGGAAAUACAAAGAAUCUUAUAUAUAAAAAUGUAAAAAAAAAGGAGUCUAAAUCAGUCAGCUCCAUUGCGAUGGAUCUAAUUAGACAAGUAUAUACAAACAUACAACCCACAGCUAAAAACCAGUGGGAAAAUGACCUCAACUGUAAAAUAUCUGAUAAAGAAUGGUGCUCUUCAUUGAAAGUUGUCAAAAAACAUACACACUGUCUUAAUUUAAUCGAGACAUGCUUCAACCAGAUUAGCAAAGAUAUCUCCGUCAAAUUCUUUUAUGUGUUGGAGAUGUCUGGCCCAUGAAGGAACUAUGCUUCAUAUUUGGUGGAAUUGUCCAAAAAUAAUAACAUUUUGGGAUUCGAUAUAUAAUAUUAUGUCUCUUUUUAAUAUAAAACUAAAGAAAUCUCCAGAAAGUGGUCUACUCCACAUUAAUUGGGGAAACCUACCAAAAAUUCAUCAAAUCUUAACCUUACAUUUUCUCAUAUCUGCGAAAAUAGUAAUCACAACAUCGUGGAAACAAAUAUUAACUCCAGAUAUCUCCCUAUUUAAAAAACAACUUAUAUUUCAGUUAGAAAUGGAGAAAGGAGUUGCAUAUUCUAAUAAUAACCUUAAAUAUACUCAUUACUAUGUACAAUGGAUUCAAAAGAUAAAAGAGAUAGUUUAAAGCCAUAAUUCCUCUAUUUACUAUAAUGCUAAACUAACUGAUAUCUUCCCUAGACGAGCAAUGUACCAAAUUACAUAUUGUACGUAUGUCGUCCUUGUAUUGUCGUUGUCAAAUAUGUUUGUCAAAUUGUUUGUAAAAUUUCUAAAAAUUUCAAUAAAAAAGUAUGAAUAUAAAAAUACAAUAAACUGACUAAUGUUUAGUCUAGGUAUGUGCCAAAAUAAAUUUAUUUUUGCGUGUUGAAUGUGUGCAGCGGAAUUACAGUUAUUCUUGCUUUUCUGUGCCUGUCUAGACUCUUCCUCUGAAAAAGUAAUUAAAAUGUGUGAUCUCCAGUCAUGUACUAUCAUAGAGUUCCAGAUAUAGGAAUUAAACAUUGUGCUGCAAAGAGUUACUUGCGCACUAUCCCAAAUCCCUCUGCAUAUUUAAAUAACUGGAAGUUUUUAGUAUCACUCCAAUGGCCAUUAGAUUGUAAGCUCACCUGCCAGGUCAAUUCAAAACCUCUUAGAUGAGCCCUACACUAACUAUUCACCUAGAAGGUAAAAUCUCUUUCUAAACAGGACUGCAGAUUUUUGGGAUUAUCAGUCAUUCAGGUGACAUCAGUGGCUCACUGUAUAUUGUAAUUCUGAUAGAUUAGAAUUACUCUGAAUCUCUUCACCUCGUUCCUUAUUCCGCUGCUCAGAGAUACAAUUAUUACAAAAUGAAAUAUUUAGCUUUUUGGGAUUUUUUUUAACUUAUAGUGGGCUUCUCUCCCAGGACAGGGAUCAAUGCUAUUAACAAGUCAUUAUCUAAAAGCAAGACUGACCCCAGGUGUAAAAAAUGGUAUUAAUCAAAUGUGUAUAAUGCAUAUCUAUAUUAUGUUCAAUGAUUUAACAGUUUGCAGGAGAUUUCUUGUUAAAUAAUACCUAGCUGUGUAACUUGUAAUACGUGGACACUUAGCGCAUAUAUCGAAACCACUUUUUAUGUCCUGAGCUGUAAAUCGUAUGACAACAUUACAAACGAUAAAGAAAAUGUCUGAUGCAUUUUGGGAAGUAUAAUAAAUAAAUAAAAAAUUGUAACGAACUUUAACUUCUACCUGAUUGAUUUUAAAAUGUUAACACUAACAUUUGCAUAUUUUUGGAGUAAUGUGGUUAGGUGUGUGUCCUUCCAUACCUGUCUCCCUUAACAUGCCCCCUAGUGGUCAUCUCGCAGUUCUUUGUAAAUCUAACUCAGACUUUGCUGUCUAACCCGUGUCACGAUAAUGUAACGUCAGUUUACUUUUACUACCCUCCAUGUCAGGCUCUUUCACCCCAUGCUGUACCUUUUCCACAUCAGCUCCCUCUACCCCAUCUCUUCCAUACCGGUAAAGCUGUGCUCAUGCCAGUAUUCCAUACAACAGGGGUGGGCAACAUUUCAUACGCCAAUGUGUACAUCUCCCCUGAUCAGUGGUGACUCUUAGAACACUAUAUAGGGGAAAAAAAAGAUACCACAAUCAAAACUGGGGGGCCCUACUAAUUUCUACUGGGGGCUGGGGUAACGUGCCAGCAUUGCUGGUGGCAGACAACAAAUCUGCACAGAAUUUACAUUAGCCACCUGGAAUUCUUGUUCUGGGCUAACAAAUUACAACUCUUAAUUUUGAUCUUCUAACUGUUUAGCAGAUAACUCCACUAUUUGAUUUUUUUUUGUGUGGGAUUGCCAUAUUUAAGGACACCAAAUAAGGGAGCUAUCUGCUAAACAGUACCCUAAUUUGGCACCCCUAAAUAUGGCAAACCCACAUAAGCAUGCACAUUUAGGAAAUUAUCUACUAAACAGCUCAAAGAUCAAAAUUAAGAAAAGCCCAUUUCAGUUUCAGUUGUUUACGAGAUAACACCUUUAUUUGUUAUCCAUAUGUGGGAUUGCCAUAUUUAAGGGUACCAAAUUAGGGAGCUAUCUACUAAACACAUACAGAUUUUAAUGCACACACAUGCACACAAUCAUAUACACACACACAUAACCACAAAUACAUACAAACAAUCACACACACACACAAUCACAAGCGUACACAAUCACAAGCGUACACUCAAUCAUUAUCACAGACAUACACAAAGCGUAUUCACACUCAUCAUCACAGAUACACACACAAACACAGACACAAACGCAACCCUGCUUUUACAGGAUUGGCUGUGACGUAGUUAUUAAUGCAAUACAUGUUGUGUCGUGACAUAUGUAUAAAACAGCUAUAAAAUGCAUGAUUGAGAAAAUAUUAAAAUAACUAGUGUAGAAAAAAACUCUCUGCCAUUAAAUGUUGUUCAGUCAUUAUAGAUGACGCAAUCUGUACUGCCUACAUAAACAGACAUGGAUCGACACUUAUCACGUUUUGUAAAGAUGUCUUUAUACGUACUAUCAAGCUAUGUGUAUUAGUAGUAGAUAUAGAGACUUUAUUAAAACAGCCCCUCUUUGUGCUCAGCCUGUGGACAUCGUGCGUUAUUCCAGACAAUCGUGGAAGGCUAUCGGAGGGAGGUGUGAAACAAUGUGACAAAGAAACAUAUCUUCUGCCUCUGUUAGAUUUCCUUCCUUCUUGAAAAGUACAAAAGGAGAAUGAAUCAUUUUUGUUGACUCUCCACAGAGCCCUGAGUUAUUCUGAAUGAGUUCGGGAACGCAGCAGUGCUGCUGGCCUCCAUGAUAACUGCGUACGCGAUUCAUGGCAAAACUGUCCUUCAUCACAUUUACUUAAAUUAGAAGAACAGAUGUGUAGCCGUAAAUCUAAUUGCACACGGUGAAGUGACAGAAUCACUGAUGUCAGUUAAAAAAAAAAUAGCAUUUUUUUUUUUUUAAGAAAUUAAAUUGCAUGGAAUCCACUGAUUUAUUUUUCAGAAAACAGCUUUAGCAGUUAGUAACAUAAAAGUAUUUAAUCUGGAAAGGUACACAGUGUUUUCUCCAGUAAUCGCUCGGUAGCACACCCGGUAUCCCACUCACCAUCUCAACGUUAUCAUAACCAAAGCUAGUGGUUCUCAUAUCAUUGACCUUGGAAGGAGGACACUUUGAGCUGACCUUGCUCUGAAUCAAGUAUUUGACUCCAAGUAGCGCAGGUGGUGUAUUAUCUACUUAGCUAUCUCUCUGGAUGGCAGCAAUAAGGGUAAAAAUCAAAUUUCUAUUACCUUGGGCAGGUAAUAUUUGUGUUAGAUUUUCCCUUAAGCAAAUGAAAUCACCAUAACCACUACUGCAUGCUGUAAUGGUUAUGUUUCUAGGAGUGCUCUGGCACCCCCCAUUGUCAGAAGGCAGACGAUAUUAGAACAGGUUGUCUUCUUACUUGGAGUUGGCUAAGAAUCACUCAUCACUUGGCUAAGCAUCACUAUCUCCACUCCCUCAGCGAGAGAUCUGGAAGCUCUGUGUCUGAGCUAUACCCUUCAGGGCUUGGCUGAUUGGCUGAGAGUGGUCAGUUGGCACUGCAGGGCUUGGCUGAUUGGCUGAGAGUGGUCAGUUGGCAUUGCAGGGCUUGGCUGAUUGGCUGAGAGUGGUCAGUUGGCACUGCAGGGCUUGGCUGAUUGGUUGAGAGUGGUCAGUUGGCACUGCAGGGCUUGGUUGAUUGGCUGAGAGUGAUCAUUUGGCACUGCAGGGCUUGGCGGAUUGGCUGAGAGUGGUCAGUUGGCACUGCAAGGCUUGGCGGAUUGGCUGAGAGUGGUCAGUUGGCACUGCAGGGCUUGGCGGAUUGGCUGAGAGUGGUCAGUUGGCACUGCAGGGCUGGUGGAUUGGCUGAGAGUGGUCAGUUGGCACUGCAGGGCUUGGCUGAUUGGCUGAGAGUGGUCAGUUGGCACUGCAGGGCUUGGCUGCUUGGCUGAUUGGCUGAGAGUGGUCAGUUGGUACUGCAGGACUUGGCUGAUUGGGUGAGAGUGGUCAGUUGGCACUACAGGGCUUGGCUGAUUGGCUGAGAGUGGUCAGAUGGCACUGCAGGGCUUGGCUGAUUGGCUGAGAGUGGUCAGUUGGCACUGCAGGGCUUGGCUGAUUGGGUGAGAGUGGUCAGUUGGCACUACAGGGCUUGGCUGAUUGGCUGAGAGUGGUCAGUUGGCACUGCAGGGCUUGGCUGAUUGGCUGAGAGUGGUCAGUUGGCACUGCAGGGCCAGGAGAGCUGGCAGCCUAUCCUAUGCCUGGCUAAGGUAGUGUAUGCACAUCAUUCUAAAAUGGUUUGGCUAUUAACAAUGGCGCGCGGGGUGUGUGUAUGCAAGCACCUUCUGGUGGUUAUGGUGCUUGUAGUUUUCUUUUAACAUUUUCCUUAAUGCCCAGAUAUCUUCAAGUAGUAGAAAAGGUUGCUAAAGAUACUACUGCAUAAUUCCCCAUAAAAUGCCUAUUCUGAAUGGAAGCAGAAUUUGUGCUCAGAUCUCAGUGUUGGCGUGACCAGUGACCAGUCUUCUUGGCAGGUUCAUUUUUACACAGAUUCAGAAAUACCAUUGCUAAAGAGCCUGAUUGCCGCUCCCUGAAAGCAGCUUCUUAAAAAUACCAAAAUAAUUUACAGUUAACAUCUAUAUGUGGAUAUAAUGCCCACAUAUGAUUAUAACAGUUUAUACAGUUAUACCAAGCAUGUGUAAUUUAUGGAAUUGUGAAACAAUGUGACAAAAAAAAUGCCAUUAUUGUACUUAGAUCCUCCCUCUGUACUCAAAUGCAGCCAAGAAGUAUGGCCUAUAAUGAAUGCUGUAGGAUGUGAGACAAGACAGUGCGUGAGGGAUGGGAGUGUGCGUGUGUGGUGGGGUUGGAGAGUAUGUGUGGCGUGGGAGUGUGCGUGUGUGGUGGGGUUGGAGAGUAUGUGUGGCGUGGGAGUGUGCGUGUGUGGUGGGGUUGGAGAGUAUGUGUGUGGUGGGAGAGUGCGUGUGUGGUGGGGUUGGAGAGUAUGUGUGGCGUGGGAGUGUGCGUGUGUGGUGGGGUUGGAGAGUAUGUGUGGCGUGGGAGUGUGCGUGUGUGGUGGGGUUGGAGAGUAUGUGUGGCGUGGGAGUGUGCGUGUGUGGUGGGGUUGGAGAGUAUGUGUGUGGUGGGAGAGUGCGUGUGUGGUGGGGUUGGAGAGUAUGUGUGGCGUGGGAGUGUGCGUGUGUGGUGGGGUUGGAGAGUAUGUGUGGCGUGGGAGUGUGCGUGUGUGGUGGGGUUGGAGAGUAUGUGUGUGGUGGGAGUGUGCGUGUGGUAGGCUCCUGGUCUGGGAGGGGUCAGCGUGCACCUUAAUCUUACAGAGUAUUAGCAGAAGCAGCAGAAAUGUGGUAAGUGUCUUUUUUCCCUUUUUUUUAUUCUAUUUUUUUGUAUUAGAAUGUACUUAUUCAAAUAACGCAGAGUGCACUGACAAUAGACAUUACAGAGAGGCGCUGUUCAUUCAAAUGUCAAUUAUAUCUAUGUUUUAAUGAGAGCGAAAGGAAACAUUACAUCAUCCCCUCUAACGUCUUAUUUAAUAAAAUGUGUAUACUGACUUUUUAAACAUUAGGUUCGUAAUCUGAUUGUUAGCUUAUCUGUCCAGUCAGUGUAUUAAACCUGCAAUUACCUUCCCACUGUGGCUGCCUUACAACACUUGCUUUGAAGUCAACAAAGACUGUGUUUAACAGAUCCCCCGCUCCCCAAUGCUAAUCCUUGGUAAUUAAAGCAAAUUUGUAAAUAGUUCAUAGGACAGAUUUAUAAGGAAUAAUCCUCGCAUUCAUUACAUAGUGCUAUGUUUAUGCUCUGAUAAUUAACAUUUUGAAAGUGCAAAAAGAACAAGUAAUUACAGGUGGUUCUCACUAAUCUAAAACUUUAAUUGUGUUAAUUAAAAAGAUCUCAGUUUUUUCGUUUUAAUUUAGGUCACGGAAAUCUCAAAGCAAAGCGUAAUGAUUUUUUCUCUUUUUAAAGAUUCAUUUUUCAGAGCUAAAAACUUAUAUUAUUUUGUAUUUGUUUCUCUGCAUGGCUUUUUAAUCUUGUGAAACCCGACCUACAAUGUUGGAAGCAGAGGCGUAAUCCUGGUGUGCGAAAAUUGCCCUGGGGCUCCACCAUACGUCUACUCCCCACCGCAUACGUCUCCAUCCCCACACGUCUCCGCCCCCACACACAUGUAGACAAACAAAUACACAUGCAGACACACACACAGACACACACAUACAUGUUGACAUACACACACAUACAAACACACACACACAUACACACAGAGAUCCUUACAUACAGACAUACAUAGACACACAUUCAUACACACACAUACAUACACACACAUACACACACUUAGACAUGUAGACACAAACACACAUACAUACAGACACACAUACAAACACACAGACACAUACAUACAUAUAGACAUACAAACACACACAUACAUACAGACACACAAACACACACAUACAUACAGAUACAAAUACACACACAUACAAACACACAUACACACAGAGAUCCUUACAUACAGACAUACAUAGAUACAUUCAUACACACACACACACAUACAUACACAUAGACAUGUAGACACACAGACACAUACAUACAGACACAGAUACAUACAACACACACAUACAUACACCUAGACAUGUAGACACACACAAAAAAACACACACAUACAUACAGGCACACAAACACGCACAGACACACGUACACACACAUACAAACACACACACAUAUACACACAGAGAUCCUUACAUACAGACAUACAUAGACACACAUUCAUACAUACACACACACAUACAUACACAUAGACAUGUAGACACACAGACACAUACAUACAGACACACAUACAUACAAACACACAGACAUACAAACACACACACACAUACACACACAUAUAUACAGACACACCCACAUACACACACACAGUGACACAUACAUACACACACACAUACACACAGACAGACACACAUACUGAAAUACAGACACACAGACACACAGGGUGGCAUAACAUGGGCACCUCAGUCACAGGGGUCGAGAGGGCGGCCGGACACACAGACACACAUGGCUGACGGGCACCUCGGUCGCAGGGCGGCCGGACCCCCUGGAGUGAUGGGCUCGGUUGCUGUUGCGACCCCUGUGACCGUGGUAUUUCCGCCACUGGUAAGGUUCCUGUAAUUAAUGCAUUGAUCUUAGAACUUGGAUAUGUAAGAACUCCACUUUGGACCGGUGUGUGGCUCCAUCCACCCACUCAUGCACGCAAAUGCUUUGCUUCUUCUUUCCAGCCAGUUCUGUCCUUUUUUUUGGCCAGUCCCACCUUUGCUAGGAGUCCUACAGUUUCUGGGCAACCCAUCCACUCUCUGGGCAACCCAUUCCCUCUCUGGGCCAGCCAUUCACUCUCUGGGCAAUUAAUUCACUCUAUGGGCAAUCCAUCCACUCUCUGGGCAAUCCAUCCACUCCUUGGGCAACCCAUCCAUUCUCUGGGCAAUCCAUCCACUCCCUGGGCAACUCAUCCACUUUCUGGGCAAUACAUCAACUCUCUGAGCAAUCCAUCCACUCUCUAAGCAACCCAUCCACUCUCUGGGCAAUCCAUCCACUCUCUGGGCAAUCAAUCCACUCUCUGCACAAUCCAUCUACUAUCUGGGAAAUCCAUCUACUAUCUGGGAAAUUCAUCUACUCCCUUGGCAACCCAACCACUCUCUGGGAAAUCCAUCUACUCUCUUGGAAAUCCAUCUACUCUCUUGGCAACCCAACCACUCAUUCGGCAGUUCUAUGCACUCUUAAGUUCAAAGAACACCCACUGUGAGUGUCCGUAAAAAGUUCUCCUGGCAAAAACCACACCUUCAAUCCCAGCUCCAGUUCCAUGGUCCUGGGUUUGUCUCCUGGUGCUCCACAUCUGGGGAUCCCAGGCAACUGCUCCCAGUGUGUUUCAGUUACAGCAAUGAAGACAGAGUGUUAUUCAAAUUUGAUUUCCAAUAUCAUUUCACCCCCUUUGAUAUUGUUUAAUCCUUUACAUGCAGUAAGAUUAGGUAUAAGAGUUAUGAGACGCUUUUAAGACCUGUAAUGAAACUGCCCAUUUCCACAUAAGCACAGCACGCCCAGCGGUCUUCUAAUGCUAAUUAUUAUUUAUUAAAUGUGAGCAAAUGAAUAUGACAAUCUCUGAGAAUAAAGGAACAUUUUCCAGAUUUAAACACAUUUUCUUCCUGUGCCAAAAUAGCUUUAAUGUAGCCAAUUAUAUUACUGUCCUUUCAAAAUCUCUUGCAUUGUUGUACACGAAGUCCACGUCUCGUGCGCAUCAAUGGUUUCGCCCAGGAGCACUUUCCAAGACAAUUCCCUCUGAGAGUGUUUCACGAAAUACAGGCCAUGUUUCUCCCUCCAGGCCACGUACACUUGUUGCUCGCUUUGCGACUUCCGAAUCUAACAAUUGAAUGCACAUAAUGUUGUACUCUAAUGGCAAAACCUGCCCGCUGCAUUCACUCACCUUUUUAACCCUCUGGUUGAUAAGAUUGAUAGAAGGAAAAAUGAGUUUGUAUGCAGACGAUAUUUUAAUCACACUGACAAACCCUAGUAGAUCAUUCAUUAUUCUUAUGAAAGAAAUAGAGAGAUAUUCUUCGGCAUCAAAUUAUAAAUUAAAUAUAAAUACAUUUAUGAUAUUAGAUCUUAAUUUAGAUAAUACAAGUAAAAGGGAAAUAGGAAAUAUGUACGAGUUCUUAUGGGUAGAAGAAACAAUCAAUUAUUUAGGUAUUAGUUUAACAAGAGAAACCAAUCAAAUCAUGGAGGCAAAAUUCCUGAAUCUUCUAUAAAACACUAAUAAAUGGCUAAAAGAACGAAAACAUCUAGAGAUGAACUUCUGGGGAAGAGCCAAUGUAGUGAAUGGAUAUGUUAUACCCAAAUGGAAUUAUUUGUUUAAAAUGUUACCAUUAAAUAUCUCUAAUAGCUGUCUUAAAAUGAUUCAAACCAGUUUAAUGCAAUAUAUAUAUGGAAAGGAAAAAAAACAAGGUAAGUCAGAUCACCUUAGCCCAGAAGGGAGGUAUUAGAUAUCCAUUUAUUAAGAAUAAUUAUAUAGCCUCUAUAUCACUUCAUGUUUAUAGAAUGCAAUUAAGUAAUAACAGUAAUGAAGGAUGGUAUAAGACGGAAGCUAAAGCAGGGGACGUUAUGAGUUUUGAAGGUCUAAGUCAACAGGGAAAAGACACUAUCCCAAUAUUAUCGUAACACAUCUGUUGAAAAAUUGGUAAACAAAUUAAAGCAACGUUAAAGACCAAAACAAAAUUCCUACACAUCUUGAUCUGGAAUUUACUGAACAACAAGUCUGUGACUUACAUUUCAUUAAGUGGACAUAAGUGGGGAUUAAUAAGAUAUCUCAAUUAUUAGAAAAUGGAGUACUUAAAUAUUUUUCCUCAACGGAAGAAUUAAUAUAAUUAACCAUCCAAAGAACUAUUAACCUUUUUAAGGGUAAAGAGUUUUAUAACAUCACAUUUAAUAAAAUUGGAUUCUUUAGAGAUGAAUAAAAUAAAAACAUUAUGUAACUCAAAUCCUUUAGAAAAAACAUUUUUUUAGUAGAUCCCUCAUAAAAAAAAAAAGCCUACAGCUUUAAAUGUAUGGAAAAAGUACUGAAUAUUAAAAUGGAAAUGAGUGACUGGGGGUCCACUUUGACAAAAGUUUCUAAAAUCACACAUUCCUUAAAUAUGUUGGAAUCUUAUUACAAAGUAAUCCAUAGAUAGAUGGCAUUUAGUGGUGUGGGUGAACCCUGGUCUAACAUCUGAGGGUGUGUUAGUUUUGGGUUUCAGCAAGGACUUGUAUAAGAGAACAGGUGAUUGAACAUGAGGUGAACACAUAACACGGUGCCUCCUCCUUAUAUACCCCAAGGUCAUGGUAGCAAGGACUUUUCAUGAUUACCAAUGGGGUCUGUCUGAGCACAUUUUGAGAGGAAGGGUCAAACCAUGAAGUCUCACUGGUUACCAUGGGAUUGUGGGGAUUUCGUUCAUUUUAUUCUUUUAAGGGAGCAGUUGGGGGCCCUUUUAUUCAAUCUGUCCCUCAACAUUUUUGUGCCAUUAUAAAGGGAGUGCAGAAUUAUUAGGCAAGUUGUAUUUUUGAGGAUUAAUUUUAUUAUUGAACAACAACCAUGUUCUCGAUGAACCCAAAAAACUCAUUAAUAUCAAAGCUGAAUAUUUUUGGAAGUAGUUUUUAGUUUGUUUUUAGUUUUAGCUAUGUUAGGGGGAUAUCUGUGUGUGCAGGUGACUAUUACUGUGCAUAAUUAUUAGGCAACUUAACAAAAAAACAAAUAUAUACCCAUUUCAAUUAUUUAUUAUUACCAGUGAAACCAAUAUAACAUCUCAACAUUCACAAAUAUACAUUUCUGACAUUCAAAAACAAAACAAAAACAAAUCAGUGACCAAUAUAGCCACCUUUCUUUGCAAGGACACUCAAAAGCCUGCCAUCCAUGGAUUCUGUCAGUGUUUUGAUCUGUUCACCAUCAACAUUGCGUGCAGCAGCAACCACAGCCUCCCAGACACUGUUCAGAGAGGUGUACUGUUUUCCCUCCUUGUAAAUCUCACAUUUGAUGAUGGACCACAGGUUCUCAAUGGGGUUCAGAUCAGGUGAACAAGGAGGCCAUGUCAUUAGAUUUUCUUCUUUUAUACCCUUUCUUGCCAGCCACGCUGUGGAGUACUUGGACGCGUGUGAUGGAGCAUUGUCCUGCAUGAAAAUCAUGUUUUUCUUGAAGGAUGCAGACUUCUUCCUGUACCACUGCUUGAAGAAGGUGUCUUCCAGGAACUGGCAGUAGGACUGGGAGUUGAGCUUGACUCCAUCCUCAACCCGAAAAGGCCCCACAAGCUCAUCUUUGAUGAUACCAGCCCAAACCAGUACUCCACCUCCACCUUGCUGGCGUCUGAGUGGGACUGGAGCUCUCUGCCCUUUACCAAUCCAGCCACGGGCCCAUCCAUCUGGCCCAUCAAGACUCACUCUCAUUUCAUCAGUCCAUAAAACCUUAGAAAAAUCAGUCUUGAGAUAUUUCUUGGCCCAGUCUUGGCGUUUCAGCUUGUGUGUCUUGUUCAGUGGUGGUCGUCUUUCAGCCUUUCUUACCUUGGCCAUGUCUCUGAGUAUUGCACACCUUGUGCUUUUGGGCACUCCAGUGAUGUUGCAGCUCUGAAAUAUGGCCAAACUGGUGGCAAGUGGCAUCGUGGCAGCUGCACGCUUGACUUUUCUCAGUUCAUGGGCAGUUAUUUUGCGCCUUGGUUUUUCCACACGCUUCUUGCGACCCUGUUGACUAUUUUGAAUGAAACGCUUGAUUGUUCGAUGAUCACGCUUCAGAAGCUUUGCAAUUUUAAGAGUGCUGCAUCCCUCUGCAAGAUAUCUCACUAUUUUUUGACUUUUCUGAGCCUGUCAAGUCCUUCUUUUGACCCAUUUUGCCAAAGGAAAGGAAGUUGCCUAAUAAUUAUGCACACCUGAUAUAGGGUGUUGAUGUCAUUAGACCACACCCCUUCUCAUUACAGAGAUGCACAUCACCUAAUAUGCUUAAUUGGUAGUAGGCUUUCGAGCCUAUACAGCUUGGAGUAAGACAACAUGCAUAAAGAGGAUGAUGUGGUCAAAAUACUAAUUUGCCUAAUAAUUCUGCACUCCCUGUAUAUUUAUUUGGUAUUGUAUCUAUUUAUAUGUGUCUGACGCAAGUAAAAAAAAAUAGGAACAUUUACUGAAUCGACAAGGAAAUGGCCAAAUGUAAGCGUAAAUAGCUACAAUUGGAACCAUUCUCUAAGUUGUAGUUGUUGUUGUGUCUCAGCUCAGGAAUUUUGAGCUAAGAUGUCCAGUCUCCAUGAUGUUGGCAUGUGAGCUUGCACUUUUAUGGUCAUUGUAUUGAAAGCAGAAACCUUCUUUUAUUUAAAUGUACAUAGGGAUUUGGGAUAGUUUGCAGUAGCCGUCUUGGUUUUAUGAUAUUUACAAUGAUCAUAAUUUAUAGAAUAACCUCAACGAUAUCACUAGCUGAUACCAGAUACACUCAUUAUAUCGCCAGCUGAUAUCAAAUAACUUAAUUAUAUCAACAGCAAAAACUCAAUAUAUUCAUUAUAUCUCCAGCUGAUACCCAGUAAGAGUUUCAAGCUACAACUAGUCUAGCUGCUAGACUGGGAGGGGGAAACACCAAGUCCGGGAGGUUUGAGAAAGAGGGAAUGAUAAAGAGAAGAUGGAGAACUAAAGAGAAAUGAAAGAUAGGGAGAAAAAAAUAGAGGAAUACAGAUAAAACCAGGGAAAACGUGCAUAUUAAAAAAAAAAAAAAGGAUUUUUUUUAUUAAGAAAUCACAUACCAAAAACAAAUAAAAUAAAUAAAAGACACACAUAGAACACACUUAGUGAACCCUAGUCAAAUAAAUAAACAAUAGGGUACAAAUACUUUGCACAAAAUGGAUGUGCUAGUAAAAAAAUGACAUUGCUACAAAGUAGAGUGCUUGUUAUUGGAACCAAACUGUUCUAUAUCUGAUGUGAUGAUAAGACAAGCAACUUCUACAAAGAGGAAGGGAAUAAAGAGUUAGACAAAAAUGGAAAAUAGAGAAAAGUCAUAACAAGAGAUGGAAUAGAAAAACUGAAAGAAAGAGAGAGGAAUGUGAGGGUUUGGAGAGAGAGGGGAGAGGAGAGAAAGAGAGAAGACAGGAAAGAGACAGAGGGGUGGAGGAUGAGGAGGCUUCGGACAUUAUCCAUAAACAGACAGAUUGUGAUAGUCAGCCCGAUCUUGCUCGGCAGAGGAUAGACCAACGUGUUAAUUAAUUACUAGACUCGACACAGCUACCGUUACAUUAGCUUAUGGAAUUGUGCGAAGUGAAUCUCAAUAUCCCUCACAUUGAUUUUGUUUAUCCUAGGCUAUGAAUGUAUACUGUGCUUCCUGGACAGAGAUGGCCAAAUCAGGAUACGUGGACAUGUUUGAAUAGUAAUGAACAUGUUUUGUCUUAAGAUGCACAUUUUUAUAAUUUGCUAAAUAGAUUAACGCGAGCUGACCAUGGCCUGGCCGUGAAUGCACUAUAUGAUUAUUAUAAUCCCAGGUUCCCUUCUGUCAGCGGUGCACAAUAAACAAGCAAUCUGAUUACCUUGGGGGUUGAAUAAAAACCAUCUCUAUAUCUCAUUUUACAAUUUCAAACAAUAUGUGAGGUGCAUUGCUCCAUUUUGCCCCCUUUUCACUGAUUGUUAUAAGUAACGUUUAUUGACCUGAUUGGGCAGCUUGCCCACCUUGCUCCUGGUAUCUUUUUUAACCCUGUGUGGUCUUUAGGCAGUGGCGGCAUGAAGGUUAAACUGUUAAUAUUAUACUGUUAAUACUAUAAAAAAUAUUGUCAGCAAUGAAAACAAUGUUGCGUUCAUGUGUUGUGUUGUUGGGGGGUGGGAUAUGCUGUGUUUGCUUGAAGGAGGUGGGGGAGCAACUAACUUCAUUUAUUGUUUUAUUGUCCUCUUCUUCUCAUUACCCAGGGAUAGAGAGGGGGUACAUUUCGAUUUCUGGUGAUAUAUUUAAAGGCUCCUCUGGACUCUGCACCUUCGCUGGUGCCGACCAUGUAUAUUCUUGUUGUAAUUUCCUGCUCUCAGAUAGUUUCAUGAAGCCCAUGAAGGGACACAUCAAUCUCUGCAUGUGCUGGAUAGCCUGUGUCUUCCUUUCUGAUGGUGUCAUCUGGUGUGGGCCUCACCCCCUGGACUCCCCUAGUGACACCACUGUGUUUAGUAGGAUUAACUAAUUCAGAAGGUGCUGUGGCUUGAUGACUGGGAGGCCCUCAUAGACCUUUGCAAGACCUUUUUAUAGACGUCUUACAGCCUUUAUAGCAUUUAAUCAGAUUUCAUCUAAAACCCCAUUCAUAGUGAUAUAGCUUCUAGCAGGUGUAGUCCUGGGCACACCGCGAGAGCUUGGCUAAUUGCAGCAUCUUUAAUAAGAUUUUUUUCUUUAAUUCCUUUGUGGGCUUUCUCUAAAAAUCCAAAUUAGCAACACAUUAAGAGACCACAUUCUUCCUUGGUUUCUAGAUGUGAGGUCAACCUGCACGAAUCUAAACCGUUAGGCUAUUGGGCAUCAAAGGUGCUCAUGGAGAGGAAAUAUAGGGGAAGAGAAUAUCAAAACUGAGUGCUAGCCCCUCUGCACUCUGCUUUCCCAGAGAUAUCGAUUAAUCGUUUUCACUAUUCUUCUUCUAAUAGUGUAACAAACUAUUUAUACUCUGUGUGCACUUGCCCUUUCUGUAACCUCAGAUCAUUCUCUGCACUUUGAUUAAAUGUAAAAUAUAUCUGCACAAGCUGAAAUGUCUAGUAAGUAAUAACUGCCUUGCCAGCUACCAUUAAUAUUACAGUAUUACUGCUGUGCUCGAGUACUGCUUUAUACAAAAUUUGCAGACAGGGUCUCCUUGUCCUCUUUCACCUGCUGCUCCUCAAUGCUCACAUGUUGCUAUGACAACCAAAUCAAGCCAUUCUUUAAUAAAGUCUUCUUAAAAUGUGGAAAGCAUUUGCUAUUAUCAAAAUAAUGCAUGUUUAUAUUUCUGUAGCAACCGCUAGGUAAGUAGACACAAUUAUAGAAAAAUAAUAUCAUUGAUCCCCCACAGAACGUUCUGUAGCAAUUAAAUAAUGUCAAAGUGAAUAUUUAGAAUGUUUAAACAUAUUCAAGUAGGAAAAUGAUUAAAGGGAAGUUAUGAAUAACAUAUUAAAAAAAUAAUGCAAUAUAUCAAUUAAAUCAUACAAAUCAAAAAGAUACAUACAUUUAAAAUAUUACUGGUGUUUGUUGCCAGCGCUGGACACAUUUAAGACAAACAGUCCAGAGCUCAGUCAAAGUUGUGUAAUCUAGUUGGACAAAAUUGUUAUUGGUCAGCCAUUACAAAGAGCUCCAGCUGCCUGAUUGACAGCUCUGGGAGACCGGCUUAUAGAUGUGUAAUACUUGCAAAUCAGUGCAACUGUAACCCACCCUCAGAACUGAGAAUAGGCUCAAAGUACUUUCUGCACCAUCACCUACACAACCAUGGAUAGCUGUGAUAGUGCUUAGAGAGACCCUUUAAUCUAUGCAGUUAGUGUUCGCCUUUCUUAGCGAAACCUGUACCUCACCAAUAAACCACAUGUUAGUGUGAGCUUCUUUGCUGUAGAGCUCUGUGAUACAUUUAUACACUGCUUGCAGACCACAUGUUACGCUUAGAUUUAUUGUUUCAAAAGAAAGCACUUAAAAGGUUCAAUUUCAGGCAAUUUAUUGUCACCAGAAUGUGCAAAACAAAGUUACAAGCUUGAUAAAGACCACACUGGUCGAAACUUUGUUUUGCACAUUCUUGUGACAAUAAAUUGCCUGAAAUUGAACCUUUUGAGUGCCCAUAUGCUUUCUUUUGAAGUAUUACAUUUGGGAUUUGGUACUGAACCCGGAUCUGGUUGCACCCUGGUUCUAAGGUUGGAAGAUUGAAUGCAGUUCCUGUGUUACAUUGUAGAUUUAUUGUUUGUUAUUAUACGUUAAUACACACUACUGAGGGUCACCUAUUGCUGCACCUUCAUAUAGCCUUGUGGUUAAAAGAAAUUAAAGUGGAACCUUCACUUUACCCAUUCCUCUCACUUUAUAAACUGUAAAAGGUAAUACAGUUCAAAUGGUGGAAAGGUUUUCUCACCAAAGUGAUAACUCUCCAACGUAAGACACUUAUAUCCAUUUACCAGGCUCCUGUACCAGUGUGAAUCCCGGCAAUGUACAGAUUCUCUGCUCCAUCAGCCCUUCGGGCUGCAGGGAUUUGAUAUGCAAGUCCUGUGCCCACAAAGCACAGCAUUGGUAAGGACGGGAGAGCCAAUCAGGCUUCCAAGCAGGGCAUAGCACUUAGAAAAAAAAAAAAAAAAAGACUGUUUUUGCUGCAGCUGCUGUGUUUGGGGGGACUGCAUCAAAAAUUCAGUGUCGAGGGCAUUUUGCUGUUGGAGAAGCAAAUACAAACAUCAGACAGAGGAAAUAAGAAUUCAUUUGAGAAAAGCAAAAUACACACAGCUCUGUCCGUUUCCAGCAGAUCUUAAGGGAUGAGCGCGUGUACUGCUAAAUGGAUUGUGUUUGGAUUACUAGCUACAUAGAACUACAGAGGGCGAGCGAGCGAGACCAUUGAGGCUAUUUGCCUGCAUUGUCGCACUCCUUGGAUUUAGCUUGCAGGGGGGAGCGGACCUGAUAAAGCUCAUGGAGAACAUAUUUUUGUGAGUACCUAUAAAUCGGCUUUUUGUUUAAUCGAUUGCUAUUCGAAUUGCAGCUGUUUGUGCCUGAAGUAUCUCAUCCUUCCAUUUAUAAAGCGUUAGCGUAUUCCGCAGCCCUGAAGAUUGCAAGUCUCCUGGUAUUACUGAUAUACAGAGCCAGAUCUGCUGCCGUGAUUUGAUAAUGUUUUUGUGUUUAACUCUCUAGGUGCCAGGAUCCUUUCUGACACACCAGUAAGCCACAUCAGUGAUCUCCUUAUCUGGUGUUUAAGGGGUAAAAUGGGUGUUGUCUUUUCUUUUUUUUUUAUAAUACUUAUAGCUCCCAAGCCGCUGUCUAGUGAGAAAGCUGUUAUAUAAUCUGCUUUUCUUUCUACAGGUUGCAAUCUUCAUGCGCGCUUGUCAUUAACAAAGGACGUUAGAUUAAAAAUUAUUCCUCUGUAGAAGUCAGUGCUACCAGUGUCACUGUCCAGCAGCUGUCACAAUUAAAGGGACACUGUCACCCACACGACACCCAGCUCUGCUUAGUGCUAGUUUAUACAUCAUGCUAAAACAAACACAAUAUGUAUUGUCGAAAAGUUAUACUUAUCUGAAGAUCACAUAUAUUUCCCCCAAGAUGGCUGCCAAAAAUGGUAGCGAAUGGCCACACGUGCAGCAACCCAGCUUGCCAGAGUUUGUUGUGACAGUGUCCCUUUAAAUCAUUAUUAGGCAGCAGAGCUUAUGACCAGUGGUUUUUCUCUAACUAGUGCUAACUCCAGUAAUCCCCAGCCAGAAAGUUGCUAGAUACAUGGAAUCAUGCGUGACAUGGCUGGGUUUCAAAUAUGGGGCUUGUUUUGUGGGUGGUGAAUGACACAUGUACAGCACAAAUUACAAUCUUUCAAAUAGCUGAUUCUGGCUUUAUUGUAUUAUGUAUUCCUAUUCUUCACUUGUUUGCUAUAUAGAAGAAUGUUGUAAUUUAUGUAUCUACUGUAUGGGUCAUUGUCUGUGAUUUCUAGGUCUGGUAUAUACAUGAUAAUAGGAGUAUUAUCUCAGAUGUAUGCCUAGUCGGAUAGGAAGAUGUGGCCAUUGGUGAAUAGUGGGGCUCAUGUCCUGCCACAGGUUCUCAAAUGAUAAAAGAUCUGGCCUUUAACGGAGAUAUUCCAAGAUAUUUGGCUUUCUAAUUUAAAUCCACUUCUAGCACACAGUUUCUCUAUACUUUGUGCACCAUGCAGAGCACAUUCAUAAUGGACAUUGGUAUAAGAGCAAUAUCGGAUGAAUAGAAUAAUUGAUAGAGUGUUAUUAAGAAUGCUUGUUGAAUGGAAAUGUGAAAACGCUUUUACUAGUGUUAUUUGGCUAGACGCAAGGUUGGAAAACACUGACCGAGGAUCGCUCUGCAAUAAGUUCCACAUUAAUAAUUAAUACAGGAGGUCUUUGGAUUAACGUUUAGAAUGUGUGUUAUCAUUUGUUUAUUAUCCUCAUUGGUGCUUCUCCAAAACUUUAUUCUGGGUUUGCUUUGAUAGCCCAGUGGUCUUGUCAUGAUCCAUAUGUGAUCACGGGACACUUUAGAUACAGGUGGAUUCCAUUCUUCUAAAUAACUUUUGAAAUCUGCUGGUUUACCAGAACACAUUCAGGUAAAUUAUAACAAAGAGCAAAUAAUUAUCACAACCCUUUUUUUUUACAAUUGUGGUAUAUGCAAAUUUUUUAGAUAAAAAUAUCUUAUCUUUCUAUCCUUUCAUUAUGGACCACUUUUUGUGAAGACCACUGACAAUCCACUUAAAUUUCACAUUUUUCAAGUAAAUUUAGGAAAUAUAUGAUGGUGGUGGUGAAUAUUUCUGCUAGGUACGGUGCAGUUUUACAUUUUAUAGAGCAUAUUUUACCUGUAAUGAGCUUCAUUUGACAAUGGUCACUUUUGGAAUUGCCCCGCUUCAAUUUGGAAUUUUUUACUAAACUAUCAAUUUUGUAGAUUUGACAAGGGAACUACAAAUGAUAGGUCAAUGUGAUGUGAUCCAAUUUGGCCAUUUUGUUUUAGCAUUUGUCCACAAUACAUAGUUACAUAGUUACAUAGUUACAUAGUUAUAUAGCUGAAAAGAGACUUGCGUCCAUCAAGUUCAGCCUACCUCACAUUUGUUUUUUGCUGUUGAUCCAAAAGAAGGCAAAAAAACCCAGUUUGAAGCACAAUUUUGCAACAAGCUAGGAAAAAAAUUCCUUCUUGACCCCAGAAUGGCAGUCAGAUUUAUCCUUGGAUCAAGCAGUUAUUACCCUACAUUGAAAGAUUAUAUCCUUGAAUAUUCUGUUCUUGCAAGUAUGCAUCUAGUAGCCGUUUGAACAUCUAUAUGGACUCUGAUAAAACCACUUCUUCAGGCAGAGAAUUCCACAUCCUGAUUGUUCUUACAGUCUAAACGCGUGGCCUCGUGUCCUAUGUAAAGUCCGGUUUGUGAAUAGAUUUCAACACAAUGGUUUGUAUUGGCCCCGAAUAUAUUUGUAUAAUGUUAUCAUAUCCCCUCUCAGGCGACGUUUUUCUAAACUAAAUAGGUUUAAAUUUGUUAACCUUUCUUCAUAGCCGAUAUGUUCCAUUCCUUUUAUUAGUUUUGUAGCCCGCCUCUGCACUUUUUCUAGUGCCAUAAUAUCCUUCUUUAGAACAGGUGCCCAAAAUUGCACACCAUAUUCAAUAUGGGGUCUUACCAGUGAUUUAUAAAGAGGCAAAAUUAUAUUCUUGUCCCGAGAAUGAAUGCCCUUUUUCAUGCAUGACAAUACCUUACUGGCCUUGGCCACUGCUGAUUGACAUUGCCCAUUGUUGCAUAGUUUGUUGUCUAUAACAAUUCCCAAGUCCUUUUCAUGUGUUGUUAUCCCUAAUUCGCUUCCAUUAAGGGUAUACGUUGCUUGUGUAUUCUUUACGCCGAAGUGCAUAACUUUGCAUAUUUCAACAUUAAAUUUCAUCUGCCAUUUGAGUGCCCAGUCCCCCAGUCUAUCUAAAUCCCUCUGCAGCAAAGUAAUAUCUUGCUCACAUUGUAUUGUUUUACAAAGUUUGGUGUCAUCUGCAAACACUGAAACAUGACUUUCAAUGCGGUCUUCAAGAUCAUUUAUAAACAUGUUAAAUAGAAGGGGUCCCAGAACAGACCCCUGAGGGACACCACUUGCCACCUCUAUCCAGCUUGAAAAUUUACCAUUAAUGACAACUCUUUGUACUCUGUUUUUAAGCCAAUGUUCUACCCAAGAACAAGCAUUUUCAUCUAGACCGAUUUCAGCAUUUUCAUCUAGACCGAUUUCCUUGAGUUUGAACACUAAUCUAUUGUGUGGAACUGUAUCAAAUGCCUUGGCAAAAUCCAAAUAGAUACCUUCUAAGUUAAAGUAAAACCUUGUCCUGGUGGUUUAUAGUCUGGAAUUUGUGCCUGUUGGUCAGCCCUAACCUAGAAUUCCUUUUUCUACCAAAUAAUCUCCUUCCAAAUUUAGAAAAUUGUAGUCAAAUAAUUUUUAUUCAAUGGUUUUCAAUAUAUUAAUUUACCAACAUUUUAAAUUAAACAAAAAAAGUAUUGGGUUCGGGCAGAAAACAAAAGGGGGGUUAAAAUAAAUAUAACUAUUUCUAAUAAACGUUGGUGUGGAUGUGGGCAGAUCUGUUCUUUUUCCCAUGUUUGGUGGUUUUGCCCUGGAUUGGUAUAUAUAACUUAAUUAAAAACAUUGAUUCAUCCAGAGGGACUUUGACACCAGAAUUAUGUUUAUAUAAAAAAUUCCCAGACACUACAAAUAAAAUUGAUAAAAUUAUAAUUGGACAUAUUUUCAUUGCUGACACGAUGUCUAUCCCCAGAUUUAGACAAUUCUGAGAACAAGAACCAAAAUAAGCUUUUAAGAUAUCACUAAAAUUUCGAUAAAUACAUCUCAUGACUUGGUGGGAAACCUAGAUUCAAAAUAAAAAAAUCUAAUCCCUAGGGUGCUACAAAGAAGCCUAUCCAGUCCAAACCAUAUGAAACAUUAAAAAAAUCCAAUUCCCAGAUGGGAUGGAGGCAUUUCGGCACAGAGAUUUCAAAAGAGAAUUCUUCGGGAAUUUGAAAGCAGGUACUGGAGAGAAUGAGCUGCCUGUUAGUUGCUGUUAACAGGCCAGCAUAUGUCAAUCACAACAUAUUUUAGUUGUGAAAAUAUUAUAUAGAGAAAAAUAAAGAAGGUAGGGCACAAAACAAUAUAAACAUCAGAUAGAAAGGAAGCUGGAGGGCAGCGAUGUUGGGCGCCAGAACCCCAACUUUGUGGUUAAAGUGGUUUAACCCGUGAAGGUAAGAAGGAACCUGCACAAUCCUGACCCAUAACAUCUUAGGUGAGCUUACUUUGUUGUACGGGGCGAGUGUUGCUUUAAAAAGUGAAGGUCUACUAUAACAUUGUGAGUGUCAGAGACAGACGCAUUUCUGUUUUAUAAUGUACGUUCAAAAAUACUUUAUUCAAGGACUGUCUGUGCUCUGCUCAGUGCUCUGCUCAGCGAUAUUAUACCGCAGAAUAGGACGGAACUCAUGGGUCUUCUUAAUACAACCAGUGGGAUUGAUUUUUAAAGCAGAGUCUCAGAUUGUUUUCUAGUGAGGCAGCGUUUCAAUGCCAGUUUUUCCUUUACUAGCAGUGCCACCACGAGUUAAUGGUUUCUGUCCAGAGCACUACAUAAGAAACCAUAGAAAAAUUCACUUAUUGGCGUUGGGGUUUCUCAGGUCUCAGGUAUAAAAUAGUCCAUUCUGACAUAGAUUUAGUGGCUAGUGGGACCAGAUGUAACCAAACUGGACACGUGUUAACAAUGGAGAGCCGUGUGGCACACUGUUCCCUUUUGUUAAACUACAAGGACCUAAUUAGUUAAAAUAAAUAAAUGAUAUAUAUAUAAACACUCUUUUGGUUGUAGUUAUGAUAUGAUGUAGAAUUCCUCAAACUCCAAGAUUAACCCCCAGGAGGUGGUCACGGAUUGCGUCCUCCCCUCUUUAACUAAAUUUAAGGCCAGGGAAUGUCAGGUUCAUGGUGUCUGGUUGAGUCCUCAUGGUAGCUUGACUGGUGCAGCUUGCUUGGUGAUGUGUUAAUGAAGUCACUAGUGAGAUUUGCCUGGAGAUGUAGGUUGAGCUGAAGCCAGAGAGUAGAUAUGGAUACCCCUGUCCCGGUUUAAUUUAUUAAGUCACUAGUGAGAUUUGCCUGGAGAUGUAGGUUGAGCUGAAGCCAGAGAGUAGAUAUGGAUACCCCUGUCCCGGUUUAAUUUAUUAAGUCACUAGUGAGAAUUGCCUGGAGAUGUUGAUUUGAAGCCGGAGAGUAGACACGGAUACCCCUGUCCCGGUUUCAUCCUUCCCUUGUUCUUUUUUUUUUUUUCGUCAUCAUUGUUUUAAUGUUGUUUGAAAAUAUUUAGAUUUUUUUUUUAAUAAAAGCUAUUUGAAGAGAUUUCCCUGGACAUGCACUGUGAUUGGUUGUGUUUGGUCUCCGGUUACAUGCUGUUGGGUCUGACAUACCCUACCUAUACAAGUUUUUUUUUCCUGGUUAGAAGCAGCCUCACUUGAUGUAUUUAAUGCUUUCUUUGUGUCCUACUGAUUCUGAGAGAGGAUUCAUUUAUUGUUUGUAAUACUUUGGAAGUGAUGUUUAAUGGAAUUAUCUACCAACAUCUUUUGGUUCAAAUAGUUCUCCAACGUGUACACUGAAAGACAUAAGAGGCUAUUCCCUAUUUUGUUUAGUCCUUAUUCAUUUUAGCUUCAAGUUUGCUAUGUGAACCCAUUCAGCUAUACACAAAAGGAAACUGGUUAUUUUAGCAUAUUUCAGUCUUAUUUGCAUUUCCCCUCAGCCAUUCUUGGACAGCUAAAUCUGUCUUUAAACUCAGUUCACAAACAGCCCUACAAAAACUGGAUUGCCAAAUUCACUCUGUUUUAUAUAGCUGGGAUAUUCAACGGAGGUUUGGUUGCAAUUCCACUGAGCUCUUUCACGAUGCCACCAGAAGCUGAAGAUCAUCAGUGUCCGCUCCUUUUAGAUCGACAAAGCUAAAAAUUGUUCACAGUGCAGUGGUGCUCUCAUUUUAGUUCUGUAAUGUAAAAUAAUGGGUUUUUUUAGUUUUUUUUUAGAAAAUACAGUGUUUCUAUUGGAGGGUUUAAGACAACAUUAAUGGCUUUCUUCAUGACAGCCACUAGAGGCACCUCCACUGCAAGGACCAAGUAAAACCUGGUUACGUUGCGUGGAAGGUUGAAUUCAAUGCUUUCCUUUGAGCAACAUUGGAUUGGACCAGGAACAAGAGAGCCGUGCCUCUUCGAACACAUCGCACGUGGUGGUUAGGUGAGCUGUGUCAUGGGAGUCACAACGCUGGAAAACCGCGAGUAAAACACUUUUUUUAACAGGAAACUGGGGCGCCCUCAAUGUAACUAGGGAGAGGAGCACUAUAAUAUUAGGAAUACAGGUUCGUUCCUUAAAUGCAGUAUUUAGAAAAGGAAUCCGCACAUGAAACGGAUAAUUAAAAUGUAUAAAAAAAAAUUCAUUUUACAAUUACAAUUGUCAUCCUUGUAAGCAAAGUCACAGCUUACGGUAAAAAAGAGCAGUUUUCUAUAAACUUUGUUUUCUGCAUUUAAAAUUAAAACAAUGUUUUAACUUCGUUACAGAAACAAUAUAACGCAAAUAAAAACUGCCAUUCAAAUCAGUAACUAUGAUCCAUUGUCACAACAGCUAUUGUACAGGGACGAGGAAAGUGUUUACCGAGAAAUGCUUGUAAUCAGAUACGCACACAAAGGCCAGUCCUUCAGCUUCCAUUAAAAUGGGGAUAAUAAUCGCACAGAGUAUGUGGCCCUCAUGUAAGCCUCUCCGGUAUGCUUCUACGCAUCAGUCAUGUGUAACAUCGGAUCAGAUCAUCUUGCUCGUGCAAAGAUUCAUCUAAUUAGAUUACCACUGAUAAAGAGAUUAGAUUUGGGAGAGUUCAGCAGAACAAAUAUGAAAGAGGCUUUGGCCAAGGAAAUAGCAAUCAGACUGAAGAGUAAUACAUUCAUAGAUGUCCCAGCUGCUUUUUUGCACCUUAUCAUUUAUUAAUCUUUCCACAUGCACGGUGGUCGCUGUCCAUGGGCUUUUGAAGUUAAAUAACAUAAACAUAUAAUUAAAAAUGACAUAUUUUGCACAGAGUGGACUCACUGAUAAUGAACAUAUUUGCAUUGUGUGUUAAAAGGGAACUACUGUGCGCAUUUGAGCACUAAAUUUGGUUCAGCAAAACCAUUUUUUGUGAAAAUCAAAACAUUUUCAGGACGGGCAAAUUUCUGACAGAAUUUUGGUUGGUUCAUGAUUCGGUUAUAUUUUGGCUAAGAAUUCAGGAAUUCGACGUACAUACCAGAUCUACCCAAAUUUGGACAAGAGAACUGUGACUUUGGAUAAAAUGGUGCAUUCCAAUAACUUACCUAAAAUAGCCAAUAGUUGUGCUUUUAUUUUAUUUAAAACCUAGCUUUUUAUUAAUGCCAUGGAUAUUUCUUUUGAUUCCCUGAUCAGGGCCCCCGACCACCCGAACGCAUAGACAACUAAUGAAAGGAGGUGUCCUACGUUUAUACAGAGUGUCUGAGGACACUGGUGGCAAUGGCUAACUGGAGGUGGAUUGGAGGUUAGUGUUCUAUCUUCACUACCCAUCCUUCUCAGAGUUCACCAGGGUUUGGGGAAGAGGAACUGUCACUAACGGAACAUGACACAUUCUUCUUUCAAUUUUCCUUCACUUGUACAGUGAGCAAGCAAAAUUUAAAAAUGAGAGCUGUGAGUAAUCCCGUAAGACGUUUCCUGGGGUUCACCUCAAGACAGCAGCCUCAUGCUAAGGAAAUGCGGUCACACCUUGUCCAGCUACGUGACGGGAUAGUAGGGGCAUUGUAUGUCUCUGGUUAUAAGGGGGGACUUGCACACUUUGGUCACUGUAGUUUUUAGGGCAUCAUCAUUUCUUCUCUGGUAAGGGGUGAUUUCUAAACAAGUUUGUAUAUGGUACAUACGUAUAUGUACUGUAAUAUCCAGCGUAUGUAGAAGUUAAUUUAAUGUAAUAUAUAAUAUCAGAUUAUAGGUUAUGUUUCUAAAUUUGCACAUUCUCAAUACCACUGUUUAACUUAUCUGCUCAAAGGGAAUGCAGAUAAUAAAUAACUCAAUUUUAUCCAACAAGACAAUCCCUGGACAGAUACGUUUAAUCAUGUUUUUUGUCAGUUUAAUUAUUAUUAGCUGAUAAUUAUUGUAAUGUUACGGGUAGGAAUUUACUGAGUACUGGUAUCUGGGAGCUGCUCAACCGCUCAGCACUAUCAGGAAAACAGACAUAUUUGUUCUGUCCUCUACGCAUGUAUAUUUAAUGGUAGACGUGCGUGUAUGAAAGGGGUUUAAACAUCUGUAAAGGGGAGAAGGGUGGCAAGAAAAAAGAUGGGGGGUUGGGGGAGGAAAUGCAGAGAAAGAAGGAAAUUAUACAAAAAGCAGGAGAAAGAGACAAAGUGGAAAAAGAACAAGUAGUGAAAUUUAAUAGAAUGACGGAGACUGACAAAACAAGUGAUACACAAAAAAAGAAUAAAGGAGAAGAAAAGAAUAUCAUGCAGAGAGUGACGUAGGGUGUAAGAACAAUGCUAAAAUGGAACCACAAAAAGAAAGAAGGGGAGAAUGGAAGCGAUCAUCAGGUGGAUGGCAGGAUGUACAGAUUGGCAAUGAAUAUAACAUGAUGAGCUGUGAGAAUACAUUAAUCGUAAACGGGUGGAAAAUCCAUAAUGGAGAGGGUGACUGGAGAAGGGACAAAUGAGGUUAAAAAGCAUAAGAGAUGAGACUACAAAAAUAACAGAAUAGGAACAUUGGCAUAUGGGUGGCACAACCUAAUGAAACAGAAGGACUGGUGGGGUUGAAAAGAAGGUCAACAGAAAUGUAGAGAAUGUAAUAUAUCUGGGAAAGGGGAUGAAAAAAGACGGAUGAUACGGUCAGUCACAAUUUACGGGAGCAGUCGAAUGUCAAAGCUAUGAAGGCAUGUUUAAGAGUACAUUUGCGGGUAUUUGAGUGGCUGGUAGCUCUAUUUACUGUUAUGUAGUUUCCCUAUUAAUAGUGUGUGUUCUUCAUUACUGGUUUGUAUUCUAGAGCCAUUAUAAAUAUUAUGAAGGUUUAUAUUUCCAAACUUUCUGUCUGCAGAGGAACUUAGAGAUAUAACAAUAUCUCUGGCAAGUAACGAGAGCUUCAGAUACUCCUAGUGCUGCUGAGCGCAAUGUAAGCAAAACAUUUUCCACUGAAAUUCCUAUCGAUCUGUACAUUUUCUAGAUAUCUGGCCGGCACGUUUUAUAGAUUUCUUUUAUGGCUCUUUAAAGUGGAUGUUUCACCCAAGAGUACUUUAUAGAAAUCAGCAGAGCUUGAAAACUGUCUGGAUCUCAAGUAACAGUUCAGCGUCUUUUAAGUUGUUUAAAAUUGCCUUAGUAUUUAGAUAAAACAAUGGGAUUUCCAACAGCUAUUAGAAAUGUUGACAGAGUGUCUAUAUCCAUGCCUUGCGUAACUUAAAGGGACGCUAUAGACACCUAUACCUCCUCAUCUCGGUGAAGUGGUCUGGGAGUGGUGUCUCUGCCCUCUUAGUCCUGCAAUGUAAAAUAUACUGCAGUUUUAGAGAAAUAUACUUUAAAGGAACACUAUGGUCACCUAAACAACUUUAGCUAAUUAAGCACUUUUAGUGUAUAGAUCAUGCCUCUCAGGUUUUACUGCCCAAUUCACUGCCAUUUAGGAGUUAAAUCACAUUGUUUCUGUUUGUGCAGCCAUUGUCACACCUCCCCUGGCUCUGAUUGACACAGACUGCAUGAAAAAAACUGGUUUCACUUUCAAUCAGAUGUAAUUUAUCUUAAACAAUUUUAUCUCUUGCUCUGUAAAUUGAACUUUAAUCACAUACUGGAGAAGCUUGCAAGGUCUAGCAAGCUAUUAAUAUAGCAGGAGAUAAGAAAAUAUAAACUAAACAGAACUUGCAAUAAAGGAAGUAUAAACUUCAGAUGACUCUUUACAGGAAGUGUUUAGGAAGGCUGUGCAAGUGCACAUGCAGGGGGGUGUGACUAGGGUUAAUAAACAAAGUGAUUUAACUCCUAAAUGGCAAAGGAUUGAGCAGUGAGGCUGCAGGGACAUGAUCUAUACACCAAAACUGUUUCAUUAAGCUAAAGUUGUUUUGGUGACUAUAGUGUCCUUUUAAUGUAGAGCUUCAUGCCUCUCUUUCCUGCAUCUGGGCACCUCCAUCUUGUAAAUCAUUGUUAUUAGCUCUCUCCUUUGCUUCUGGCAGUCAGCAUAGAGAGGGCAUACAGAGUAGGAGAGAAAAAACAUUUCAGUUUUACCUCAUCAUUUGCAAUGUUUGCACUGGCUGCCUUGUCUGAACUGAAUUAUGACGCCAUGUGUUAAGUCUUUCAUUUUUAAAGAAAAUAGAACAUCUCAUUAAAAAAGGUCAACACAAUUUAUUGGUGAUUGUUAAUGCUUUAUUUGGUGGUUCUCCCCCCAUUUAAAGGACCACUAUAGUGCCAGGACAACAUACUCGUUUUCCUGGCACUAUAGUGCCCUGAGGGUGCCCCCACCCUCAGGGUCCCCCUCCCGCCCGGCUCUGGAAGGGGGAAAGGGGUAAUAACUUACCUUUUUCCAGCGCUGGGCGGAGAGCUCUCCUCUCCACCUCCGAUCCGCCCCGCCGGCUGAAUGCGCACGCGCGGAAAGAGCUGCGCGCGCAUUCAGCCGGUCUCAUAGGAAAGCAUUUACAAUGUUAAAAUCACAGUGAGAAGCACGCAAGCGCCUCUAGUGGCUGUCAAUGAGACAGCCACUAGAGGAUUAGGGGGAAGGCUUAACCCAUUCAUAAUUAUAGCAGUUUCUCUGAAACUGCUAUAAUUAUGAAAAAAUGGGUUAACCCUAGAAGGAUCUGGCACCCAGACCACUUCAUUAAGCUGAAGUGGUCUGGGUGCCUAGAGUGGUCCUUUAAGGUUUGGUCUAGAGAUCAGAACCUUUUAAUCUUUUUUCCCAACUCAUUAAAUUAUAUUACAUCACAACAGCACAAAUUCUAUGUGAAAGUCCAAAUAGCUCUGGCAUUAAUAUAUAAACCGUGAACUUUGUAGUAUAUUGUAUUAUUUUUUAUAAGUUUUGAUAUUACAGACUGGAGUCUAAACUUUGGAUUCGUUUUUCUGAUUUAUAAAACACCGACAUGUGUCGCAGGGCUGCAAAAUUGGUGAGCAGAUCUGACGUACAGGAACAAGAGGUGAUGAGAGCCCUGCUCAGAUGAGCUGCCAUCGAAAUAUAGAAAAAUUUAAAGCCAACCUGCUUAUGGGACUUGUGAGAAAGAAAGAAAUUCACUGUAAAUCAGUAAUUUUAUUUUUCUAAUCUUGCCGAAUGUGGUAAUUGAAAUUUUAGGUUAUCGACAUUACUGUCAUUAGGACUGUUUUUGUGAUAAAAGUUUGAUCUUACACUAAGCCUGUGAUCAAUGAACCACAUGGAGGGCUAAAUCACAUCUCAUUCCACACCUAUAAAUAUGUCAGCUUGCUGAAGUUUUUGGGUGAGGAAUAUCUCAUAAUAAUGACAGUUUAUAAAUAUUUCAUGAAAGACCAUCCUGACUGUCGUUCAAACAGCCAGGGUGGGAUUCUUCCUGCUUCCUAUACACUAAGCUAAUGGAAGUUGCAGGCACGCUCUACUUGAGCAAAACCUGCCUCCUCCCACUCUCCCAGCAUCCUUCAGAUCGGACCUCAGAUUAGCGUCUGUCCACAGACCUCAGACCAGUAUGCUGUAAAGGAGCACGUGCACACACAGCGGAAGCGCGCAUGAGGAUGUGCGCGUGCAUGGAGGGAGACCUUAAAGGACCACUCUAGGCACCCAGACCACUUCAGCUUAAUGAAGUGGUCUGGGUGCCAGGUACCUCUAGGAUUAACCCUUUUUUUUUUAUAAACAUAGCAGUUUCAGAGAACGAGUAUGUUUUCCUGGCACUAUAGUGGUCCUUUAAGAGGCUUCUCAAUGAGAAUCCUCUGGUGGGCUAUAUUCUCGUGAAGAGACUAAAAGUCUGCAGAGGCGGCAGUUCAUAAGAUCUGCAGCUUUUUCAAACUGUUUUAAGAUACACCCCAAUGUACACUUACAUAGAAAUACAAUGCAUGUAAUAGAAACAGGAUUUCAAAUUGUUUGCCCAUUUGGGCAAUGAAAUCUUAAUUAACUCUUCAAAAUCAUCAAUAAUUGAGAAAGGGAACUGGAAAUGUGAGAAUUGCGCUAAUUCAGAUUAAUUUCUCUGUAUGAUUUUUUUAACCCUCUCCUAGUUAAUUUCUGUCAUGUUUCCAAUAUCAUGAACCGAUUAGCACCUCUAGGGUUAAAGUGACAGCUCAUGUCACUCUCCAACCUCUCACACCUGUCUCAGAAACUCUAAUCCUAAUCCUAAUACAAUUACAAAUAAAAUAAAUCAGAUCUGGCAUCAUGAAGACCGAGGGAUAAAGAUAAUCAAAAUGGCAGGUGUUUGCCAAAUCAUGAGAUUAUUAAUGAGAGGCUUUAAUAGCAAAUACAAUGACGAAAUUCUUACUGGGAACAGAUUAUAGAAAGCUAGCAGUGUCCGUUACACAAUAUAAAUAUGAUCAGAUAGCUCUAACUAUGAAAACCCAGCCCGUUAGAGACAGAAACUCUAUGUUGUAUAAAACCAGCUAUUAAACUACAAAAUUAAAAAACAAUUAAAUAAAAAUGUAUAUUGUGCAUACCGGUUUAGCUGCAAGGAUUAAAAAACUAAACUAUGGUGGUAGAUGUACAAACUUGUUUUCCAAACGCAAGUAUUUUCCUCUUUAUUGCAGAUUAAGCCCCCCUAAAUCUAAAUAAAAACUGGAAUAAAGGAUAUUACAUACCUUUUUUUUUUAUCAGCGACUGCUGGCCCCUCAAUUCCCCUCCGGCAGCGUCACAAGCAGACGCUUCCAAAGGUCCCCAAUAAAAUGGAGGUUCUCACAGCAGAAGCUGUCAUAGUGCUUGUCAGGAAGACCGCCACAACAGGUGUGUUUAACCCUUUAGUUUAAACAUUGCUAUUUCUUUUAAACGGCAAUGUUUUACAUUGAAAUUAAGGGUAUGGGUGCCUUUACUGUGAUCUUUUAACCCCUUAAAGACACAACUUCAGAAAUAAAAGUAAAUCAUGGCGGAAUAUUUCCGUCGUGUGUCCUUAAGGGGUUAAACCUGUUUUUUAAUUUUUUUUUGUUUACAUAGGUCAUUUUUCCUUUAUGAAAACGCCACGUUGAUGGGUUAAAUCACAAAGACAUUGGGGGGAGCUAGAAGGAAGCAGAAUAAGGUGUAUGUACGCCAGUAACUGAAACUCUGCAAGUUAUGGGUGACGCUCUAUGAUUCCCGCAUUGAUAAUCCCAGAAUGCCUUGCAAGUUUGAAUGAUUCUACUAGAAAGCUACAAUUUAUUUGUGGACCAAAUUGAUUUUUUUUUCUUUUAGUCCCAGGGUUGUACUAAAUUAUUUGAUAUAAGAAAUUCCUUGUCCAAUCAUAAUUAUGUGCAGAACAAUGUAUUUAACCGAACUAUAUAGAGAUAUUGAUUACAGCAUUCAUGUUAAGGAGUCUAAUCAAUUUAUUAAACUAGUUCUCAUACUGUCAUUUCUGUUGUAUUUGUUGCUGUUAUAAAAGGUUUGUGAUGUUCUGUUGUAUAUUAAAUUGUCAAUUUAUUUUAUCACAGCAAAUAUGAAAAUGAUUAUUAUUUGUUAAAUCAAGGUAAACAAUGUACAAUCUGGAUGAAGGGGUUAAUUAAUUAUUGAUUAUGAAGGCUCGUUGAGCAUCAGUGAAGAAUCUGCCCCCGUGAUUUGCAUUUAUUUGUUUGGAGAAAUAAAACUGAAUGAAUAAUUCUUGUUGUUAUUAUCAUUUAUUAACCCCUAGGGAAAGAGGCAAUAGUCCAAGUUUUGAACCAAAACAAAACCUAGAAAUUGAGCUAUAUAUUUUAUCAACCAUAAAUUACCUCUUUCAUAUUAACUUAUUAUAUUUCAUUUUUUUAGGAGAAACAGGGCUUUCAUGACACAUCAAAUAUUUGUAUAUUAAACAUAAUUUAAUAUGAAUAAAAUAAAAAUGUGUAACAAAUUAAGAAAGGUUGUGAUUUUCUGCAUGGUUCUGCAUGGCAUUUUAACUGUGAAUGUCAUAGUGCUGUUAGCCCCCCAUGUACAGGUUUCAUAGUAUUUUGGAAAGUUACAGAGUCCAAUAAAGAGCUUGACCAUUUCAGUUUUAACACAUUGAUAUUUUCCAGAUUGGUUUGCAGGGCCUAUGUUGUCUUCGAGGUCGUAUGGCAGCUCAGAAAUAAAAAUGACUCCAUCAUGGCAUACCUUUUGAAAAAGUAGACAACUCAGGGCAUUCAAAACAGGGUAUGUCCAGUCUUUUUUUAGUAGCCACUUAAUCACAAACCCUGGCCAAACUUAGUGGUCAUAUUUAGUUUUUGCAUUUCUCUUAGAAAAACUGCUCUUUCACUGAUGAUAUUAUCGUCAUUAUGCAUUUUACUGCUUUAACAUACUCAUAUUUGUGUUCAGCAGUGUCUCACACAUACAAAAGUAUCCAAGGAUACCUCCUCCCUUCGUUCUGUCUCAGUUGGAGCCCCUUAAGACUCUGUCCUUGGUCCCCUUCUAUUUUCUGUUAUACUGCGUAAGUAGUGUCGUUGGCUGUCCGCAUACGGAGCCAGGGUAGAGUGUAUCUCAUAAACUGAGACUGUAUGAGAUUAAGAAAACAAAAACAUUGAGAUAAAUAAAUAACGUAAAUAACGUAACGUCAUGCAUAUAAACCUGGUAUAUAUAACGGGACUAGAAGGCCUUCAACUGGGUGUUGUGGUACACGCUACAGAGUACAUUAUUUUAUGUUAUAGGGGUGAAAGUCUGCUCAGCUCAAGUUGGGAGGUCCGCCGCCCUUUGGACCGUUCCACUGGGCGACAUUUGAGAGUGUGUCUUGAUAAGUCACGGCCAGUAAGCGUGUUAAUAUCCCUGCGAACAAGCGCCAUAUCGGCGUCGAACAUCGCCCUGAUUUCCUGCAUCAUAGCCUUUAUAUCGGCUUUUUUAAAUAGUGCCUAGGUCACCUAGGUCUGCUGGCUGCUGUCGCUUAGUUUGUACUUUGGAUCCUGCAGGCAGGGAGUCUGGUAGGCUGUCCUCUGCCGGCGCCAUCUUGGUGAGCUCAUGUCGCUGGGUCGGGCGCAUGAAAAUGCCUAUAUCUUUGGAUCCGGAGCCUAGGUCCGCUCUGUGCUUCUUUGCUUUUUUCCCCAUGGUCUAGGGUGUACAGGAGGCCCUUCUUUCGGAACCCCGAAGUGUAUUUUGCCUCUGUUACAGUCGUUUUACCGGGUUCAGCGCACGGAGCUGUGGUAAGCUGCGACUUUCUCGUUCAGGCGCUGGCUCCGCCUCGGCAGUUCCCUUUCUUUGGAAUAGUCUGCCAACCGCCAUCAGACUCUCCCCUAGUCUUCAGUCGUUUAAGAAGUGCCUUAAAACUCAUCUCUUUAGGAAAGCUUAUGGCCUCCCAGACUAACCUCUAUCUCACAUAUCUGUCAUUCGCUCUCCUAAAGGGCAGCACUCUACUCUCUCCUCCAGCUCUGCUUCACUCCCACCUUAUUUGGUUGCUAUUUCCUGUCCUAUUGUGUUUUAUACCCCACCUCCUAUAGACUGUAAGCUCGUUUGAGCAGGGUCCUCUUCAACCUAUCAUUCCUGUAAGUUUUCUUGUAAUUGUCCUAUUUAUAGUUAAAUCGUCCCUCUUAUAAUAUUGUAAAGCGCUAGGGAAUCUGUUGGCGCUAUAUAAAUAAUAAAACAAUAAUAAUAAAUAAUAAUAAUAACAGGGUCCUCAUUAACCUAUUGUUCCUGUAACAUUUUAGAAUUGUCUCAUUUAUUGUUUCAUUUCCCCUUUCCAUAAUAUUGUAGUGUUACUGAAUUAGUUGGUAUUAAUCCAAGUGUUCUGAUAUUGUGCAACUUGCUGGUGUGUCCAUGUCAUUGCAUGCUGCCAGAGUUUAUAGUGCAGAGGUAGGUAGGCAAUCUUUGGUUUCAUUGGGGUGGAGUUGAGUGUGCGAAGUCUUUAUUGCACCAUCUCAAUAAAGUGGCCUGUAUGCAGUGGUCCUUUAGUUUUAACAUUGCAUUGUAAGACAAUGUAGUAUUUUAGAAUCACAAUGUUUUUUCCACCUCUAAUGGAUGUCUUCCAGAUAGCCACUAGGUUCAUCCAUGGCUUUCCUAAGGGGACAAUUGGAUGAGCUUGUGACAUCAAGUCGCCAGUGCUCCUCUAUGAGGAGGAUUGCAUUGGAACAGGCCAGAUGAUGCAAUAGAAACAUAGAAACAUAGAAUGUGAUGGCAGAUAAGAACCAUUCGGCCCAUCUAGUCUGCCCAAUUUUCUAAAUACUUUCAUUAGUCCCUAUCCUUAUCUUAUAGUUAGGAUAGACUUAUGCCUAUCCCACGCAUGCUUAAACUCCUUUACUGUGUUAACCUCUACCACUUCAGCUGGAAGGCUAUUCCAUGCAUCCACUACCCUCUCAGUAAAGUAAUGCCAUCUCCGUGAUGUCACAGGAGUAGGAUAGGUAAGUAGCACAGAGGAUCAUGGAGGUGUGGAGAUAGGUUUGUAUUCCUAAUGCUUUAGUGUUCCUUUAUUAAAUGGAUACAAAUAUUUAUUUUAAAACAGUUUUUAUACCUCUUCAUGUUUGUGGUUAUAUGUGGUUCUCUUUUUUUUUUGUAUAUAACACCCUAAGUGCUUGUAUGUUUAAAUGGAAUUAUUAUUGCAUUGUUUCAUAAUGCUAGUUGUUUGAUUUUCAUACUUAUUCUAAUUUGAUCUUCUAAAUGGAAUUAAAUAAUGUGUUUUAUGCCAGAUGGGUUUUAAAAACAAAAUAAACAAAAAAAACAUUUAUUUUAUAAAUCUGGGCAACAAAACAAGCCAAACCCAGCUUUUAGUGCAUGAUUAAUAAAACUUUCAAGUACAUAGCAAGCAGUGUUGAUCUUAAAGGAUAAGUCGACACACCAAAACCACUUUAGCUUUAUUAGAACCCUUAUAGCACAAGAUUAUUAUACAGAUGGUCCUCAUUUUACGACCUAUCUGUUUUACAACGGCUCGCACUUACAACCAGCUCUCUAGCGUGGGGGUAAGUGUGAGACGUGGUGGGGAUUAGAGGGGAUACCUUAAAUCCAUGUUCGGGAACAUUCCCUGUUCUGGUGCGUUCGUUUAUUUUCGGGCAAAUUUCCCUGAACAUAGACAAGCACACCAGAGCAUGGAAUCCCUCAACUCCUCACUUACCGGCCAAUUUGUUCUAUGACAUUGUCGUAAGAACGGAACCCGGUCGGUAAGGGAGCAGUACCUGUAUUUUAUUAUUUCCUAUGAUUUGUAAAAGAUCCAGUAAUUAAAGGGUUACUCCAAGCAUUAUAGCCACUACAACCCUCUCUAGUGGUUGUGAUGCUAGGAGUACCCUGAAGCUGUUCAGAGGUAAAGCGGACAAUAAUUUGUAAUGGCUUGCCUUUGUCCUCCAUACCGCUGGGCACCAAGCCUCAAAUUAUGGCGGCUAAACUGUAUCAUACUGAAACGCUGCACGUACAGACUCCUUGCACCUAGGAUCACUUCAAAAUACUGAAGUGGCCAUGGUACUUGGAAUAACCAUUUAAUUAUUUAAAGGGACCACUUCUGCCCAUUGGAGUGGUCUGGGUACCAACUCCCACCCCCCUUAACUGCAAGCGUAAUUAUUGCAGUUUCUAUAAACUGCAAUAAUUACCUUGCAGAGUUAAGUCCUCCUCUAAUGGCUGUCUAUCAGACAGCCACUAGAGGGAAUUUUGUGUUCUUAGAACACGUAAAGUGUUUUAAACGAUGCUGGACAUCCUCACGCUAUGUGAGGACCUCCAGUGUUGCCAAAAUCCCUAUAGGAAAGCAUUAAAUAAUGCUUUCCUAUGGGGAGGUCUAAUGCGCGUGCACUGCCAUUGCCGCGCAUGCACAUUAGGUCUCCCCUGCUGACGUCAGGAGAGUAGGCGGAGCCUGACCCAGCGCCGAGGGACAUCGGCGCUGGACUCAGGUAAGUCAGCAACAUGGGAUGGGCGUGGGAGGUAGAGGGGCACUGCAGGGUCAAAUAAGUUUUCCUGGCACUGGAGAGUCCCUUAAAUAAUUUUAAAAAAUUCUAAAUUAAUUUUCUUACCUGGUUGAUAAUAUAAUGUUAUGUAUUCCUCAUUCUCGAGUACUCUACCAGAGGGCUGAGAGUCUAAGUGUUCUUCACAUCUUGGUUCCUUUUCCUAGAACUAACCUCUUCUGGACAGCGAUCUCAGAUGUCCCACCAGGAAUCUGUUGAAGCCACUCCCCCAACUUGGAGUUGCAGCCCCUAAUGCUCCUAUCACAAUUGGGACUACAACAUCUGUCAUCACUUUCCACAUCCUUUAUAGAACCUCUUUGAGUCCUUGGUAUUUGUCCACCUUCUAAUGUUCCUUCUCCUGAUGUUUUGGUCUCUGGGUAUUGCUACAUCCACCACCAACACUGCAGUUUUCCUUUCCUUGUCUACCACCACUUUGUCAGGUUGGUUGGCUGCUGCUUACUUGUCUGUCUGGAUCUGAAAGUCCCACUAAAACUUAGCCAUUUCAUUCUCAACUACCCUCUGUGGUAUUUCCUAUCUGGAUUCUAGCCCAUAUUCUGAGCAGAUGUUUUGGUAGACAAUCCAAGUAACUUGGUUGUGCCUCUCAGUGUAUGCUGUCCCUGCUAAGGUCUUGCACCAGCCUCUGUGAACUGGAUUGUCUCGGAGGCCUCUUUGCAUAGUCUGCACCUUUGGUCUUGCAUGGUGUGGUAGACUCCAGCCUCUAUUGAUUUGGUGCAGAGUGCCUGUUCCUGUGCGGCUAGGAUUACUGCCUCAGUGCUGGCUUUUAGUCUUGCCUUUUCCAACCACUGUCUCCACAGUGGUUUUAACUGAGAUGCUUUUAAUUGGUUACUACUCAUUGAUAACCAGGAGAUUUUGGACAAAAAGGGUGCAGCUCAGCUUAGCUACAGAAAUCAAAUUCUAUGGAUCAGUAAAAGUAGGAUUUAAAGCAAUCAGGAAGAUAAUCUUUAACAGCAUAUACCUGCCUUCUCUUAUACUCUAUGUGAUAUUAGAUAGUUAUUGAUUGGCAUACGAAGGUGGGAGAUGGAAGCUGUCUUGCUAUAGAGGAUGAGUUGUCAUGAUGUGUGGUGGAGCGUAUAUGGUUGAUAAUGGCCUCAUAAAAAGUAUCUGUGAAAAUUAUAUUAAGAUUUUACAGACAGCUGUCUAGAUAGGCUUGCAGGCAAGAAAACUGGACUAAAAUCGGUGUAUUUAUUGCGCAAUGUGAUUCCGGAGAAUUUCUUCUUUCCACUUAUUGUGAUAAUUAGAAAGCUUUUAAACUUCAGUUAGCCACACUAAGAGUCUCCAGUGUUCAGUUUAUUAAUUCAGUCUUACGAAGUAACUACUAUAAAGGUUAACCAUGUCCAGCUAUCCUAUUAAACCUACAUUUAUACAAUCUUCUAGGCUAAAAGCACAAUUGCAGUUUGAGAUAAUUAGGUAGAGUUUUUCUAAAAUACCCAGGACUAUGAAGACAGAAAAUUAAUUCACUGCUUAUAUUUUAACAAGUAUUUUAUAGACUCCGUACUCCACAGGGGGAUCCUCGGAGGCAGUUCUGAAGUGCUGGGGGGGAAUUCUAAUAUGUUUCUACUCCCUAGAGUCACUCAAAUACUGUAAAUUGAAAAUUCCCAUAAAACUGAGCAUUACCGAGGCACAGCAUUCAAAGCAACUGGUUAUGGUGGAGUAGAUAGAAGAAAGUGACCUUAAUAGAAAAUCACACCAUCUUUACAUUGUGUCAACAAAGAUUUGUGAAGAUGUGUUUAACUGUUUCAGUGCUGAAUCACUUUUCUAAAACUGUUUUUGUUUCAAUAAGUAAUUAUAUGCACUAUUGUAUUAUGUAUACCUCAACAUUCAAAACCAAUCUAUCUACACUUUAUUUAAAGGGACACUAUAGGCACUAGAACAAUUUUACCUUAAUGAAGCAGUUUUGCUGUAUAGAUCAUGCCCCUGUAGUCUCUCUGCUUAAUUCUCUGCCAUUUAGUAGUUAAAUCACUUUGUAUAGGCAGCGCUAGUCACAACUCCCAUGCUUCAUAAAUACUUCCUGUAAAGUGAGAUCUAAUGCACAUGCACAUUCUGUUUAACUUUGAAUUUCAUCGUUCCUGUACUGUUAAUAGCCUGCUGACCUUGCAGGAGGCACCUGUGUGAGAUUAAAGUUUAAUUUACAGAACAGGAUAUAAAAACUUAUAAAGUAUGUUAAAAUCUGAUUGAGAAUAAAACCAUUGUUUCAUGCAGGCUGUGUGAGUCUCUGCCAAGGUAGGCAGAUAAUUGAGUUGUGAGAGUUGUUUUUAGUCAUAUAGUAUCCAUUGUAAUGUGUCAGUCUUUAAUUAUUAUUUUCUCUGCCUGUGCAAGUUUCACUAUUCCAAAUGUUGUGAUUUGGAGUCAUCCUGCUGACGGAGUGUUUUGUGAUGGAUGGAGUUCACCAGAUCGCAGUCGAUAGCAUUGAUCUUGUAAUUGAUGCAGAAAUCCGACACUUGAUUAACCCAAGUAUAACGAGAGCUGGAUUGUUGUGGCUUUCAGCCAUUAGAUGGGUAGGGGGUGUUUGAACACUAAGGAACCAUUCCAGAUGCAACCAAAGUGGUGAAUGUUCUAACACAGAAUCACCAAUCCCGAGGAACCAGUGAUACAUUGUCAUUUAUUUCAUUCUUUGUGCUAACAGAACAAUCCAAAAUGCUUUCUCUCUGUUAUUAUCCUAUACAUAGUUACUAUCCUAAAAAUAGUCUGAUCGACACCUGUCCCUCCACAAAGAUGCAGAUGAAUCUUUGAGAUGGUACUUGUGCGCUAAUAACAAAAUACUAAACUUCCCAACUCCAAACACAUCGUAUUUCUAGUCUUUUUGGCUAUAUUGUUCCAAUCUCUGGCAGUAAAAUGGAUACUUGGUGUCAAUGGGAUAAACACAGAGAUUAGGAUUAACAUGUUAAGUAGUAGCUAGUUUAUUCCACUACCUUCGAAUGCUGGACUUCGUUACCCUAGCAGGGCAGAAAGAUAAAAAUCUAACCUUGCAAUCAGCCCUCUUUACUUAACGGGUUAAUGUUAGGGCUUUCUUCAAUAAACCGGCAACUGUGGAAAACUGGCAACAGUGAAUCCCAAAUAGCCAAAUUACAGUGGGGUUACUGGAGAAUUUGUCCUAUUCAGUUUCUUUGACUUAAAAUGUAAAAUUCUCUAGUCAGUUCCCCACAAUUCCUAGUGAAUAGGCGUAUAUAGUAAACUCUACCAUAUAGUGUAAGCUCCUCGGCACUCGCAGUGUUAAUGCUUUGAUUGAUUUCAGAGCAUAUUGAUCUCCCCUGAGCCAUUUAAAGAGUUAAACUGCCAUGGAGAUGAGUGUCUCUUAUUAAGAGGAAGCACCCUGGAGGGGAGACCCUGAUGAGAGCAUUUGCAGGAAAUCAAUAGGGAGAAGAAAUGAGUAUUAAGGCUCAGAAUAUCAAGGAUUUGAAAAGGAGGCAUUAAUUGUCCAAUGAAAAGAGAUAUACUCGUCAUUUGUCACAUGCAGCUUGGCCAUAUUGUAUCUGUUCCAGGGUUCUGGUGGGGUACAUGGCUCUCAUAGUAAUCACAAAUCAGCUCUCUUUAUUCCUAAGAAAAGGCUUGAUAAUUAAUCUUAUUAAUAAAUAAAACCCUGUAACCCUUUUAAAAGUUGAUAUACCCUAAAUUUAGCACUAAAACUUGCAAAAAAAGGCGAAACCUGACUUUCAUGCUUCUUCAUGAGUGUUAGUACACCUGGAAAGAUACCCUCGCACUAUAUUAAGAGGGCUGGCCAACACGAUUGGCAGUGAAUACCUCCCAGGCGGACAUAUCUAUUGUCCGGGUGGGUCUGUCACCGGUCCACCUUCUUUUGACCUGCCCUCCAGCAUCCCUGUUUACUGGAUGCCACUGUUGGACACAUACUAUUACUCAUACAGGCAUGUAACAAUACACCUACAGACAAACUGGUACUCACUUGCCUCUUCGGCCCCACUUGUGACACAUGCCUGCUUUUAUCAUUUAUGUCCUUUUUGCAGUCCCUUUUGUACAUAUAUCAGGCCAUUAUCAUUCUGCAUCAUAAUAAAUUGGCAUCCAUUUACUGCCAAUCCAAUGUAAAGUGCUGUUAGUGCACACAGCAAAUUAUGAGCAGCCUGGGGGAAUUUUUACCUCUGAUCGGUCAUGCGGCUCCUUGAAGUGGAGGCCCAAGUCUGGUGCCCUGCUGACCAAAGUUCAGGCCUGUCUACAGUAUUUCGUGGAGGGGGGAGUCAAUGUGCACUGUUAUGUUCCAGUCAAACUGGCCAUCCCUCUCGUACACAUAUUAGAGUGAGUAGAGUGUCACAAUCAUUGGUUGAAAUGCAGACCUUCUAAUAAACAAGUAGUCUUAGGGACCCCUUCAGGUAGGUGCAUCUUGCAAUCAAUACAUCUGCUGGCAAUUUUGAGUACAAUAUACAAUCCUUUAAAGGAUUCUCUUUAAAUGUUCAUUAUAAAAGCAGAUACAAUAAGGUACCUGGGGCUGGCUCAGUGUAAUCCCAGUGACAUACUGCAGGGAUUAAUCAGACUGGAAUCAUUUACAUAUUGAUUUUUAUUCAGGACGCUAUCAUUCUCCGUUGUUUAUCAACAUAAUCCCUCUUUCUACUUUCUCGUUACCUCAUUUGUUCCCUCCCCGCAAGAAUUUCUUUCUGAGUAUCAGCAAAUAUUUACAAAGAGAUUUGCAUCCAGCGCUGUUUACUCAGCGAGCGGAGGUAAUCAACGUGUUUCAUUUCACCGUGCCUGAGAAACGAUGGUUUAUAUACUCCUAUUAAACACAGUUAGUGUUUACUCGAGAACUGAUUAGUUGGAUUAUAGGUGCGGCUGACAGCGUGAGGAGGAAGAUUGUAAAUCUGGCAAAACAAUAAGAAAAACCUCUAGUUACUAACAACAUUUCCAGUUUCCUAUUUAAUGGCAAAACAUGUUGUGCACAGCCUCUCCCAUUUAACCCUCACUUUCCCUUCUCAUUAUGAAUUCUUCACCCCUAGCAUCCGACAUCUUGGAAUCCUGUCUUCUCUCCGACAAACAUAUCAUCUAAUCCUUCCAUCAACCGUUUCAACCACCAUCCACUAAUCUCUCUCCAUCUAAUAAAACAUUAAAAUGCUAAAAUUCACCCAAAAAAUUAAAAAUACUCCCUCAUUAUUACUAAACAUGAAUACUGUAAUCUAAUACUCCCUCAUUAUUACUCAACAUGCAUACUGUAAUCUAAUACUCCCUCAUUAUUACUAAACAUGAAUACUGUAAUCUAAUACUACCUCAUUAUUACUCAACAUGCAUACUGUAAUCUAAUACUCCCUCAUUAUUACUAAACAUGCAUACUGUAAUCUAAUACUCCCUCAUUAUUACUAAACAUGAAUACUGUAAUCUAAUACUCCCUCAUUAUUACUAAACAUGAAUACUGUAAUCUAAUACUACCUCAUUAUUACUAAACAUGAAUACUGUACUCUAAUACUCCCUCAUUAUUACUAAACAUGAAUACUGUAAUCUAAUACUACCUCAUUAUUACUAAACAUGCAUACUGUAAUCUAAUACUCCCUCAUUAUUACUAAACAUGAAUACUGUAAUCUAAUACUCCCUCAUUAUUACUAAACAUGAAUACUGUAAUCUAAUACUACCUCAUUAUUACUAAACAUGAAUACUGUAAUCUAAUACUCCCUCAUUAUUACUAAACAUGAAUACUGUACUCUAAUACUCCCUCAUUAUUACUAAACAUGAAUACUGUAAUCUAAUACUCCCUCAUUAUUACUAAACAUGAAUACUGUAAUCUAAUACUACCUCAUUAUUACUAAACAUGAAUACUGUAAUCUAAUACUACCUCAUUAUUACUAAACAUGAAUACUGUAAUCUAAUACUCCCUCAUUAUUACUAAACAUGCAUACUGUAAUCUAAUACUCCCUCAUUAUUACUAAACAUGCAUACUGUAAUCUAAUACUACCUCAUUAUUACUAAACAUGAAUACUGUAAUCUAAUACUACCUCAUUAUUACUAAACAUGAAUACUGUAAUCUAAUACUCCCUCAUUAUUACUAAACAUGAAUACUGUAAUCUAAUACUCCCUCAUUAUUACUAAACAUGAAUACUGUAAUCUAAUACUACCUCAUUAUUACUAAACAUGCAUACUGUAAUCUAAUACUCCCUCAUUAUUACUAAACAUGAAUACUGUAAUCUAAUACCACCUCAUUAUUACUCAACAUGAAUACUGUAAUCUAAUACUCCCUCAUUAUUACUCAACAUGCAUACUGUAAUCUAAUACUACCUCAUUAUUACUAAACAUGCAUACUGUAAUCUAAUACUACCUCAUUAUUACUAAACAUGCAUACUGUAAUCUAAUACACCCUCAUUAUUACUAAACAUGCAUACUGUAAUCUAAUACUCCCUCAUUAUUACUAAACAUGCAUACUGUAAUCUAAUACUACCUCAUUAUUACUAAACAUGCAUACUGUAAUCUAAUACACCCUCAUUAUUACUAAACAUGAAUACUGUAAUCUAAUACUACCUCAUUAUUACUAAACAUGAAUACUGUAAUCUCAUACUCCCUCAUUAUUACUAAACAUGCAUACUGUAAUCUAAUACUACCUCAUUAUUACUAAACAUGCAUACUGUAAUCUAAUACUACCUCAUUAUUACUAAACAUGAAUACUGUAAUCUAAUACCACCUCAUUAUUACUCAACAUGAAUACUGUAAUCUAAUACUCCUCACAUACUCUCAACAUGCAUACUGUAAUCUAAUACUCCUCAUUAUUACUAAACAUGAAUACUGCACUCCAAUACUCCCUACAUACAAAACAUGAAUACUGUAAUCUAAUACUCUUCAUUAUUACUAAACAUGAAUACUGUAAUCUAAUACCACCUCAUUAUUACCAAAUAUGAAUACUGUAAUCUAGCUGCUCUCUAUUAUUACUAACAUGUAUAAUGUAAUCUAAUACUACCUCAUUAUUACUAAACAUGUAUACUGUAAUCUAAUAAUACCUCAUUAUUACUAAACAUGAAUACUGUAAUCUAAUACUCCUCAUUAUUACUAAAUAUGAAUACUGUAAUCUAAUACCACCUCAUUAUUACUAAAUAUGAAUACUGUAAUCUAAUACUCCCUCAUUAUUACUAAACAUGAAUACUGUAAUCUAAUACUCCCUCAUUAUUACUAAACAUGAAUACUGUAAUCUAAUACCACCUCAUUAUUACUCAACAUGAAUACUGUAAUCUAAUACUCCCUCAUUAUUACUCAACAUGCAUACUGUAAUCUAAUACUCCCUCAUUAUUACUAAACAUGAAUACUGUAAUCUAAUACUCCCUCAUUAUUACUAAACAUGAAUACUGUAAUCUAAUACUCCCUCAUUAUUACUAAACAUGAAUACUGUAAUCUAAUACUACCUCAUUAUUACUAAACAUGAAUACUGUAAUCUAAUACUCCCUCAUUAUUACUAAACAUGAAUACUGUAAUCUAAUACUACCUCAUUAUUACUAAACAUGAAUACUGUAAUCUAAUACUCCCUCAUUAUUACUAAACAUGAAUACUGUACUCUAAUACUCCCUCAUUAUUACUAAACAUGAAUACUGUAAUCUAAUACUCCCUCAUUAUUACUAAACAUGAAUACUGUAAUCUAAUACUACCUCAUUAUUACUAAACAUGAAUACUGUACUCUAAUACUACCUCAUUAUUACUAAACAUGAAUACUGUAAUCUAAUACUACCUCAUUAUUACUAAACAUNNNNNNNNNNNNNNNNNNNNNNNNNNNNNNNNNNNNNNNNNNNNNNNNNNNNNNNNNNNNNNNNNNNNNNNNNNNNNNNNNNNNNNNNNNNNNNNNNNNNCCCAAUUUUCUAAAUACUUUCAUUAGUCCCUAUCCUUAUCUUAUAGUUAGGAUAGACUUAUGCCUAUCCCACACAUGCUUAAACUCCUUCACUGUGUUAACCUCUACCACUUCAGCUGGAAGGCUAUUCUAUGCAUCCACUACCCUCUCAGUAAAGUAAUGCCAUCUCCGUGAUGUCACAGGAGUAGGAUAGGUAAGUAGCACAGAGGAUCAUGGAGGUGUGGAGAUAGGUUUGUAUUCCUAAUACUUUAGUGUUCCUUUAUUAAAUGGAUACAAAUAUUUAUUUUAAAACCGUUCUUCAUGUUUGUGGUUAUAUGUGGUUCUCUUUUUUUUGUACAUAACACCCUAAGUGCUUGUAUGUUUAAAUGGAAUUAUUAUUGCAUUGUUUCAUAAUGCUAGUUGUUUGAUUUUCAUACUUAUUCUAAUCUGAUCAGAAGCAUUUUGAGGUCAUUUACUAUAACUGUAUCCACAAAUCAAUCUUCUAAAUGGAAUUAAAUAAUGUGUUUUAUGCCAGAUGGGUUUUAAGAACAAAACAAACAAAAAAAACAUUUAUUUUAUAAAUCUGGGCAACAAAACAAGCCAAACCCAGCUUUUAGUGCAUGAUUAAUAAAACUUUCAAGUACAUAGCAAGCAGUGUUGAUCUUAAAGGAUAAGUCGACACACCAAAACCACUUUAGCUUUAUUAGAACCCUUAUAGCACAAGAUUAUUAUACAGGUGGUCCUCAUUUUACGACCUAUCUGUUUUACAACGGCUCGCACUUACAACCAGCUCUCUAGCGUGGGGGUAAGUGUGAGACGUGGUGGGGAUUAGAGGGGAUACCUUAAAUCUAUGUUCGGGAACAUUCCCUGUUCUUGUGCGUUCGUUUAUGUUCGGGCAAAUUUCCCUCAACAUAGACAAGCACACCAGAGCAUGGUACCCCUCAACUCCUCACUUACCGGCCAAUUUGUUCUAUGACAUUGUCGUAAGAACGGAACCCGGUCGGUAAGGGAGCAGUACCUGUAUUUUAUUAUUUCCUAUGAUUUGUAAAANNNNNNNNNNNNNNNNNNNNNNNNNNNNNNNNNNNNNNNNNNNNNNNNNNNNNNNNNNNNNNNNNNNNNNNNNNNNNNNNNNNNNNNNNNNNNNNNNNNNGAUCCAGUAAUUACAACAUCCAGACUACAACAUCUGUCAUCACUUUCCACAUCCUUUAUAGAACCUCUUUGAGUCCUUGGUAUUUGUCCACCUUCUAAUGUUCCUUCUCCUGAUGUUUUGGUCUCUGGGUAUUGCUACAUCCACCACCAACACUGCAGUUUUCGUUUCCUUGUCUACCACCACUUUGUCAGGUUGGUUGGCUGCUUACUUGUCUGUCUGGAUCUGAAAGUCCCACUAAAACUUAGCCAUUUCAUUCUCAACUACACUCUGUGGUAUUUCCUAUCUGGAUUCUAGCCCAUAUUCUGAGCAGAUGUUUUGGUAGACAAUCCAAGUAACUUGGUUGUGCCUCUCAGUGUAUGCUGUCCCUGCUAAGGUCUUGCACCAGCCUCUGUGAACUGGAUUGUCUCGGAGGCCUCUUUGCAUAGUCUGCACCUUUGGUCUUGCAUGGUGUGGUAGACUCCAGCCUCUAUUGAUUUGGUGCAGAGUGCCUGUUCCUGUGCAGCUAGGAUUACUGCCUCAGUGCUGGCUUUCAGUCUUGCCUUUUCCAACCACUGUCUCCACAGUGGUUUUAACUGAGAUGCUUUUAAUUGGUUACUACUCAUUGAUAACCAGGAGAUUUUGGACAAAAAGGGUGCAGCUCAGCUUAGCUACAGAAAUCAAAUUCUAUGGAUCAGUAAAAGUAGGAUUUAAGGCAAUCAGGAAGAUAAUCUUUAACAGCAUAUACCUGCCUUCUCUUAUACUCUGUGUGAUAUUAGAUAGUUAUUGAUUGGCAUACGAAGGUGGGAGGUGGAAGCUGUCUUGCUAUAGAGGAUGAGUUGUCAUGAUGUGUGGUGGAGCGUAUAUGGUUGAUAAUGGCCUCAUAAAAAGUAUCUGUGAAAAUUAUAUUAAGAUUUUACAGACAGCUGUCUAGAUAGGCUUGCAGGCAAGAAAACUGGACUAAAAUCGGUGUAUUUAUUGCGCAAUGUGAUUCCGGAGAAUUUCUUCUUUCCACUUAUUGUGAUAAUUAGAAAGCUUUUAAACUUCAGUUAGCCACACUAAGAGUCUCCAGUGUUCAGUUUAUUAAUUCAGUCUUACGAAGUAACUACUAUAAAGGUUAACCAUGUCCAGCUAUCCUAUUAAACCUACAUUUAUACAAUCUUCUAGGCUAAAAGCACAAUUGCAGUUUGAGAUAAUUAGGUAGAGUUUUUCUAAAAUACCCAGGACUAUGAAGACAGAAAAUUAAUUCACUGCUUAUAUUUUAACAAGUAUUUUAUAGACUCCGUACUCCACAGGGGGAUCCUCGGAGGCAGUUCUGAAGUGCUGGGGGGGAAUUCUAAUAUGUUUCUACUCCCUAGAGUCACUCAAAUACUGUAAAUUGAAAAUUCCCAUAAAACUGAGCAUUACCGAGGCACAGCAUUCAAAGGAACUGGUUAUGGUGGAGUAGAUAGAAGAAAGUGACCUUAAUAGAAAAUCACACCAUCUUUACAUUGUGUCAACAAAGAUUUGGAUUAUCAUGAAGAUGUGUUUAAUUGUUUCAGUGCUGAAUCACUUUUCUAAAACUGUUUUUGUUUCAAUAAGUAAUUAUAUGCACUAUUGUAUUAUGUAUACCUCAACAUUCAAAACCAAUCUAUCUACACUUUAUUUAAAGGGACACUAUAGGCACUAGAACAAUUUUACCUUAAUGAAGCAGUUUUGCUGUAUAGCUCAUGCCCCUGUAGUCUCACUGCUUAAUUCUCUGCCAUUUAGUAGUUAAAUCACUUUGUAUAGGCAGCGCUAGUCACAACUCCCAUGCUUCAUAAACACUUCCUGUAAAGUGAGAUCUAAUGCACAUGCACAUUCUGUUUAACUUUGAAUUUCAUCGUUCCUGUACUGUUAAUAGCCUGCUGACCUUGCAGGAGGCACCUGUGUGAGAUUAAAGUUUAAUUUACAGAACAGGAUAUAAAAACUUAUAAAGUAUGUUAAAAUCUGAUUGAGAAUAAAACCAUUGUUUCAUGCAGGCUGUGUGAGUCUCUGCCAAGGUAGGUGUGGCUGGGGCAGCAUUAGCAAAAACAAAUAUGAUUGAACUCUUAAAUGGCAGAGAAUUGAGUUGUGAGACUGCAGGGGCAUGAUCUAUACACCAAAACUGCUUCAUUAAUCUACAGUUGUUUUAGUCAUAUAGUAUCCAUUGUAAUGUGUCAGUCUUUAAUUAUUAUUUUCUCUGCCUGUGCAAGUUUCACUAUUCCAAAUGUUGUGAUUUGGAGUCAUCCUGCUGACGGAGUGUUUUGUGAUGGAUGGAGUUCACCAGAUCGCAGUCGAUAGCAUUGAUCUUGUAAUUGAUGCAGAAAUCCGACACUUGAUUAACCCAAGUAUAACGAGAGCUGGAUUGUUGUGGCUUUCAGCCAUUAGAUGGGUAGGGGGUGUUUGAACACUAAGGAACCAUUCCAGAUGCAACCAAAGUGGUGAAUGUUCUAACACAGAAUCACCAAUCCCGAGGAACCAGUGAUACAUUGUCAUUUAUUUCAUUCUUUGUGCUAACAGGACAAUCCAAAAUGCUUUCUAUCUGUUAUUAUCCUAUACAUAGUUACUAUCCUAAAAAUAGUCUGAUCAACACCUGUCCCUCCAUUUCCUGUUAAAGAUGCAGAUGAAUCUUUGAGAUGGUACUUGUGCGCUAAUAACAAAAUACUAAACUUCCCAACUCCAAACACAUCGUAUUUCUAGUCUUUUUGGCUAUAUUGUUCCAAUCUCUGGCAGUAAAAUGGAUACUUGGUGUCAAUGGGAUAAACAGAGAGAUUAGGAUUAACAUGUUAAGUAGUAGCUAGUUUAUUCCACUACCUUCGAAUGCUGGACUUCGUUACCCUAGCAGGGCAGAAAGAUAAAAAUCUAAUCUUGCAAUCAGCCCUCUUUACUUAACGGGUUAAUGUUAGGGCUUUCUUCAAUAAACCGGCAACUGUGGAAAACUGGCAACAGUGAAUCCCAAAUAGCCAAAUUACAGUGGGGUUACUGGAGAAUUUGUCCUAUUCAGUUUCUUUGACUUAAAAUGUAAAAUUCUCUAGUCAGUUCCCCACAAUUCCUAGUGAAUAAGCGUAUAUAGUAAACUCUACCAUAUAGUGUAAGCUCCUCGGCACUCGCAGUGUUAAUGCUUUGAUUGAUUUCAGAGCAUAUUGAUCUCCCCUGAGCCAUUUAAAGAGUUAAACUGCCAUGGAGAUGAGUGUCUGUUAUUAAGAGGAAGCACCCUGGAGGGGAGACCCUGAUGAGAGCAUUUGCAGGAAAUCAAUAGGGAGAAGAAAUGAGUAUUAAGGCUCAGAAUAUCAAGGAUUUGAAAAGGAGGCAUUAAUUGUCCAGUGAAAAGAGAUAUGCUCGUCAUUUGUCACAUGCAGCCUGGCCAUAUUGUAUCCGUUCCAGGGUUCUGGUGGGGUACAUGGCUCUCAUAGUAAUCACAAAUCAGCUCUCUUUAUUCCUAAGAAAAGGCUUCAUAAUUAUUCUUAUUAAUAAAUGAAACCCUGUAACCCUUUUAAAAGUUGAUAUGCCCUAAAUUUAGCACUAAAACUUGCAAAAAAAGGUGAAACCUGCCUUCCAUGCUUCUUCAUGAGUGUUAGUACACCUGGAAAGAUACCCUCGCACUAUAUUAAGAGGGCUGGCCAACACGAUUGGCAGUGAAUACCUCCCAGACGGACAUAUCUAUUGUCCGGGUGGGUCUGUCACCGGUCCACCUUCUUUUGACCUGCCCUCCAGCAUCCCUGUUUACUGGAUGCCAUUGUUGGACACAUACUAUUACUCAUACAGGCAUGUAACAAUACACCUACAGACAAACUGGUACUGACUUGCCUCUUCGGCCCCACUUGUGACACAUGCCUGCUCUUAUCAUUUAUGUCCUUUUUGCAGUCCCUUUUGUACAUAAAUCAGGCCAUUAUCAUUCUGCAUCAUAAUAAAUUGGCAUCCAUUGACUGCCAAUCCUAUGUAAAGUGCUGUUAGUGCACACAGCAAAUUAUGAGCAGCCUGGGGGAAUUUUUACCUCUGAUCGGUCAUGCGGCUCCUUGAAGUGGAGGCCCAAGUCUGGUGCUCUGCUGACCAAAGUUCAGGCCUGUCUACAGUAUUUCGUGGAGGGGGGAGUCAAUGUGCACUGUUAUGUUCCAGUCAAACUGGCCAUCCCUCUCGUACACAUAUUAGAGUGAGUAGAGUGUCACAAUCAUUGGUUGAAAUGCAGACCUUCUAAUAAACAAGUAGACUUAGGGACCCCUUCAGGUAGGUGCAUCUUGCAAUCAAUACAUUUGCUGUCAAUUUUGAGUACAAUAUACAAUCCUUUGAAGGAUUCUCUUUAAAUGUUCAUUAUAAAAGCAGAUACAAUAAGGUACCUGGGGCUGGCUCAGUGUAAUCCCAGUGACAUACUGCAGGGAUUAAUCAGACUGGAAUCAUUUACAUAUUGAUUUUUAUUCUGGACGGUAUCAUUCGCCGUUGUUUAUCAACAUAAUCCCUCUUUCUACUUUCUCGUUACCUCAUUUGUUCCCUCCCUGCAAGAAUUUCUUUCUGAGUAUCAGCAAAUAUUUACAAAGAGAUUUGCAUCCAGCGCUGUUUACUCAGCGAGCGGAGGUAAUCAACGUGUUUCAUUUCACCGUGCCUGAGAAACGAUGGUUUAUAUACUCCUAUUAAACACAGUUAAUGUUUACUCGAGAACUGAUUAGUUGGAUUAUAGGUGCGGCUGACAGCGUGAGGAGGAAGAUUGUAAAUCUGGCAAAACAAUAAGAAAAACCUCUAGUUACUAACAACAUUUCCAGUUUCCUAUUUAAUGGCUAAACAUGUUGUGCACAGCCUCUCCCAUUUAACCCUCACUUUCCCUUCUCAUUAUGAAUUCUUCACCCCUAGCAUCCGACAUCUUGGAAUCCUGUCUUCUCUCCGACAAACAUAUCAUCUAAUCCUUCCAUCAACCGUUUCAACCACCAUCCACUAAUCUCUCUCCAUCUAAUAAAACAUUAAAAUGCUAAAAUUCACCCAAAAAAUUAAAAAUACUCCCUCAUUAUUACUAAACAUGAAUACUGUAAUCUAAUACUCCCUCAUUAUUACUCAACAUGAAUACUGUAAUCUAAUACUACCUCAUUAUUACUAAACAUGAAUACUGUAAUCUAAUACUACCUCAUUAUUACUAAACAUGAAUACUGUACUCUAAUACUCCCUCAUUAUUACUAAACAUGAAUACUGUAAUCUAAUACUCCCUCAUUAUUACUAAACAUGAAUACUGUAAUCUAAUACUACCUCAUUAUUACUAAACAUGAAUACUGUAAUCUAAUACUCCCUCAUUAUUACUAAACAUGAAUACUGUACUCUAAUACUCCCUCAUUAUUACUAAACAUGAAUACUGUAAUCUAAUACUCCCUCAUUAUUACUCAGCAUGCAUACUGUAAUACUGUAAUCUAAUACUCCCUCAUUAUUACUAAACAUGCAUACUGUAAUCUAAUACUACCUCAUUAUUACUAAACAUGAAUACUGUAAUCUAAUACUCCCUCAUUAUUACUAAACAUGAAUACUGUAAUCUAAUACUACCUCAUUAUUACUAAACAUGAAUACUGUACUCUAAUACUCCCUCAUUAUUACUAAACAUGAAUACUGUAAUCUAAUACUACCUCAUUAUUACUAAACAUGCAUACUGUAAUCUAAUACUCCCUCAUUAUUACUAAACAUGAAUACUGUAAUCUAAUACUCCCUCAUUAUUACUAAACAUGAAUACUGUAAUCUAAUACUACCUCAUUAUUACUAAACAUGAAUACUGUAAUCUAAUACUCCCUCAUUAUUACUAAACAUGAAUACUGUACUCUAAUACUCCCUCAUUAUUACUAAACAUGAAUACUGUAAUCUAAUACUCCCUCAUUAUUACUAAACAUGAAUACUGUAAUCUAAUACUACCUCAUUAUUACUAAACAUGAAUACUGUACUCUAAUACUACCUCAUUAUUACUAAACAUGAAUACUGUAAUCUAAUACUACCUCAUUAUUACUAAACAUGCAUACUGUAAUCUAAUACUCCCUCAUUAUUACUCAGCAUGAAUACUGUAAUCUAAUACUACCUCAUUAUUACUAAACAUGAAUACUGUAAUCUAAUACUACCUCAUUAUUACUAAACAUGAAUACUGUACUCUAAUACUCCCUCAUUAUUACUAAACAUGAAUACUGUAAUCUAAUACUCCCUCAUUAUUACUAAACAUGAAUACUGUAAUCUAAUACUACCUCAUUAUUACUAAACAUGAAUACUGUACUCUAAUACUACCUCAUUAUUACUAAACAUGAAUACUGUAAUCUAAUACUACCUCAUUAUUACUAAACAUGAAUACUGUACUCUAAUACUCCCUCAUUAUUACUAAACAUGAAUACUGUAAUCUAAUACUCCCUCAUUAUUACUAAACAUGAAUACUGUAAUCUAAUACUACCUCAUUAUUACUAAACAUGAAUACUGUACUCUAAUACUCCCUCAUUAUUACUAAACAUGAAUACUGUAAUCUAAUACUACCUCAUUAUUACUAAACAUGCAUACUGUAAUCUAAUACUCCCUCAUUAUUACUCAACAUGCAUACUGUAAUCUAAUACUACCUCAUUAUUACUCAACAUGCAUACUGUAAUCUAAUACUCCCUCAUUAUUACUAAACAUGCAUACUUUAAUCUAAUACUCCCUCAUUAUUACUAAACAUGAAUACUGUAAUCUAAUACUACCUCAUUAUUACUAAACAUGCAUACUGUAAUCUAAUACUCCCUCAUUAUUACUAAACAUGAAUACUGUAAUCUAAUACUCCUUCAUUAUUACUAAACAUGAAUACUGUAAUCUAAUACUACCUCAUUAUUACUCAACAUGCAUACUGUAAUCUAAUACUCCCUCAUUAUUACUAAACAUGAAUACUGUAAUCUAAUACUACCUCAUUAUUACUCAACAUGCAUACUGUAAUCUAAUACUCCCUCAUUAUUACUCAACAUGCAUACUGUAAUCUAAUACUCCUUCAUUAUUACUAAACAUGAAUACUGUAAUCUAAUACUACCUCAUUAUUACUAAACAUGCAUACUGUAAUACUGUAAUCUAAUACUCCCUCAUUAUUACUAAACAUGCAUACUGUAAUCUAAUACUCCCUCAUUAUUACUAAACAUGCAUACUGUAAUCUCAUACUCCCUCAUUAUUACUCAACAUGCAUACUGUAAUCUCAUACUCCCUCAUUAUUACUAAACAUGCAUACUGUAAUCUAAUACUACCUCAUUAUUACUAAACAUGCAUACUGUAAUCUAAUACACCCUCAUUAUUACUCAACAUGCAUACUGUAAUCUAAUACUCCCUCAUUAUUACUCAACAUGCAUACUGUAAUCUCAUACUACCUCAUUAUUACUCAACAUGAAUACUGUAAUCUCAUACUCCCUCAUUAUUACUCAACAUGCAUACUGUAAUCUAAUACUACCUCAUUAUUACUAAACAUGAAUACUGUAAUCUAAUACUACCUCAUUAUUACUAAACAUGCAUAAUGUAAUCUAAUACCACCUCAUUAUUACUCAACAUGCAUACUGUAAUCUAAUACUCCCUCAUCAUUACUAGGUAUAAUUUACUGUAAUCUAAUACUACCUCAUUAUUACUCGGCAUGAAUACUGUAAUCUAAUACUAUCUCAUCAUUACUAGGAAUGAAUACUGUAAUGUAAUGCUACCUCAUCAUCACUAGGAAUGCCUAGUGUAAUAUAAUACCACCUCAUCAUUACUAGGUAUAAUUUACUGUAAUCUAAUACUCCCUCAUUAUUACUAGGUAUAAUUUAUUGUAAUCUAAUACUCCCUCAUUAUUACUCGGCAUGAAUACUGUAAUCUAAGCAGUAUCAUGUUUUCUUAUCAUUACUAGGCAUGAAUACUGAAAUCUAAUACUCCCUUAUUAUUACUAGGCAUGAAUACUGUAAUCUUAAUACUCUAUGAUCGUUACUAGACAAAAUGCUGCAGUCUAAUUAAUACGCUGUCACUACUAAUCUAAUACCCCCUCACUGUUACAAUGCAUUACUACUGCAGUAUCAUGCUUUCUUAUCAUUACUAGGCAUGAAUAUCGUAAUAUAUUACUCCCUGAAAUUCACAAAGCUUGAAUUACUGCAGCUCAAGGCUUCUUUAUGUUUAUUAGACAUCGCAAUGCCAAUCUCACACUUCAUUCAUUACUAGACAUGACUAUGCCAAUCUCACACUUCAUUCAUUACUAGACGUGACUGUACCAAUCUCACACUUUGUUCAUUACUAGACAUGACAAUGCCAAUCUCACACAUUGUUCAUUACUAAACAUGGCAAUGCCAGUCUCACACUUUGUUCAUUACUAGACAUGACGUUGCCAAUCUCACACUUUGUUUAUUACUAAUCAUGACUAUUCUAAUCCCACGCUUCCUCAUCAUUACUAGACAUGACAAUGCCAAUCUCACGCUUUAUUCAUUACUGGACAUUUAUUUAUUUAUAAAAUAUUUUACCAGGAAAGAUACAUUGAGAUUAAUCUCGUUUUUAAUGUCAUAGGUCCACAAAACAUUGAAUUGAUACAGUAGGGUACAAUAAAAUACAAAAACAAUAUUAAUACACAAUAUAUACAAAAUGUAACAUAGAACAGGUAGGAAAUAUAUUAUCAACCAUGACAGGUGCAUUCUGUUUAGAGGUAUGUAGAGAGGGAUCUCUUAAAGGACUUUAGGCUUGGGGAAGAUUUGAAAGUGUGCGGGAGGUUGUUCCAUAAUUGCGGUGCUCUGUAGGAAAAUGAGGAUCGGGCUGCUUUCUUUUUGUAUUGAGGUAGACUAAAUAAAGUGCUGGUACUGGAUCGGAGGUUAUAGGAAGUGGGAACAGCUGGGGAGAGCACUCAGGUAGGGUGGGAGCUUCCCAGAAAAGCUCUUAAACACAAGGCUGGAAAGAUUAAGUGUACUAGACAUGACAGUGCCAAUCUUACACUUUGUUCAUUAGUAGACAUGACAAUGCCAAUCUCACACUUUGUUUAUUGUAAAACAUGACAAUGCCAAUCUCACACUUCAUUCAUUACUAGACAUGACAGUGCCAAUCUCACACUUUGUUUAUUAUAAAACAUGACUGUGCCAAUCUCACACUUUGUUUAUUAUAAAACAUGACUGUGCCAAUCUCAUGCUUCCUUGUUGUUACUAGACAUAACUUUUCCAAUCUCAUGCUUCAUUCAUUGCAAGGUCACUUCACCAAAUUCUAAAUGCAUGUGUACCCUUCUAAAUCUGCUGUUGUCCUUUUAUAAAAACCCCACACACCACAGAGUGAUUUUUAAACUCCUUGCUGAAAAUGAUCUGUAACCUUCCUAUCUCUCUAUGAUUGCCCUGCUUUAAACGUAAACACCUCCACAACCCUGCCUUCACCACUUCCUUGCUCAGUUCAUCCUUCAUCUGAACCAAGCUACCCAAUCAUCUUGUGCCACCUGCCUCGCCAUUUACUCACUCCUGAAAUCCCAGCUAUUCACUAACACUUUCCUUGACCUUCCAUAGUUCCAUUCUCUUCCCAAGCUUCUGAUUAUCAGUGCCCAUCAGACCAUCCUGCUCAUAUCAAUUCACUGAAUUCUCCCAUUAUUGUCUGUACCCCACCAGUGCACUUUAUCUUUUCUUCCCCCUAUUAAAAUGUCCACCUGUCUGUCUGUCUGUAUGUCUGUCUAAACAGCGGAAUAGAGCAACAGAAUAUAAUCAAGCCUGUUCUCUCCAUGUCUGCCAACAUUAGGACUAUAUUCAACUCCAUGUAGUGCUCACAGAGAGACUUAUUUUUCAGUCUCUCACAUUACAAUUAUUAUACAUAAUGUCCCCAGCUGGUUUCUUCUCUGUUGUUUGCUGGUAAUGUGUUUUUCUCCAGAGAGAGAGACCAUUUUCUAUUUCACUUGCUGUAAGAAGAGUGUUGUGUGCUGGGAGGCAUUUUCUCCAGAUUACACACUCGGUUAGUAAAAUAUAGCUCUGCCGUGUUGGCUUCUCGGGGUACGUUUGGUAUUACUGCUGGCGAGGUUUUCCAGUGACCUUUCUCUAGUUGUUUUUCACAAGUUAUGUUCAUGUAAGUUUAGAUUUAAAAUACCCGUUUUGUAAGAAACCGGUCCAUAAUAAAAUGAAAUGGCCAUAAUGGAAUAUCGAUGUUUAAAGAUUCUUAGCAUUUCUUUACAGUAUGAAAAAUAACAGUUUGGUGCUGCAUCGCUGUAUAGCAAAAUAAUCUGUUUAUUAAUAAUCUUGCAAUGGACAUUGAAAGUCAUGUGUCAGUGUUUGCAGAUAACACAAAGCUUGAUGAGGGGAUAUAGUGAGAGCAGGUUAUUGCAUAGCUGCAGGUGGACUUGGAUACAUUAAGGGAUUGGGCAGACAAUCAGCAGGUGAGGUUUAGUGUAGAUUAAUGCACUUUGGGUCAAGUAAUGCACAAGCAACGUAUACUUAAAUGAGGACAGGUAGCAGUUGCUGAUACCAGUAAGGUAUCGUCAAGCAUAAAAAUGAGUAUUAAUCAACAAGAAAAAUAUAUAAUCCUGCCUCUUUAUAGAUCAAAGACCCCUCUUUGAAUAUGUGCUAUAAUUCUGGCCACAUGUUUAAAAGAAUGGUGUUACAAAAGUUGAAACAGUGCAGAGGUGGGCUAUAAAUUUAAUACGGGGAAUGGACAAUUUGAAAUGUGGUGAUUUUGCUGCAAAAUGGGGGGAAAAAAUCCUUCUUGAUAUCAAAGUGGAAAUCAGAUUUCUCCUUAUAUACGCAAUCUGUUCCCCCGCACAUGAAUUUAUCUGAUAAAACAAGCUCUUUAGACACACACUUGUGCACCUUCAUUGUUCUUACCAUAAAGAACAAUGUCUUCUGUCAACACAAAACUUUCCUUUCUCUGUUCACCUACUUUUGGAUUAUCAGCAAAAACAGUCAUGAGAAAUGCUAAACUCGAUGGACUUGAAUCUUUUUUCAGAAGAUAUCACUAUGUAAAAUGUGGAGGAAGUUGCCAACACAAGUCAAUCUUGUGCACCUUAGUGGUUAUGGUCCGAGGAGUCCUCUGGUUCUAUUGCGCAGUUUUCAUAUGGUUUGACACUGAUGCCAUCCUCCAGUUUCUGAAUAGUUUGACAUUUUCCUGGCCCCUCUGUACACAGGCCCCUCUUUAGAUAUUGCUGAAGCUGAACUUUGUACUUCCACAUUAAUGAAAUCUAUUUUUCCUGUUUUGUUCAAUGAAUAAAGUACUCUAUAACAAUCCUGCUUUCAUGAGGGGGAUUCCUUUUAAAUGAAUGGCACAAGGAAACUAGCAGGGCUACUUACUAAAGUGUGAGUUGUUGAGAAAUUAAAGUGAAUUUCAAAGGUUAGGCAAAGGUAGCAGAAAUCAUAGCUGAUAUGGAUAAGUAUUUUUAUUGAAAUUUUAAAUUCACUUUCCAUUUGAAUUCAUGACAAGUCACACUUUACUGAUAAACUGUGGACAAAAUGUGUCGAUUUGGUAAUAAAAAACCUUAAACCGGACUGUAGUCUCAUCUUCCUAAAUGUUGCAAUUCUGGUUUCAGUUUGUGACAAUGAGUUUUUUCGGGAAUAAACUCCCCUUUAUGGGACACCUGUGAGCAGAAUGUUGUGUUUUAUUGUCACUGCGGCUGUGUUCCUGGUUCAGUGAUUUGCAAAGUGAUUCGUAUAAUAUGGAUGGAAAUAAACCGCUUUGUGUGACGCUAUUAGCACGGUUUUUGUGCAGUGUGUUACAUAGUUACAUAGUUUCAUAGCUGAAAAGAGACUUGCGCCCAUCAAGUUCAGCCUUCCUCACAUAUGUGUUGCUGUUGAUCCAAAAGAAGGCAAAAAAACUAGUCUGAAGCGCUUCCAAUUUUGCCACAAACUAGGAACAAAAUUCCUUCUUGACCCCAAAAUAGCAGUCAGAUGUCUCCUUGGAUCAAGCAGCUAUUACCCCACUAAUUAGAAAUUAUAUCCCUGUAUGUUAUGUUUUUGUAAGUAUUUAUCCAAUUGCAGUUUAAACAUCUGUAGUGACUCUGACAAAACCACCUCUUCAGGCAGAGAAUUCCACAUCCUUAUUGCUCUAACUGUAAAAAAAAACCUUUUCUUUGCCUUAGAUGAAAUCUCCUUUGUUCCAGCCUAAAUGUGUGACUUUGUGUCCUAUGUAUAGCCCUGUUUAUGAAUAGAUUUCCAGAUAAAGGUGUGUGCUGGCCCCGAAUAUAUUUUUAUAAAGUUAUCAUAUCCCCUCUUAGGCGCCUUCUUUCCAAACUAAACAGAUUUCAUUUUUUAACCUUUCUUCAUAACUAAAAUGCUCCAUUCCUUUUAUCAAUUUUGGAGCUUGUCUCUGGACUUUUUCUAGUGCCAUGAUAUCUUUCUUUAGAACAGGUGCCCAAAAGUGCACAGCAUAUUCAAGGUGUGAUCUUACCAGCUAUUUAUAAAGAGGCAAAAUUAUAUUUUCAUCCCGAGAAUUUAUGCCCCUAUUUAUACAUGACAAAAUCUUACUGGCCUUAGCAACUGCAUAUUGCUGCCUAAUUUGUUAUCUAUAACAAUUCCCAAAUCCUUCUUGUGUGUGGUUAUCCCUAAUUCACUACCAUUUAGUGUGUAAGUUGCUUGUGCAUUCUUAACCCCGAAGUGCAUAACUUUGCAUUUCUCUACGUUAAAUUUCAUCUGCCAUUUUAGUGCCCAGUCCCCCAAUCUAUCCAAAUCCCUCUGCAGCAAAGCAAUGUCCUGCUCACAUUUUAAUACUUUGCAAAGUUUUGUGUCAUCUGCAAACACUAAAACAUGGCUAUCAAUAAUUAUUUCAUGAUCAUUUAUAAAUAUGUUAAAUAGAAGCGGUCCCAAAACAGAACUCUGAGGGACACCACUUACCACUUUUGUCCAGCCUGAAAAUGUACCAUUAAUUACAACUCGUUGUACUCUAUCCUUAAGCCAAUGUUCUACCCAAGAUCAAGAAUAUUCAUCUAGACCAAUUUCUUUUGUGUUCCUAAAGCAAAGGUACAGUUAUUUUUGUAUUCAUUUAAAUGAAACAGCUGCAUGCUCCAAUUAGGUUUAAUUGACGUUUUUUCCUCCCUAUUAUAGGAUAAUGCCAGAUUAUAUGCUCGGAGGAUUUGAUAGGCUGAUGAUUAUAUUUGUGAUUUAGCUUCCUUGUUUCUGGCAGAGAGUACAGUGCUCCAGCAUUGCUUUGAUGAAGAAGUCUUUGUAUCCACUGAGUGGUGGGGUAUUUGUUAUAUGCUGGGUUCUCUGUGUAGGGCUUAGGAAGGUGUAUUAACUAACCUGUUAAAGGGACAAGUAAUAAAACUAAGCCGUUUCUGUGUAUAGAUUUUGUCCCUGCAGUCUCACCUCUCAAUUUUCUGCCGUUUAGUUCACUUUUGUUUCUGUUUAUGCUGACUUAGCCGCACCUCCCCUCGGUGUGACUCAUGCAACCUGCAUGAAAACAUUGUUUCAUUUUCAAUCAGAUCUCACAACACAGUGUGUUUACUUUAGAAGUUCUACUCUUUAGAACGUCCUUCUCUGUUAAUUGAACUUUAAUCACAUACAUGGGCUAUUGGAGGCUCUGCAAUUUCUCACCAAGGCCAAGUUCUUCCUGCAAGGGGAGUGACAUCCCUAAUGCCUGGCUGAUGGUGGGGACCCCAUGACACUAUUGACCAUACAUUGUUUGCAUGGUAUGUGUGCGAAAUGCAGACACCUUUAAUGCACAGUUUUAACGUUAUCAGAUUAAAUAUCUUGUUCCUGGCUACUAGUGAACCUGUGAGAGGUACACGUAUCAAAGCAAAGUGCAUUAUAUCUGUAUGUGUAAUUUUUCUUUCUGCACAUGCAGAGUUAAAGCACCAUAACCACUUCAAAGCACUGUGACUACUUAAGUGGUCAUAGAGUUUGUAGUAAUUAAUUUACCCCAUAAAAACAGCUCCAUAAACAUUGUCCAGUUCAGUUAUCUUACAAUAAACAUAUUUUUUUCCCCCUUAAUUCUCAUGCUGUAGUGAAUAAGCUACUGAGUAGUUUCCACAGCAGGAGAGGAUGAAUCCUUCGCUACCCAGUUAUUGAUGAACGACAUCUCUCUUUAUGUUUCCAACCACAACCUGCUCACCAAAAGCUGAGUGGACAAUACAGGGGCCAGAAUGUUAUGUUUUAUUAAUAUAAUAUCGAAAUUGAGGAAGCGACCAGCCUAAAGAAAAAAAAACGGAAAUGAUCCAUUUUUUAGAUUUGUGAAUUUAUGACCUUCUGUCAUAUUUGAUUAAUUGAAUAUUUUUUAUUUAUAGUAUUUUACUUUUGAUAAACAGUAAGAUAAUCAUCCAGUUUCAUGAUUGUUCUUCCGGCUUCCGCAGCGCUGAGAUUCUAGAAUAUCUGGUUCCGAGCCUGAAUGAGAAUCUAGAAUGUCUGGUGCUGGAAGCAUUUGUGAUAAAUGAUUGUCACAAAACAAUAGAGAGAGAAUGGAUUGUAAUUACAGGACGCUCCAUCAAAGCUUUUUAAUAAUUAUAAGCCCUUAAACCAAAUAUUAUCUCUUGGUUUUAAAUGCGCAGAAAAAUUGCUCUCAUUUGUCUAUAAUGAAACAUUUAAUGAAUCACAAAUUGUUUUAAUUAAGUCAAAAACACAUAUUUGAUACAUUGUUUCUGAUGUAUGAAUCUGUAUUAAUAUAAUUAGGAGAAACAUGCCUUGAAGUAGCUGGGAAAUGCUCCCAAUGAUCAUUCCGCUCCAGUAACACUUCAUAUAUAUUGCUAAAUAUACUGAAUAAUCAUGGGGGCUAUAUACUAACCAGAGAACUUGCGGCAUUGACCUGCACAGGGAGGUAUGCUGCGUGUAUAUAGUGUCCGCACACCUGAGCUACAUAUAGAAUAUAUGAAGGUAUUUAGUAAGAAACCGUGAACUUAUGGAAUAAGCACAUAACUAAAGUGUCUAAAUGGAUAUAGUCACAUCAUAUGAAAAACCUUAGCAUAUAAGGAGUUAAAGGGCUUUAUGUGUGAAGAGUGUGUCCUCUUUUAAUUUUACAAAAAGUGUAGAUUUUAAUAGAAACUGGCACUUUUAUAAAUUAACCUGGUUACACCCCCUUAGAUGUCAGUCAGACAACUGGUCCUGUUACUUCCUGGUUUGUUUAGCUCAGUGGAGAUGGCAGCAACUACCAACUGCCAAGAGCACCUGCCUUGCAAUGACUUCUCAUUGAGCUCCAUUGAAUAGUCUGUGAUUGGACAGCCACAGAAGGUCUAGUUAAUUAAUUGUGGGUACAUUUACUAAGAAGUGAUUGUUAUUUAUUUGGGCUGAAACAGGUUUCUCAUCUGCCACUUCUUCCAGGCUGACCAUUACCCCAAACCUUCCAGGUUCGCCAGUCCUCACCCUGUGAUAUAUGAUGACCCUGUUGUUUUUUUAUUGUUUUUAUUCUUAACCAAAUAUUUCCUAUUUUUCUUAAUAAUUAUUAUUGCUGUUACAGGUGUUUAUAAAGUGCCAACGUAUCCGCAGCGCUGUGCAAAUAAUUGUACAAUAUACACAGACCAAUAGUAAAGAGGGUCCUCCAUGUAAGCUCAGAUCUAGCCAUUGAAGCUCUUAUAUACAAAGUACUCUGCUGGAUAGCCUGUGUGCUUACAAUCCAAAGAUUAAAUGGGGAGCUGAGACAAGCGGUAGCAGGAAAAUUUGGAGGCGACAGACAGAGAAUUAUAGGAUAUUUGCAGCUUCUGGAAACAUCGGGAAAGAGGAGUUAAUUGUGUAUGAUGGCAUCCAUAUUGCCCUGAACCUCUAAUAGACUGAACUUCUACUGAUACGUUUGGUCUGCAUUAGUAUCAAUAUGGAUUAAAAAAUUUAGCUUCAAAAGGGCCCGUCGGUUGAGAGACAGGAAUGUUCCUACCCGUGAUUGUAUUCAGAAUAGAGUGGAGAACAGAUCCAUGUAGCAAAAUACCUCUGAGAGGGAGACUGAAAAUGUUUGAAUUACUUGAUUAAUCUCAUCAAUAACUAGACUAUAAAAUCAUUUGAGGACUUACCAUCAAGCCUCAAUGAAAAUGGAAAAGUCGGGCAAUCACAACAGCAACCAACAGAUUCUCCUACUGAUUCCGUUCACUUUUAGCAACUAUUAAUUUAUUUGUGUAAACGUUUACAAUUAAUAAUUAUAGCAUCCUAGCUAUUUCUUAUAUUACAUUACAGAUAUAUAUAUAUUGUUUUACGCACAGAUUGCUCUUAUUGAAUUAUAGAACACAAAUAAUAAUAAUAAUUAUUUAUCUAGCCCUGCCAGGCUUGCCUUCUUUGCAAAUAGUUUUUAAUAAAUAAAAAAAAAGUAGGGAAUAUAUAUAAGGGAUGGGGUACAAAGAUGAAAAAGGGGAAAAUGAGGAAGAAAAUGAUCUCUUCAUCCAAAAUCAUGCAUGCUUAAACUUACAUAUCUAAUAAAUCUAAUAAGAAACUUCUUCAAUGUUAUCAGUAUGUUAAAUUCAUUCCCGGCCUCAGCAUGUUGUAAUUUUCACAUUAAACUUAGUUGCGUAUCAGUAGGGAAAACAUAUCAGCUUUCUGAACGCCAGGAGUAUUGGCCUUUAUAUUGAGACAUUAGAAACAUUCCAGCGUUGCAGCUGCCAAAAGCAAACAUCAACAUCUGCACUAUUGUUCAGUCUGCGGCGUCGUUGGCAAGGAACCGACUCUUAAAUCUCGGCCACGCAGCAGGAGUGCGCAGUUUAUAUUUCCUUGCCAGCAGAGUGCUCACUCAGCAGAUGUUUAACGAGUACAGAAAUAAUAACAAAAAGCACCCGCUAUUGGUUAACAAUGGAAUAUUAACAUAUAUGAUUAUUUUCCAAUACACGCAUGUGCCCUUUGGCUGUAACGGUACAAUUAGAUUUCACUUAAAAGGCACACCCGUGGCCAAUCUGGUAUAAGUUGGUCUGGUAAAGACCAGGCUAAAACACCUCUACUAGAGGCCUGGGAGUCUAAGGGUUCUGUGCAGUAUCUUAGCUGUUCCUAGAACUGCACUCUUCUGGACAGGGAUCUCAGAUGUCCCAUCUGGAAUCUGCUGAAGCCACUUCCCCAACUUCGGGUGUCACAGCCCAAUAUGCUCCUGUCACAACUGGGACUACUAUUGCCUUCACUUUCCACAUCCUUUCUAGCUCUUCUUUCAGUCCUUGGUAUUUGUCCAUCUUCUCAUGUUCCUUCUUCCUGAUGUAAUAGUGACUGGGUAUUGCCACAUCUACCACGACUACAGUCUACUGUGCUUGUCUACCAUCACGUUGUCAGGUUGGUUGGCCACAACUUGCUUGUCUGUCUAGAUCUGAAAGUCCCACAGUAUCUUAGCCCUGUCAUUCUCAACUACUCUUUGUGGUAUCUCUCAUCUGGACUUAGGCAGUUUCUGAGUUUUGACAUCUAUGGUGACCAGCUCUUCUCUUGACCAGGUUCCUAUUCCAGCUGGGUACUUGAUAAAUGGUAGGGCAUAUGUGUUGAUGGCUUGGAUCUUACAUGAGACGUCACUUGAAGUAUUGUACGCAGUACUCGAGACCAUAUCUCCAGAAGGAUAUUGCUACUUUAGAGAGAGUUCAGAGAAGGGCUACUAAACUGGUUCAUGGAUUGCAGAUAAAACUUACAAGGAAAGGUUAAAUGAACUUAACAUGUAUAGCUUGGAAGAAAGACGAGACAGGGGGGAUAUGAUAGAAGAGGUUAACACGGUGAAGGAGUUUAAGCAUGCAUGGGAUAGGCAUAAGGCUAUCCUAACUAUAAGAUAAGACCAGGGACUAAUGAAAGUAUUUAGAAAGUUGGGCAGACUAGAUGGGCCGAAUGGUACUUAUCUGCCGUUACAUUCUUUGUUUCUAUGUUGAUGUUCAGUUGUGUUAUUGUCCUUGAAUUGGCUUCUAGAGUUGUUUCCACUUGCCCAUUAAGUUCUUGGUGAAGGCUCUUAUUGUGUUGUUGACCUUGUAUAAAGCUAAGCAUUCAGCACCCAAGUGGCAUUGUUUCAUAGGCUUUCUUGUAGUAAAUCUGGGCUGUGCACAGAUUAGUCUGGUUUUACAAUCCCAUGUGACUGCUUGGUCUACGAGUAGUUGGUGUUUUGAUUCUCUGGUGCGGUUUUCAAUCCUGACUUAUAUGCCCAUCGAACUUGGAGACAAUGAUGCCUGACAGGACAGGCCAUGUUGUGGGGAGGCAGGUGAUUGGUCGAUAGUUAGAUGGUAUUGUUCCUUUGUGAAAGGCCCUUCAUGACCAGUAUUAUUCUGUCUUGUGUUAGCCAGUCAGGGUGGGAACCUGUUGGUAGUUGCUGGUUCGUUUGCUAGGUGGUCAUGUAUAGAUGUUAAUUUGUCUAUCAUGUGUGGAUCAUGUCAGGUCCUGGUGCUAACCAAGUCUUCAUGUGGGCUACUCACUGUUGGAUAUCUCUGGCUGUGAUGGUGACUGGUUCCUGUACUGGGAACAUUUUAGGUCUAGUAGCCACUGAGUCUUGGCUUCUUUUACCUAGGUGUUCUUCCAGUACUGUUCAGUCUCUGCUGUAGGUGGGUCUUGGGAAGUCUUGUGAGUAUGGGAAUUUCUAACCCCUUGUGGCUCAUGUUUGAUGUUUUGUGUAGUCAAUCUAAUUGUCCACUAGCUUCCUCUUGACAAUGUUCAAACGUUGAGUAACUAGCUGUUUUGGUGUUAGGGUAGAUGAAGGUCUCUUGUUUAUCAAUAGUUUCCAUCCGUAGUUGUGUUUCUUGUAGUCUCUCUCAUUGGGUCUACUGUUGUAGUAGCAGUCAAGCAGGCAUAGGUUCUCACUUCGUGCCCAGAAAUAGUUUGCUCCAGUAGCCCACUUGUCAUCAGAUUGCCAUGGUUCCCUAGCAUCUGACGAGGACCUUGUUAAUCUGGGUGAUGUCCAAGCCGACAUAACUCCCUUGGGUCAUGUUAAUCUCAUAUUAUAAGGGUAUAUAUUGUUAGGUAAUGUCACUAAGGCAGUGACAUUACCACUGUGCUAACCAGUGGGCCUAGGGUUGGAUUAGGGCAUGGUAUAGGGCUAGUUUUAAGAGAGGCUUUUAUCAAUAUAUGUGGAAGGGGUCAUUCAAUGACCAUUGGGAUGAGGUGCCUGGUGUUUUUGCCACCUUCUGCACAGACAAAUACAGGUGUGGUGGUGACAUGUAAAACUCUACAAUAUUUGGAAAAAAAAACCAUUCAUAAGUACAAGCAGUAGACAGCAGUCCAUACCCUUGAACCUGCUGUGGACUCCAAUCCAAGAGGACAAUUACAGAAAGCAAGUGGUUUGCAGUACCAAAGCCAGAUUAUAAACAUUGAUAAGACCCAAGUGGUCUGUCUCAUCUGGCAUGAAAACAUACACAGCUUUCAUUGACUCUGUUUCUGUGUUAGAUUUUCCUAUCCCAGGUAACUACUUCCCUUCAUAUGUGACGGAUACAGGCUAUUCCAGGUAUCUACUAUCCUUUCUAUAUCACUGUUAGCCUUUAUUACUUCCACUGGCAGACUGUACCAGGUAUCUAGUAUCUAUUCUAUAUCUCUGUUAGCUUGUACUGCUUCCUCUGGAAGGCCAGUUCAGGUAUCUACUACUCUUUCUAUAUGUCCGUUAGCUUGUACUGCUUCCUCUGGAAGGCCAGUCCAGGUAUCUACAACUCGUUCUAUAUCACUGUUAGCCUUUACUACUUCCACCAGGAAGCUAUUCCAGGUAUCUACUACCCUUUCUAUGUCACUGUUACUGCUCCCACUGGAAGGCUAUUCCAGGUAUCUACUACCCUUUCUAUGUCACUGUUACUGCUCCCACUGGAAGGCUAUUCCAGGUAUCUACUACCCUUUCUAUAUCACUGUUAAUGCUCCCACUGGAAGGCUAUUCCAGGUAUCUACUACCCUUUCUAUAUAACUGUUACUGCUCCCACUGGAAGGCUAUUCCAGGUAUCUACUACUCUUUCUAUAUCACUGUUACUGCUCCCAUUGGAAGGCUAUUCCAGGUAUCUACUACCCUUUCUAUAUCACUGUUACUGCUCCCACUGGAAGGCUAUUCCAGGUAUCUACUACCCUUUAUAUAUCACUGUUACCGCUCCCACUGGAAGGCUAUUCCAGGUAUCUACUACCCUUUCUAUAUCACUGUUACUGCUCCCACUGGAAGGCUAUUCCAGGUAUCUACUACUCUUUCUAUAUCACUGUUAGCCUUUACUACUUCCACCAGGAAGCUAUUCCAGGUAUCUACUAGGCCUUAAAUAGCUCUGUUGCCAUUACUGCUUCCACUGGAAAGCUUUUCCAUAUCAAUGCUGCUGCACUACUUUUCUUUCUACACCCUCUUUUUGUUAGAAAGAGCUACAGUAGUCUUUAAGAACCAAUGAACAUUCAGACAUGCCAUGCUACAGUGAGAUUUGCCUGCCCUUUUGCUCCUUCAGGUCUAAAAGGUACCAGGGAACGUAUGAAUUCAUGGGAUCAUCAUCCUGAUCAAUUUGUAUGGUGUUUACUAGACUUGUGCAAAGAAUCGAUUUGUCUGGGUUUUACCUGAUGAAUCUGAUUAAAUUAAUAGGACUCCACAAGUAAAUCCCAGACAAAACUGUUUUUGAGUGUGAAUUAAAAGGAUUUUGAUUUGAAUGAAAUGGCAGAAGAUUGUUCUGGAUAAAUCUAGUAUUUAUUUAGUAAACAUGUCUCACGUCAGUCCCUAAAUCAGGAUCAGUGCAGGAAGAAGUGUGGAGCUGGAGAAAGUAUAGAGCUGAGCUCCCUGUCAAUCAUUGUUAUAAGCUCCACCCUUUACACCUGGCAGUCAGUAUAGAGAGAACCACCUCCAUCUUAGCUCCCUGUCAAUCAUUGUUAUAAGCUCCACCCAUUACACCUGGCAGUCAGUAUAGAGAGAGCCACCUCCAUCUUAGCUCCCUGUCAAUCAUUGUUAUAAGCUCCGCCCUUUACACCUGGCAGUCAGUAUAGAGAGAGCCGCCUCCAUCUUAGCUCCCUGUCAAUCAUUGUUAUAAGCUCCGCCCUUUACACCUGGCAGUCAGUAUAGAGAGAGCCGCCUCCAUCUUAGCUCCCUGUCAAUCAUUGUUAUAAGCUCCGCCCUUUACACCUGGCAGUCAGUAUAGAGAGAGCCACCUCCAUCUUAGCUCCCUGUCAAUCAUUGUUAUAAGCUCCGCCCUUUACACCUGGCAGUCAGUAUAGAGAGAGCCGCCUCCAUCUUAGCUCCCUGUUAAUCAUUGUUAUAAGCUCCGCCCUUUACACCUGGCAGUCAGUAUAGAGAGAGCCCCCUCCAUCUUAGCUCCCUGUCAAUCAUUGUUAUAAGCUCCGCCCAUUACACCUGGCAGUCAGUAUAGAGAGAGCCACCUCCAUCUUAGCUCCCUGUCAAUCAUUGUUAUAAGCUCCGCCCUUUACACCUGGCAGUCAGUAUAGAGAGAGCCGCCUCCAUCUUAGCUCCCUGUCAAUCAUUGUUAUAAGCUCCGCCCUUUACACCUGGCAGUCAGUAUAGAGAGAGCCACCUCCAUCUUAGCUCCCUGUCAAUCAUUGUUAUAAGCUCCUUUACACCUUUACAUCUGCUGCAGCAGUCAGCAUAGUAGAGAGAGCCACCUCCAUCUUAGCUCCCUGUCAAUCAUUGUUAUAAGCUCCGCCCUUUACACCUGGCAGUCAGUAUAGAGAGAGCCACCUCCAUCUUAGCUCCCUGUCAAUCAUUGUUAUAAGCUCCGCCCUUUACACCUGGCAGUCAGUAUAGAGAGAGCCACCUCCAUCUUAGCUCCCUGUCAAUCAUUGUUAUAAGCUCCGCCCUUUACACCUGGCAGUCAGUAUAGAGAGAGCCACCUCCAUCUUAGCUCCCUGUCAAUCAUUGUUAUAAGCUCCGCCCUUUACACCUGGCAGUCAGUAUAGAGAGCCACCUCCAUCUUAGCUCCCUGUCAAUCAUUGUUAUAAGCUCCUCGGCCAUUGGCACUCUGGGUGCCAAGUAUGUGAGAGAUCUGCCUACCUUAGCCUCCCUGUCAAUCAUUGUUAUGUUUCUCCGCCUAUUGGCACCUGGCACAAGUAUGAGAGAGCCGCCCAUUCCUUUGUAGCUCCCUGUCAAUCAUUGUUAUUAGCUCCGCCCUUUACACCUGGCAGUCAGUAUAGAGCCGCCUCCAUCUUAGCUCCCUGUCAAUCAUUGUUAUAAGCUCCGCCUUUUACACCUGGCAGUCAGUAUAGAGAGAGCCACCUCCAUCUUAGCUCCCUGUCAAUCAUUGCUAUAAGCUCCGCCCUUUACACCUGGCAGUCAGUAUAGAGAGAGCCACCUCCAUCUUAGCUCCCUGUCAAUCAUUGUUAUAAGCUCCGCCCUUUACACCUGGCAGUCAGUAUAGAGAGAGAACCACCUCCAUCUUAGCUCCCUGUCAAUCAUUGUUAUAAACUCUGCCCUUUACACCUGGCAGUCAGUAUAGAGAGAGCCACCUCCAUCUUAGCUCCCUGUCAAUCAUUGUCAUAAGCUCCGCCCUUUACACCUGGCAGUCAGCAUAGAGAGAGCCACCUCCAUCUUAGCUCCCUGUCAAUCAUUGUUAUAAGCCCCGCCCUUUACACCUGACAGUAUAGAGAGAGCCACCCCAUCUUAGCUCCCUGUCAAUCAUUGUUAUAAGCUCCGCCCUUUACACCUGGCAGUCAGCAUAGAGAGAGCCGCCUCCAUCUUAGCUCCCGUCAGUCAUUGUUAUAAGCUCCACCCUUACACCUGGUGUCAGUAUAGAGAGAGCCACCUCCAUCUUAGCUCCUUGUCAAUCAUUGUUAUAAGCUCCGCCUUUUACACCUGGCAGUCAGUAUAGAGAGAGCCGCCUCCAUCUUAGCUCCCUGUCAAUCAUUGUUAUAAGCUCCGCCUUUUACACCUGGCAGUCAGUAUAGAGAGAGCCGCCUCCAUCUUAGCUCCCCGUCAAUCAUUGUUAUAAGCUCCGCCUUUUACACCUGGCAGUCAGUAUAGAGAGAGCCGCCUCCAUCUUAGCUCCCUGUCAAUCAUUGUUAUAAGCUCCGCCCUUUACACCUGGCAGUCAGUAUAGAGAGAGCUACCUCCAUCUUAGCUCCCUGUCAAUCAUUGUUAUAAGCUCUGCCCAUUACACCUGGCAGUCAGUAUAGAGAGAGCCACCUCCAUCUUAGCUCCCUGUCAGUCAUUGUUAUAAGCUCCGCCCUUUACACCUGGCAGUCAGUAUAGAGAGAGCCACCUCCAUCUUUGCUCCAUGUCAAUCAUUGUUAUAAGCUCCGCCCUUUAUACCUGGCAGUCAGUAUAGAGAGCCACCUCCAUCUUAGCUCCCUGUCAAUCAUUGUUAUAAGCUCCGCCCUUUACACCUGGCAGUCAGUAUAGAGAGAGCCGCCUCCAUCUUAGCUCCCUGUCAAUCAUUGUUAUAAGCUCCGCCCUUUACACCUGGCAGUCAGUAUAGAGCCACCUCCAUCUUAGCUCCCUGUCAAUCAUUGUUAUAAGCUCCGCCCUUUACACCUGGCAGUCAGUAUAGAGAGAGCCACCUCCAUCUUAGCUCCCUGUCAAUCAUUGUUAUAAGCUCCGCCCUUUACACCUGGCAGUCAGAAUAGAGAGAGCCACCUCUAUCUUAGCAUAAAACAAUCAGAAUUUUUCAAUGUUGAAAUCAUUACAAGCUGACUAUACAACUCUCUGUCCUCAGACUAUAGCGUCGGAUCUAGUUUAUGUAACCGUGGGGUGACAUCGUGUCGCUGACACCGGAUCCUGCUGAAAUAGUCCUUAAAGGGACACUCCAUGCACCCAGACCACUUCUGCCCAUUGGAGUGGUCUGGGUGCCAACUGGCACUACCCUUAACCCUGCAAUUGUAAUUAUUGCAGUUUUUAUAAACUGCAAUAAUUACAUUGCAGGGUUAACUCCACCCCUAGUGGCUGCCUACUAGACAGCCACUAGAGGGCACUUCCUGCUUCAUAGCAAAUAUUCUUUUUGCUAGAGUGUCGCUGGACGUCCUGACGCUGUGUGACGACCUCCAGCGUCGCUCAAUUCCCCAUAGGAAAGCAUUGAAAAUAUGCUUUUCUAUGGAGAGACCUAAAGCGCGUGUGCGGCUUUGCCGCGCAUGCGCAUUAGGUUUCCUCAGGCGGCGGGAUCAGUCUCGCCCACCGGCUGACGUAAUUACUCGGAGGAGCGACACUGACCCGAAACCACCACCGAGGGACAUCGGCGGGGUCUCAGGUAAGUGACCUGAAGGGGUUUUCACCCCUUCAGCUACCUGGGAUGGGAGGUGGGAGGGAGAAUGGAUUAUUUUCCUGGCACUGGAAUUUCCCUUUAACACCACUCACAUCUUCAAUGGAUUCUAACUUGGGAACACGGACGGCACUAUACCAUGGUUCAAUACAACGCUAGGCACACUGUCAUAUUAAUACGGGGAGUCGGGGACCAACACUUACCUUUUUAAUGACGAGAUUAUGAAAGAAAAUCAACGAGUUGUGAAUUAGCAGUAUAUACUCCGUGGCACCAUGCUCACAGAUUACCUCAGCCACGUAUGUAACACAUCCAACUGAGGAUGGAUUGGGAUCCGUGGUGGUGAUUUGGGGAUUUAUUUUUGUAUAUAAAAAUAAUUUUUUUCAUACACGUUGGAAUACUCGUGAUCUGACUGUCAGUAUUCAAUUUUAAUGUUUGUAAUCUCCUAAGUAAAUGGAGGUCAGUAUGCACUUAGUACAAAUUAAACCAUUUUAAAACAUCCCUUCUAAAAAGUCUCUGGAUCCUGAUCUUUCUCCACAUAAACGGCUGAGGGCUCUGAGACUGCCGCGUCUCCCGUGGCUUUCUACGGGAGAGAUGUAAUUACCCACAAUCCUCUGCUCAGCGUGCACGACAGCAGAAACCUCCUAUAUUUAUUAAUUCAGAUUAUGCAUCUCUUCAACCCUGGAAACAUGGACCUUAGUGAUGUGUAUGGUCUUGGUCAUAUAUAUAUAUAUAUAUAUAUAUAUAUAUAUAUAUAUACACACACACACACACAAUUUUUCAAAUCACUCUUUUCAGUUAAUUUUUAAACUUAACUAUUUUGUUUGAAGUUUUGUACUUUUGUUCUUAAUUCUCCACUUUAUUAAAUCCUUUUGCCUCUGCAAUAAGUAUCAAUAUUCCAUAUCAAAUCCAUUCCGGGUAUGAACUCUCCCUACGCGCCCUUUACUGGUGACAAUAUUUCAUAUCAAAUCCAUUCCGGGUAUGAACUCUCCCUACGCGCCCUUUACUGGUGACAAUAUUCCAUAUCAAAUCCAUUCCAGGUAUGAACUCUCCCUACGUGCCCUUUACCGGUGACAAUAUUCCAUAUCAAAUCCAUUCCGGGUAUGAACUCUCCCUACGCAACCUUUACCGGUGACAAUAUUCCUUCUCAAAUCCAUUCCAGGUAUGAACUCUCCCUACGCGCCCUUUACUGGUGACAAUAUUCCUUCUCAAAUCCAUUCCAGGUAUGAACUCUCCCUACGCGCCCUUUACUGGUGACAAUAUUCCUUCUCAAAUCCAUUCCAGGUAUGAACUCUCCCUACGCGCCCUUUACCGGUGACAAUAUUCCAUAUCAAAUCCAUUCCGGGUAUGAACUCUCCCUACGCAACCUUUACCGGUGACAAUAUUCCUUCUCAAAUCCAUUCCAGGUAUGAACUCUCCCUACGCGCCCUUUACUGGUGACAAUAUUCCUUCUCAAAUCCAUUCCAGGUAUGAACUCUCCCUACGCGCCCUUUACUGGUGACAAUAUUCCUUCUCAAAUCCAUUCCAGGUAUGAACUCUCCCUACGCGCCCUUUACUGGUGACAAUAUUCCAUCUCAAAUCCAUUCCAGGUAUGAACUCUCCCUACGCGCCCUUUACUGGUGACAAUAUUCCAUAUCAAAUCCAUUCCGGGUAUGAACUCUCCCUACGCACCCUUUACUGGUGACAAUAUUCCUUCUCAAAUACAUUACAGGUAUGAACUCUCCCUACGCGCCCUUUACUGGUGACAAUAUUCCUUCUCAAAUCCAUUCCAGGUAUGAACUCUCCCUACGCGCCCUUUACUGGUGACAAUAUUCCUUCUCAAAUCCAUUCCAGGUAUGAACUCUCCCUACGCGCCCUUUACUGUUGACAAUAUUCCAUAUCAAAUCCAUUCCGGGUAUGAACUCUCCCUACGCGCCCUUUACUGGUGACAAUAUUCCUUCUCAAAUCCAUUCCAGGUAUGAACUCUCCCUAUGUGCCCUUUACUGGUGACAAUAUUUCAUAUCAAAUCCAUUCCAGGUAUGAACUCUCCCUACGCGCCCUUUACUGGUGACAAUAUUCCAUAUCAAAUCCAUUCCAGGUAUGAACUCUCCCUACGCACCCUUUACUGGUGACAAUAUUCCUUCUCAAAUCCAUUCCAGGUAUGAACUCUCCCUACGUGCCCUUUACUGGUGACAAUAUUUCAUAUCAAAUCCAUUCCAGGUAUGAACUCUCCCUACGCGCCCUUUACUGGUGGCAAUAUUCCAUAUCAAAUUCAUUUCAGGUAUGAACUCUCCCUACGCGCCCUUUACUGGUGACAAUAUUCCUUCUCAAAUACAUUACAGGUAUGAACUCUCCCUACGCGCCCUUUACUGGUGACAAUAUUCCUUCUCAAAUCCAUUCCGGGUAUGAACUCUCCCUACGUGCCCUUUACUGUUGACAAUAUUCCAUAUCAAAUCCAUUCAAGGUAUGAACUCUCCCUACGCGCCCUUUACUGGUGGCAAUAUUCCAUAUCAAAUCCAUUCCAGGUAUGAACUCUCCCUACGCACCCUUUACUGGUGACAAUAUUCCUUCUCAAAUCCAUUCCAGGUAUGAACUCUCCCUACGUGCCCUUUACCGGUGACAAUAUUCCAUAUCAAAUCCAUUCCAGGUAUGAACUCUCCCUACGUGCCCUUUACCGGUGACAAUAUUCCAUAUCAAAUCCAUUCCAGGUAUGAACUCUCCCUACGCGCCCUUUACCGGUGACAAUAUUCCAUAUCAAAUCCAUUCCAGGUAUGAACUCUCCCUACGCGCCCUUUACCGGUGACAAUAUUCCAUAUCAAAUCCAUUCCAGGUAUGAACUCUCCCCUCGUGCCUUUACUGGUGACAAUAUUUCAUAUCAAAUCCAUUCCAGGUAUGAACUCUCCCUACACACCUUUACUGGUGACAAUAUUCCUUCUCAAAUACAUUACAGGUAUGAACUCUCACACGCCCUUUACUGGUGACAAUAUUCCUUCUCAAAUCCAUUCCAGGUAUGAACUCUCCCUACGUGCCUUUACUGUUGACAAUAUUCCUUCUCAAAUACAUUCCAGGUAUGAACUCUCCCUACGCGCCCUUUACUGGUGACAAUAUUCCUUCUCAAAUCCAUUCCAGGUAUGAACUCUCCCUACGCGCCCUUUACUGUUGACAAUAUUCCAUAUCAAAUCCAUUCCAGGUAUGAACUCUCCCUACGCACCCUUUACUGGUGACAAUAUUCCUUCUCAAAUCCAUUCCAGGUAUGAACUCUCCCUACGUGCCCUUUACUGGUGACAAUAUUUCAUAUCAAAUCCAUUCCAGGUAUGAACUCUCCCUACGCGCCCUUUACUGGUGGCAAUAUUCCAUAUCAAAUCCAUUCCAGGUAUGAACUCUCCCUACGCGCCCUUUACUGGUGACAAUAUUCCUUCUCAAAUCCAUUACAGGUAUGAACUCUCCCUACGCGCCCUUUACUGGUGACAAUAUUCCUUCUCAAAUCCAUUCCAGGUAUGAACUCUCCCUACGUGCCCUUUACUGUUGACAAUAUUCCAUAUCAAAUCCAUUCCAGGUAUGAACUCUCCCUACGCGCCCUUUACUGGUGGCAAUAUUCCAUAUCAAAUCCAUUCCAGGUAUGAACUCUCCCUACGCGCCCUUUACUGGUGACAAUAUUCCAUAUCAAAUCCAUUCCAGGUAUGAACUCUCCCUACGCGCCCUUUACUGGUGACAAUAUUUGUGAUAAUUGUGAUAAAAUCCAAUUAACUAAUUAAGAAUGAUUGAUUGAUCACUAAUGAGCAAAUUAAUCUAUCAUAGAUAGUUAAGAUAGCACUUGGUUUAAACUGUGUCGCACUAAGAAAUUCGACUUGUGUCGCACUAAGAAAUUCAGCUAUGAUGACAUUGCAUAAAAUGCUUAAACUGUGUCGCACUAAGAAAUUCAACAUUGCCUGGAAUAUUCCAUAGCAUGUCUGGCCAAUAUCCAAAAAGGCCCACGUGCUGAACAGAGGGAAUUGGUGCCAACAAAUGUAUGGAGAGAUAAGAGUAGGGACAUAGAGAGAAUAAGAUACCGCACGUGUCUGGCAUGAGCCUUGGGUGGUCACGACUGGCCUGAUCAACCAUACUGAUUACUUAAUGCGCAUGACAAGAUACAUGCUGGGCUGUCCUGAUAAGAAAUCUUGAAAAAGUUACAAACUUGCUAAAAGGUAUAAAAGACGGAGAAACUUGGCACUCACUUGGAGAACUACCCACCUGUAAUGCGGACGAGUGUUGCUGGUCUCUGCUGUUCCCAGAGAGGGUCCCUCCAUGCCGACUGCCAGAGUUCUCCCCAGUCAAGUGCAGAGGACACAAGCCCCUCUAACGGUGAUGUAUACUUAAGCUGAUAUAUCCGGAUGCUAAGCUGUUUUGAAGUGAAUGCAUGCAACUGCUUAAUGAGAAUUAAGCUUACUCUGUAUUGGGUCCCCUUGUGGACAAUAAAUUGUGGUGUGAAUUCUUAUCUGCAACUUGGUCUCUGUGUGGUUUCUUUUUCCUAUAGCCCAAGACACUCAUCUCGAACUGGGUUGUGUGCCCGCCAAUAUCGUCAUAAACCUUAUUAGGUAAUUGAUUAUUACUUUUUGGAUAUUGGUGCUUCAUGAAUUUAAUGAUUAGGCACAACAAUAUUCCAUAUGAAAUCCAUUCCAGGUAUGAACUCUCCCUACACGCCCUUUACUGGUGACAAUAUUCCUUCUCAAAUCCAUUCCAGGUAUGAACUCUCCCUACACACCCUUUACUGGUAACAAUAUUCCAUAUCAAAUCCAUUCCAGGUCUCCCUACACGCCCUUUACUGGUGAUUGGUGAUAAAAUGACACACAUGUCCGAUUUCGGAAGCUCGUAGUGAUUUAUUUAUUAUUAAGGUUCACUUUUCGACGCUAUUUAAACAAUGACUUUAAAUGAGACACAGAUAUAAAAUAAAUCUUUUAAAUAUAUAAUCGCACCCAAUAUUUAAUGUUUUUGUUUUCAUUUUUUUAUUUUUUUUUUAUUUCCAGUACCAAUACUUUGUAAAAUAGAAAUGAAAUAUACAAUACUGAAUUCGACAAAAGCCAAUUCUCCCAUUGUAAGCGGCAGCCAUUUUGUGCAAUCGUGGAUUUCCUGUGCAAGUCCGCUAGAAGUUACUUUAAACCUUUCAACGCUCAAGGGUUGUGCACGAGCCUCUGACAAAAGCAAGUAAAAUAGCGCAAGAGAUUUGAAGGAUGUGUUAAGAGUCCAGUAAGCAGUAUACAUGUAUAUACACAUACGCACAUAGCCCUCAACAAACCAUUAUAAAGGGCUCGUGGUACAGGUUCGAGAGUAACACACAGGGUUGGAAUUAAUGCAGCGCAUGUAUGUAAGGUCACAGGUUGAUAUGGAAUUAGUAAAUCUCAAGCACUUAUAGAAAUGAAAUAAAUAUCUAGUGAGCUUUUUAGAGCAACAAAAUCCUUAUUUCUUCCUUUUGGUAUUUUUAACGCUUUACAGUGUAAAUACCCUGCCUCCAUCUACUACCAAGUGCAUGGAGAGCCAUCUGAACCUUGAUUGGACCUUAGGAUGGAACGUUUCUUAUAUUUGGAAUCAAAUCCCUCUGUCCCUCUUUUUUAGGAGCUCCGUGUUGUUGGUGUGUCUGAGUGUAUAACAGAGCUCCACAGCAAUAAUACUCCCAGUAAUGUGUCUGAGUGUAUAACAGAGCUCCACAGCAAUAAUACUCCCAGUAAUGUCUGAGUGUAUAACAGAGCUCCACAGCAAUAAUACUCCCAGUAAUGUGUCUGAGUGUAUAACAGAGCUCCACAGCAAUAAUACUCCCAGUAAUGUGUCUUUAAAAUACAAUACAUUUGUUUAGAAAUCAGUCUGUGUAAAUAAGAUCCAUUGUUCUUCUUCUUAGUUGUAUACAUUUUUAUUAGUAAGUCACCUAAAAUUUCUUAGAACAGUCGCCCCUGGCCACACCCCUAAAGUGAAAGGGUCCCUCAUCGUCCAUUAGAAAUGUUGGGACGUACGACGUCGUUUGCCUCGAGAAUAUUUGUAGCAUGGAAUGCUAAUCUCUGGCCGCAAUAAUUUGCUUUAUGUCUGCCUAAGUGCUAAAAGUGAAUUAAAUGACAGGUAUAGGUUGACCUAGAUGUGCAUCACACGCUCAGUGUUUUUAAUAAAACAUUUUUUUUGUAAGGUUUUAAUGUGCCUUAAAUUAAAUCUCAGCAUUGUUUCUGAAGCGACGCUUGGAGCUUGUUUAUAUAGUAUAUAUUUGAUUCCGCAGUUCACAAAAAGCACCUCUGUCCUCACAAUAAUUAGGAAUAUCGAUUUCAAAAGUGCUAGAAUUUUUCUUAAUGUAUAAUAAUACAUACAAUUUUUGAAGAACUCUUUUAGGUUCGUAAAAAAAACAAAAAACAUACGUGUCAUAAAACACAAUGGAAACCGCACGCGGCUUGACUUUUCAGACGUAAUUCUUGAAUUUUAGCAUUUUAAAACAGAGAAAAUUACAGACAUCUGGAAAACCGCUAAUCCAUGAAGCCAUUUUUACCUCAUUCAGAACUUGUGAUAAUAAAAUGCCAAAUUGUGCCAUCUGUCCAGCUAAACCAGAGACCUCAAUCGCGCAGUGUUACAACACACUUCACAUGCACAAAGGUUGAAAUUAAAAUAGAAAUUGUAUUCACUCAGGGCUCAUUUUCAUUAUUGCCAUUAACUACCUAUGGUAAGCUGUUAUAAUGAACAGUUGAUAAAUAUCUAAAGCCAGAAAAUAGCAGCUGGUUUCCAACCGAUGAUCUGUCCCCGAUGAUACUGUCUGCACCUUAACACCAUAGCAAACAACUGGAUCACGUCUACUAAAGUGGGAUUUUGUACUAGGCUGGGUACACGUAUGUGGGAUAUUGUACUACGCUGGGUACAUGUAUGUGGGAUAUUGUACUAGGCUGGGUACACGUCUGUGGGAUAUUGUACUAGGCUGGGUACACGUCUGUGGGAUAUUGUACUAGGCUGGGUACAUGUAUGUGGGAUAUUGUACUAGGCUGGGUACAUGUAUGUGGGAUUUUGUACUACGCUGGGUACCCGUCUGUGGGAUUUUGUACUACGCUGGGUACACGUCUGUGGGAUUUUGUACUAGGCUGGGUACACGGCUGUGGGAUUUUGUACUAUGCUGGGUACAUGUAUGUGGGAUAUUGUACUAAGCUUGGGUACAUGUAUGUGGGAUAUUGUACUAAGCUUGGUACAUGUAUGUGGGAUAUUGUACUAGGCUGGGUACACGUCUGUGGGAUUUUGUACUAGGCUGGGUACACGUAUGUGGGAUAUUGUACUAGGCUGGGUACACGUAUGUGGGAUAUUGUACUAGGCUGGGUACACGUAUGUGGGAUAUUGUACUAGGCUGGGUACAUGUAUGUGGGAUAUUGUACUAGGCUGGGUACAUGUAUGUGGGAUAUUGUACUAAGCUUGGUACAUGUAUGUUUGGAUAUUGUACUAGGCUGGGUACACGUCUGUGGGAUUUUGUACUAGGCUGGGUACACGUAUGUGGGAUAUUGUACUAGGCUGGGUACACGUAUGUGGGAUAUUGUACUAGGCUGGGUACACGUAUGUGGGAUAUUGUACUAGGCUGGGUACACGUAUGUGGGAUAUUGUACUAGGCUGGGUACAUGUAUGUGGGAUAUUGUACAAGGCUGGGUACAUGUAUGUGGGAUAUUGUACAAGGCUGGGUACAUGUAUGUGGGAUAUUGUACUACGCCGGGUACACGUCUGUGGGAUUUUGUACUAGGCUGGGUACACGGCUGUGGGAUUUUGUACUACGCUGGGGACAUGCAUGUGGGAUAUUGUACUAGGCUGGGUAUAUGUAUGUGUGAUUUUGUGCUAUGCUGGGUACAUGUCUGUGUGAUGGCCCUCUUUUUAUAUGAAUUUUACGUUUGAAUGGCAUGCACAUUACUUACAUCUCACCCUCUGUAGUCUCUGGUGUCUGGCAUUUUGCUUUCUGAUGGCUGAUGCUCUUUGACUUUAAAUGUAAUGCCAUGUAUAUGAAGAUUUUUCCUAUAUGAUGUAUUAAGCAUCUGUAGUGGUUGUCUUGACCCUAGUGGAGUCAGGUUUUAAUUUCGGUGCGAUAUCGCAGCUGGUGGAAUCUAGCGCCUGGCCUCGAAAUGAGUCACAAGUAGCAGUUUUUUCUAAUUUCCGUAGCGCUGUACAUUGGGAUCACCUCCUAUUAUUCUCUACGGUAAUUACAAGUCACAACUGGUAAGUCUUUGUAUUAUUGAAAGAGCCGCUAUUUACCAACGUUACAGACAGCCUAUUUAUUAACGGCUUGUCGCUAAAAACUGACAACGCUGGAAAUGAGCCCUACAUUGGGAAUAGUGGAGACAUGAUAUGCAGAUUGUAUAUUUUAGGUAAAACUAGGAAAACUUGCAGGAAUUGGAGAAAUUCUACAACUCCGCUAUUCUGGUCUAAAUCUGUAAAUGCCUUGCCAAUUCCCCACGAGUCUCAGGUUAGCUGUUAAAGCCUGAUGGUAUUAGCAAGACAUAUUGAUGAAAUGAUGGUUUAUAAACUAAAAGGUGAAUUGUAAGAAACUGGAAACAAAUCGCAAAAUGUAGGUAAAAAUAAAAAUAACCAAUUUGGUUAUUCACCAGAAACACCAGUCCACCCACCAGCUCGGAUAUAGUGAAACAUACAUUAAACCAGAACCUGGAUGGGAGAAUCGAGCACAAUAAGACUAGCAGACAAAUCCAGUAAAUAAAAAGCAGUGCUAAAAAGAAGCAGAGGCUCAACAGCUUUUCUUAAACUACAAAUCUCAUGCCAUUGUUUAAAGGGACAUUACAGUUUAUUGAAUUUGUUCUGGUGAGUAGAAUCAUUCCCUUCAGGCUUUUUGCUGUAAACACUGUCUUUUCAGAGAAAAUGCAGUGUUUACAUUGCAGCCUAGUGAUAACUUCACUGGCCACUCCUCAGAUGGCUGUUAGAGGUGCUUCCUGGGGCAGUGCUGCAAAGAGUGACUGACAUUCAGUGUCUCCACCCUCUGCAUGGAGACACUGAACUUUCCUCAUAGAGAUGCAUUAAUUCAAUGUAUCGCUAUGAGAAAAUGCUGAUUGGCCAGGGCUGUGUUUGGCUUGUGUUGGCUCUGCCCCUGAUCUGCCUUCUUGACAUUCUCAGCCAAUCCAAUGCUUUCCUAUGGAAAAGCAUUGUGAUUGGCUGAGAUCAAAACUUCUAGUAAUGUAAGCCAAGGACGCAGAUUAGGGGCAGAGCCAGCAGCAGCAGACUUAAAUAAAAGUAAGAUUUUACUAUAUUUGGGGGAGAAAUUAAUGCAUGUUUGUGUUCCUUUAAAUGUUGUAACCGACUAAUACCUGUAAUACCAGGUACCCGUAAACACCCAAUCUUCAUUGGCAUACUGCACCCCACUCAAAGUUACUCACUCUUCAUUACGACAUUUGUGAUCAUAAAUUCUACCACAUUUUCCUUAACACACAUCAAAUGGCAAACGGAACUGGAAUUCAGAGAUUAAGCAGCUCCUACAUUUCAUAAACAGCGAAUGAAGUUAUAUAUGAUUAUAGAUAUUAAAGGAUCACUAUAGGGUCAGGAACACAAACAUGUAUUCCUGACCCUAUAGUGUUUAACCCAAUGUAUAGGUGGCUUGCCCCCCUCCGGUCCCCCACCCCCCUUAGCCCCCUCAGAAUGGGUUAAAACUCUCCACGGCCCGCCCCCUUGGUGACAUCAAAAUGGCUGAUUGGGAAAGCAUUGGAUUGGCUAAAAUCGGCAAGUGGGGGGGGCCAAAUGUAGUUUUGGCCAAUCAGCACCUCCUCAUAGAGACGUAUUGAAUCAAUGCAUCUCUAUGAGGAAAAUUCAGCGUCUCCAUGCAGAGCUGCUUACUGUGCAGCACUGAGCCAGGAGGCACCUCCAGUGGCCAUCUAAGGAGUGUUCACUUGGAGGUGUCCCUAGGGGCAAUGUAAACACUGCCUUUUCUCUGAAGGGAGCUAUUAUACUCACCAGAACAACUACAUUAAGCUGUAUACCAUACAUUAAGCUGUAUAUUAUACAUUAAGCUGUAGUUGUUCUGGUGUCCCUUUAAGUUAGAGUUUAGAAUAGUUAGUAAGUACAGUAUAGAAAAUUUAGGUUAGUUUAGUUUGGUAGACUUUCUGACAUGGUAGUGCACCCAAAUUAUUUGUUUAGUAAGUGAGAUUGAGUAGUGUCUGUUCAAUAUAUUGUCCCACUGGAAAGAAUAUACUAAAUUUGUGCUAUUCCAAACUCUACAUCAGAAUACUGAUACCGCCCUGCACAAAUCGUAUGAGGUGGUUACCCCCUACCCAGUGGCGUACUAAGGGGGGGGCGGAGGGGGCGGUCCGCCCCGGGUGCCAGCCGGGUGGGGGGUGCCAUGGCCAGCCCCCGCCCCCCCCCAUGCUGCAGCCGCCCGAGCGCUCUGUAGUGAGCCUCAGGCGGCUGCAGCUUUGCCCGGGAGGUGCGUCCAUGAGGGCGGACCGCACCGCCCGGGCGCAGCCUGAGGAGAGGGGCUGACAGGAGGGCAGCGCUCAGCGCUCCCUCCUGUCAGCUCCCUCACUGUAGCGUGGCCGAGCCCUGUAUAGUCGGCGGGUACAGGGAGCAGCUGUCUCCUGUACCCGGCCGGACUAACAGGAAGUGCACACACUGUGUGCACUUCCUGUUAGUCCGGCCGGGUACCGGAGACAGCUGCUCUCUGUACCCGCCGACUAUACUGGGCUCGGCCACGCUACUACACAGGUAGGGGAGGGGGGAAGAGAAAGGAGAGGGGGGUGAAANNNNNNNNNNNNNNNNNNNNNNNNNNNNNNNNNNNNNNNNNNNNNNNNNNNNNNNNNNNNNNNNNNNNNNNNNNNNNNNNNNNNNNNNNNNNNNNNNNNNACACAGCACUCACACACAUCACACUCAGCACUCACACACAUCAUACACAGCACUCACACACAUCACACUCAGCACUCACACACAUCAUACACAGCACUCACACACAUCAUACACAGCACUCACACACACAUACUGCACCCCUCACAUACACACACAACCCCCCGAUACACUGCAUCACACACAUACACAAUACUUCCAAACAUAUUUAUAUUAUAUAUAUAUAUAUAUAUAUAUAUACACACACAGCACCCCUCACACACAGCACCCCUAAACACAUUUCAUUCCAGACACACACUAGAUCCUCUACCCAACUCUGAAUCAUCUACACACACUAGAUCCCUAUAUACACUCUGAAUCCGUUAUAUACGCACGCUCACUAGAUCUCCUAUACGUAGUCUGGGUCCUUCACACACACACACACACACACACACACACACUCUGGAUCCCCUAUACGCACACUAGAUUCAUUGUAAGCAAACCCAUACAUUCCCUGAACACACACACACACACACACUAUAGCCUGUAUACACACACACACACACACACACACACUAUAGCCUGUAUACACACACUUGCUACAUCCCCUAUAGACACAUUCUCUACAGCCCCUAGCCACAUAUGCAUUACAUUACACCACAAACACAACACGACUAAAACCGACCUUAUUACACAAUACCACACCACGACCAGCUCACUCUGCACACACGCAAUACCACAAGCAGGCUCCAAACACAUGCACAAUACUCUUUCCUGGCCCUUUUGUCUCCUGGUAUCCAUUUAUAGAGACACCAGAGACAUGUUGCAAGGAAACACAGUGCAAGCAUGUUAUUAAAUUUGCUUGCACUGUGCAAAACAAAUACAGGGCUUUUUUCUCAUGCUAGAGCUCUUCAGCAGAGCUCUGUGCAUGGUCUGCCCUGGAAGAGCAUUGAACCAACAUGCUCACUUUGAGAGGGCGCGUGUUGUCAUGAGUGAUGACAAAACACACCCUCUCUGCCCCGCCCCCUUCGUAAUGGGCCGCUGUGAUAAAAAAAUGCCCGGGCCGAAUUUUUAUCCCAGUCCGGCCCUGGGUCUGUGUGUUAGCUGGGAGGAGUGACAUGCAGUCACUUCCUCCCAACCCUGUGAUAUAAUCACAGGGGGCCCGGUCGCGCUGUUAAAGCGCCCAGCGCUGACUGGGCCCCCUCACAAUCCACAUCCAUCAGGUGACCCUGACAGCAUGGGUAGGGAUUUUCUAAUUUUGAGAGAUUGGGUGGGCAGGCGGGUGCGAGCCGGCGGUACCCCUAUGACCUGGUACCGCCAUCACCACUUGUGGCCCCGGCCCGCGCGGCAAACCGCUGGGCCCGCAUAUGGAGCACCCAAUCUCUCAAAAUUAGAAAAUCCCUACCUCCCACCUGGAAUCCUGAAACGCCCACUAGUGGGCGGUAGGGACCAGGUUGACGACCCAUGGGGAAGAUUUAGAGCUGCAAUGUAAACUAAGUGCAAAAGGGUCACAGCACCCAGACUACUUCAGUUAGCUGAAGUGGUCUGGGUGCUUUCAGUGACCCUUUAAGCCAACAUUAAUACAUGUGUAUGAUAAAUAUUACAGGAACAUUAAAAACUGUUUCCUAUAUAUUAAAUGUUCAUUGAUACGGCUGUACUGGACCUCCCACAUUCACAUAACUGUACACAUUGCGUAACCCCAGCAUUUGCAACUAUUGAGAAUCUGUUUCGCCUGCACAUUAUGCAGAACAGUCCUGCAUUGUCAGAUAUAUACACCUGGCUUAUACUCGAUUUAUAGUUAGAGCACAACAUAUUUCAUUAAAUGAAUAUGAGUUUUGCAUACAGACUGGUAUUAUGGGUAGAAUUUCCCAAAGCAUGCCCCCUGCACAUCUGUUAAAUUAAACCCAGCUGCCCUAGAUAUCUUUGGUUGGCACUAUCAUCUGAGCUGAACAUUCCAUCGCUUGUUACAGUGGCAGGAAUGAAACGCGUUGGUGAAUUGGCUCGCACUGUGAUCAAGGCAGAUGCCAAGCUUUUUAUUAGGACGUGGUAAAUCAGACAUUUAGCCCUGUACCUAAGUUUACUAGUAGAAUGGAGAAAGCAUGUCCUGCUUACUAAUACAGCAUUGAUUGCCAUUCUGCAAUUAGACCAUCCUCCUCGUAUGUCAGUCAUUUUUCAUAAAUCAGUUAUGACAGCGUGGAGUUUGUUCCUGAGCAAGUACUCAACGUUAGAGACUUCCAUCUCCAGAAAUGUAUUGAUCCAGGCAGCUCAUCGCCCGCCUACAUUAGUCAGCGGCAAGAGGAAAUCCUAGAAAGGGGUUAUCUGCUAAACAGUGAGCUGCAAGGUUGCAAUCAGAAUAAAAUCACCAUCUUCACUGAGAGAAGAUUUAUUGUCAACUUGCAAAUCACUUGUAAACUCACUGUUAUAGUAAAUACAAUUCGAUAAGCGUUGUUCCCUUUUAUUUGAUAAACAUUGUAAUUGUAUUAGCACAUUCUCAAAUGUAAUGUUAUCUUAGGAAAUAUCAGGUAAGAAGCAAAACAAUAAGUGGGGGAUUCUAAUAAAACAUCCUAAAUAUAAUAUACAUACACUGUAUACCUACUGUACCUCCAUCUAUUGUAAUGUAACCUGUAAAGUGCUGAGUACACCUGUUAGCGCUAUAUAAAUAAAAUAUACAUACACUGUAUACCUACUGCACUUACUGUACCUCCCUCUACUGUAAUGUAACCUGUAAAGUGCUGAGUACACCUGUUAGCUCUAUAUAAAUAUAAUAUACAUACAAUGUAUACCUACUGCACUUACUGUACCUUCCUCUACUGUAAUGCAACCUGUAAAGUGCUGAGUACACCUGUUAGUGCUAUAUAAAUAAAAUAUACAUACGCUGUAUACCUACUGCACUUACUGUACCUCCCUCUACUGUAAUGUAACCUGUAAAGUGCUGAGUACACCUGUUAGCGCUAUAUAAAUAAAAUAUACAUACACUGCAUACCUACUGCACUUACUGUACCUCCCUCUACUGUAAUGUAACCUGUAAAGUGCUAAGUACACCUGUUAGCGCUAUAUAAAUAAAAUAUACAUACACUGUAUACCUACUGCACUUACUGUACCUCCCUCUACUGUAAUGUAACCUGUAAAGUGCUGAGUACACCUGUUAGCGCUAUAUAAAUAAAAUAUACAUACACUGUAUACCUACUGCACUUACUGUACCUCCCUCUACUGUAAUGUAACCUGUAAAGUGCUGAGUACACCUGUUAGCGCUAUAUAAAUAUAAUAUACAUACACUGUAUACCUACUGCACUUACUGUACCUCCCUCUACUGUAAUGUAACCUGUAAAGUGCUGAGUACACCUGUUAGCGCUAUAUAAAUAAAAUAUACAUACACUGUAUACCUACUGCACUUACUGUACCUCCCUCUACUGUAAUGUAACCUGUAAAGUGCUGAGUACACCUGUUAGUGCUAUAUAAAUAAAAUAUACAUACACUGUAUACCUACUGCACUUACUGUACCUCCCUCUACUGUAAUGUAACCUGUAAAGUGCUGAGUACACCUGUUAGCGCUAUAUAAAUAAAAUAUACAUACACUGUAUACCUACUGCACUUACUGUACCUCCCUGUACUGUAAUGUAACCUGUAAAGUGCUGAGUACACCUGUUAGCGCUAUAUAAAUAUAAUAUACAUACACUGUAUACCUACUGCACUUACUGUACCUCCCUCUACUGUAAUGUAACCUGUAAAGUGCUGAGUACACCUGUUAGCGCUAUAUAAAUAUAAUAUACAUACACUGUAUACCUACUGCACUUACUGUACCUCCCUCUACUGUAAUGUAACCUGUAAAGUGCUGAGUACACCUGUUAGCGCUAUAUAAAUAAAAUAUACAUACACUGUAUACCUACUGCACUUACUGUACCUCCCUUUACUGUAAUGUAACCUGUAAAGUGCUGAGUACACCUGUUAGCGCUAUAUAAAUAAAAUAUAGAUACACUGUAUACCUACUGCACUUACUGUACCUCCCUCUACUGUAAUGUAACCUGUAAAGUGCUGAGUACACCUGUUAGCGUUAUAUAAAUAAAAUAUACAUACACUGUAUACCUACUGCACUCACUGUAUCUCCCUCUACUGUAAUGUAACCUGUAAAGCGCUGAGUACACCUGUUAGCGCUAUAUAAAUAUAAUAUACAUACACUGUAUACCUACUGCACUCACUGUAUCUCCCUCUACUGUAAUGUAACCUGUAAAGUGCUGAUGUACAUGUAAGGGUGAUAUAAUUAAAAUAUACAUAUGUUGAACAAGUACUACACUUACUGUAGUUCUUGUAAUGUAAAUUGCAAAUUGUUAUGUAGAGCUAUUAACACUAUACAAAUUAUUUAUACAUAUAUACAUUUGUUUAUAGUUAAGUCAUUUGUCAUAAUGUGUGCAUGGCUGUAUUCAAUUCUAACUCAUAUGUAUUCACAUAUAAUAGCAUCAAUUAACGAGUGAGGGAAAAAACAUUACCACCAAAAUAAACUAAUCAAUUAUUUGAAAACAAAUAUGUUACCAUUCAUAACGCUUUUGAUAAUUAAUACAUUAUUUAUAAAUGUGUUAUUUAUAAAUGUAUCAUAAAGGGAAUCAACACAGUAAAGGAGGAGACUAAAUUCAAAAGAAGAAAAACUACCACAACAAGAGGACCUAGUCUUAAAUUAGAGGGACAAAGGUUUAAAAAUAAUAUCAGGAAGUAUUACUUUACUGAGAGGGUAGUGGAUGCAUGGAAUAGCUCUCCAGCUGAAGUGGUAGAGGUUAACACAGUAAAGGAGUUUAAGCAUGCGUGGGAUAGGCAUAAGGCUAUCCUAACUAUAAGAUAAGACUAGGGACUAAUGAAAGUAUUUAGAAAAUUGGGCAGACUAGAUGGGCCGAAUGGUUGAAGUUUUUAUAUGGUAAAAAGAAAAUACUUAUCAGUUUGAAAUUGUUUGUAAACUCUCCCCAACUGACUGUUCAGUGAAUUUACUCCCUCACUAAUUCCAUAUUUUUUUUAGAAAGGCCUUAAAAUGGCAUUCUAAGCACCAUCACUACUACAUCUCAUUUAUAAGAGUCAAAUCAGAUUUGAACAUUUCACACUUACCAGUGUCCCCAGAUGCCCAGGGCUCUCAACAGUCGUACUUUCAUUGGGCCAGUCCCGAUUUCAAGUUCCUGUCCAGCUGUCCCGAUUUAUUUUUUAUUUGUCCCAAAUUUGAUGAAACUAGGUAAGUGUUAUCGGGCAGCACAACAUGAGCGCGUCAUUAGAUGGGGAGCUAAGGUGAUAGAGACAGUGCUUUAACAGCACUUCAUGGGUUACCUUUUGUCAAACUGGUAUUGAAAGCUCUUUCUAUGGAGAAUCCCACAGUCAGAUGCUAUCACUGUACCUACUGAUUACUGGACCUCCGGACAUGUCUGCGUUCUCGGGGUGGGAAGGCCAUUCCUUUCUCCACAGUGCCAUUUUUGUGACCAUUUUUUAUUAAUUUCCUUGUUUCCUCUCCCUCACUGACCUGCCCCAACUCGUAUUACCUCGAGCUACCCUUUCCUGGCUUGGAUCGCCGAGAGCUGAGCAGGUAUCUGGGUCCCUCAUAACGUUUAAGGCAUGCUGUGUAUAACCUGACCUGCAGGACCAUAGGGACACAAGAGACACUAUGAGAACCAUAGCCGUUACAGAUAUUACAGCAGUUAUCAUACGACCCAACAUUUCUAAUGGACAGAGAGGGACACAAUCAUUUUCUGGGUGUGAGUGUAGGUGUGGCCCCAGAGUAAGGAUGUGGUAAGGAGCGGGGCUUCUCUGAGAAAUUUUAGGUGACACUAAUAACAAUUUAUAAAAUUAAAAUGUAAUUUCUAACAAGAACAAUGUAUCUUACUAACAGACUGAUUUCUAAACACAUUUAUUGCAGUUUAAAGACACAUUGCUGGGAGUAUUAUUGCUGUGCAGGGCCGGAAUAACAUAGGGGCUGAUGGAGCUGCAGCUCCAGGCCCAGGCCCAGGGCCAUGGAAUAGGCCCAGUUUAAAACACUACUCUUAGGGCACAGCCAAUAUUUGAGGCUGCCUGGCUGUGACGAUAUUGCAGUAAUACCGGCAAUACAAAUGCAAAUAUUUUUCUCAGUAUAAACGGAGAUUACUCUGCAAUACCAUCACCGGCCAGUAAGGGUCACUGUGUAUGGAGAGACGCAGGGAUAGGAAGUUACAGCAUCUCCCUGCCUCUCUCUACUCACUGAUCCGUGGGGGAGCAGCUACACAGCACAGAGAGUCCAGACAGCAGCUCCCAGCCUGCAGACAGACUACAGCUCAGGUAUGUAAAGGAUGGGGGAAAAGGCAGCAGGGAAACAUAGGGACACUGAGACACAUGGGGACACUGAGACACUAGGGGACACUGGAAGACGUGGGGACACGGAGAUACUAGGGGACACUGUGAGACAUGGGGAUGCUGAGACACAUGGAGACUCUGUGAGACAUAGGGAGACACAUUGGGACAUGGACACACUAGGGACACAGUGUCUCAAUGUCUCCCAGUGUCCUCAUGUCUCCCCGCCAGUGUCCCUAGUGUCUCAGUGUCCCCAUGGCUCCCAGUGCCCCCAAGUCUGCCAGUGUCUGUGUCCCCAUGUCUCUCAGUGUCCCCAUGUCUCCCAGUGUCCCCAAAUGUCUGUGUUCCCAUGUCUCCCAGAGUCCACAUGUCUCAUAGCCAGUGUCUCAGUGUCCCCAUGUCUCUCAGUGUCCUUAUGUCUCCCAGCUAGUGUCCCUACUGUCUCAGUGUCCCCAUGUCUCCCAGUGUCUGUGUCCCUAGUGUCCCCAUGUCUCCCAGUGUUCCCAUGUCUAUGUUCAUAAGUGCCCCCAUGUCUCCCAGUGUCCCCAAGUGUCUGUGUCCCCAUGCCUCCCAACCAUUGUCCCCACUGUCUGUGUCCCCAUGUCUCCCAGUGUCCCCUAGUCUCCCAGUGUCUGUGUUCCUAUGUCUCUCAGUGUCCCUAGUGUCUUAGUUUCCCCAAAUGUUUGUGUCCCCAUGUCUCCCAGUGUCUGUGUCCCCAUGUCUCUGUGUCGAUAGUGUCUGUCACACCUUUUCUCCCAGUGUCCCCAAUGUCUGUGUCCCCAUGUCUCCAUGUCUCCCAGUGUCCCCAUGUCUGUGUUCACAAGUGCCCCCAUGUCUCCCAGUGUCAUUUGUCAUAAUGUGUGCAUGGCUGUAUUCAAUUCUAACUCAUAUGUAUUCACAUAUAAUAGCAUCAAUUAACGAGUGAGGGAAAAAAACAUUACCACCAAAAUAAACUAAUCAAUUAUUUGAAAACAAAUAUGUUACCAUUCAUAACGCUUUUGAUAAUUAAUACAUUAUUUAUAAAUGUGUUAUUUAUAAAUGUAUCAUAAAGGGAAUCAACACAGUAAAGGAGGAGACUAAAUUCAAAAGAAGAAAAACUACCACAACAAGAGGACCUAGUCUUAAAUUAGAGGGACAAAGGUUUAAAAAUAAUAUCAGGAAGUAUUACUUUACUGAGAGGGUAGUGGAUGCAUGGAAUAGCCUUCCAGCUGAAGUGGUAGAGGUUAACACAGUAAAAGGAGUUUAAGCAUGCGUGGGAUAGGCAUAAGGCUAUCCUAACUAUAAGAUAAGACUAGGGACUAAUGAAAGUAUUUAGAAAAUUGGGCAGACUAGAUGGGCCGAAUGGUUGAAGUUUUUAUAUGGUAAAAAGAAAAUACUUAUCAGUUUGAAAUUGUUUGUAAACUCUCCCCAACUGACUGUUCAGUGAAUUUACUCCCUCACUAAUUCCAUAUUUUUUUUAGAAAGGCCUUAAAAUGGCAUUCUAAGCACCAUCACUACUACAUCUCAUUUAUAAGAGUCAAAUCAGAUUUGAACAUUUCACACUUACCAGUGUCCCCAGAUGCCCAGGGCUCUCAACAGUCGUACUUUCAUUGGGCCAGUCCCGAUUUCAAGUUCCUGUCCAGCUGUCCCGAUUUAUUUUUUAUUUGUCCCAAAUUUGAUGAAACUAGGUAAGUGUUAUCGGGCAGCACAACAUGAGCGCGUCAUUAGAUGGGGAGCUAAGGUGAUAGAGACAGUGCUUUAACAGCACUUCAUGGGUUACCUUUUGUCAAACUGGUAUUGAAAGCUCUUUCUAUGGAGAAUCCCACAGUCAGAUGCUAUCACUGUACCUACUGAUUACUGGACCUCCGGACAUGUCUGCGUUCUCGGGGUGGGAAGGCCAUUCCUUUCUCCACAGUGCCAUUUUUGUGACCAUUUUUUAUUAAUUUCCUUGUUUCCUCUCCCUCACUGACCUGCCCCAACUCGUAUUACCUCGAGCUACCCUUUCCUGGCUUGGAUCGCCGAGAGCUGAGCAGGUAUCUGGGUCCCUCAUAACGUUUAAGGCAUGCUGUGUAUAACCUGACCUGCAGGACCAUAGGGACACAAGAGACACUAUGAGAACCAUAGCCGUUACAGAUAUUACAGCAGUUAUCAUACGACCCAACAUUUCUAAUGGACAGAGAGGGACACAAUCAUUUUCUGGGUGUGAGUGUAGGUGUGGCCCCAGAGUAAGGAUGUGGUAAGGAGCGGGGCUUCUCUGAGAAAUUUUAGGUGACACUAAUAACAAUUUAUAAAAUUAAAAUGUAAUUUCUAACAAGAACAAUGUAUCUUACUAACAGACUGAUUUCUAAACACAUUUAUUGCAGUUUAAAGACACAUUGCUGGGAGUAUUAUUGCUGUGCAGGGCCGAAAUAACAUAGGGGCUGAUGGAGCUGCAGCUCCAGGCCCAGGCCCAGGGCCAUGGAAUAGGCCCAGUUUAAAACACUACUCUUAGGUUUGCCACCUGACUGGUAUUUUAAGGCACAGCCAAUAUUUGAGGCUGCCUGGCUGUGACGAUAUUGCAGUAAUACCGGCAAUACAAAUGCAAAUAUUUUUCUCAGUAUAAACGGAGAUUACUCUGCAAUACCAUCACCGGCCAGUAAGGGUCACUGUGUAUGGAGAGACGCAGGGAUAGGAAGUUACAGCAUCUCCCUGCCUCUCUCUACUCACUGAUCCGUGGGGGAGCAGCUACACAGCACAGAGAGUCCAGACAGCAGCUCCCAGCCUGCAGACAGACUACAGCUCAGGUAUGUAAAGGAUGGGGGGAAAGGCAGCAGGGAAACAUAGGGACACUGAGACACAUGGGGACACUGAGACACUAGGGGACACUGGAAGACGUGGGGACACGGAGAUACUAGGGGACACUGUGAGACAUGGGGAUGCUGAGACACAUGGGGACUCUGUGAGACAUAGGGAGACACAUUGGGACAUGGACACACUAGGGACACAGUGUCUCAAUGUCUCCCAGUGUCCUCAUGUCUCCCCGCCAGUGUCCCUAGUGUCUCAGUGUCCCCAUGGCUCCCAGUGCCCCCAAGUCUGCCAGUGUCUGUGUCCCCAUGUCUCUCAGUGUCCCCAUGUCUCCCAGUGUCCCCAAAUGUCUGUGUUCCCAUGUCUCCCAGAGUCCACAUGUCUCAUAGCCAGUGUCUCAGUGUCCCCAUGUCUCUCAGUGUCCUUAUGUCUCCCAGCUAGUGUCCCUACUGUCUCAGUGUCCCCAUGUCUCCCAGUGUCUGUGUCCCUAGUGUCCCCAUGUCUCCCAGUGUUCCCAUGUCUAUGUUCAUAAGUGCCCCCAUGUCUCCCAGUGUCCCCAAGUGUCUGUGUCCCCAUGCCUCCCAACCAUUGUCCCCACUGUCUGUGUCCCCAUGUCUCCCAGUGUCCCCUAGUCUCCCAGUGUCUGUGUUCCUAUGUCUCUCAGUGUCCCUAGUGUCUUAGUUUCCCCAAAUGUUUGUGUCCCCAUGUCUCCCAGUGUCUGUGUCCCCAUGUCUCUGUGUCGAUAGUGUCUGUCACACCUUUUCUCCCAGUGUCCCCAAUGUCUGUGUCCCCAUGUCUCCAUGUCUCCCAGUGUCCCCAUGUCUGUGUUCACAAGUGCCCCCAUGUCUCCCAGUGUCCCAAAGUGUCUCAGUGUCCCCAUGUCUCACUGUGUCCCCAUGUCUCUAAGUGUCCCCUAGUAUCCUAGUGACAGUGGAAACACUGAGACAUGGGGACACUGGGAGAAACGGGGACACCGACACUGGGAGACUAGGGGACUGGGCGACAUGGGGACACUGACACUGAUACAUAGGGACACUGAUGCCAGGCUGGCCUUCCAAUUCUUUGGACAGACAUGCCCCCUUUUUGGGCAUGUUCGCCCCUUUUGGCAGUUAUGGUCACGUGAUUCGCGUCAGUGGCCCACCCUUUUACCCCGCUCAUUGACUUCCUGCUUCAUUGGACAUUGCUUAAAAGGUAAAAGCAUAAAUGAGAGGGAGAUUAGCAUAGAGUAUGUGUUUUUUUAUAGCUGCAUCCUUUGAGUUUCCCUCCAACACCAACUCCAUCAGAUACAUGACGCUUGAGAGGUAUGACUGUUUCAGUGUUUUUGGUUGAUAAGAUUCUGUAAUUAGGCUCCAUCAUAAUUGUCAGCACCAGGCCCACUGGGCUCUUAAUCUGGCCCUGUUGCUGUGGAGCUCUGUCAUACACUCAGACACAUUACUGGGAGUAUUAUUGCUGUGGAGCUCUGUUAUACACUCAGACACAUUACUGGGAGUAUUAUUGCUGUGGAGCUCUGUUAUACACUCAGACACAUUACUGGGAGUAUUAUUGCUGUGGAGCUCUGUUAUACACUCAGACACAUUACUGGGAGUAUUAUUGCUGUGGAGCUCUGUUAUACACUCACACAUUACUGGGAGUAUUAUUGCUGUGGAGCUCUGUUAUACACUCAGACACAUUACUGGGAGUAUUAUUGCUGUGGAGCUCUGUUAUACACUCAGACACAUUACUGGGAGUAUUAUUGCUGUGGAGCUCUGUUAUACACUCAGACACAUUACUGGGAGUAUUAUUGCUGUGGGGCUCUGUUAUACACUCAGACACAUUACUGGGAGUAUUAUUGCUGUGGAGCUCUGUUAUACACUCAGACACAUUACUGGGAGUAUUAUUGCUAGGGAGCUUUGUUAUACACUCAGACACAUUACUGGUAGUAUUAUUGCUGUGGAGCUCUGUUAUACACUCAGACACAUUACUGGGAGUAUUAUUGCUGUGGAGCUCUGUUAUACACUCAGACACAUUACUGGGAGUAUUAUUGCUGUGGAGCUCUGUUAUACACUCAGACACAUUACUGGGAGUAUUAUUGCUGUGGAGCUCUGUUAUACACUCAGACACAUUACUGGGAGUAUUAUUGCUGUGGGGCUCUGUUAUACACUCAGACAUUACUGGGAGUAUUAUUGCUGUGGAGCUCUGUUAUACACUCAGACACAUUACUGGGAGUAUUAUUGCUGUGGAGCUCUGUUAUACACUCAGACACAUUACUGGGAGUAUUAUUGCUGUGGAGCUCUGUUAUACACUCAGACACAUUACUGGGAGUAUUAUUGCUGUGGAGCUCUGUUAUACUCUCAGACACACCAACAAUAUGGAGCUCCUCUUUAAUACGGGUGCAACACAGGGAUCAGAGCUCCUGAUUCAGCAACCUUUGGAAAAUGGGUUGGCAGAAAUUGGAGGGAUUGCUCAAAAGAUAUCAUGCACCAAAACCACUACAAAGGCACACAAAUUCUCAAGCUGCCAAUAAUAGAUAUAAUGUAUGCCCAGUAAUAGGAAUAGAUGAACCUGUGCCUCUCACUGAUCCAUGCGUUCCCAGUGUCGGAUUAUUCACACCUUGUUCCUGGGGCUCCGUUUAACCUUCUCUAACGGGAAACAGAUGUGAAAUAUGUUCCUGAUGUUAAAUAAUAUCAGGAAUGUGCCAAACAUUGACUCGCUUACUCCUCUUAAUUAGGCUAGAAAAUGCAAAAUACAUGACAAUAAAACUGAUUAUUCUCGAUUAGGGGAACGAGGGAUAGAGAGAGGUUACAUGAGUGCAAAUUAUAUGCUUAAAGUUUGAUUUUUAUUUUAUUCUAAAAGGUGGUCGCCGAGUCUGUUUACAAAACAUUGAAUUUUACUUAAAAUAUUUGCGUUAAAACACACACAUGGAUGGAUUGGACAAUUUAUUCACUGUAUCUCACAAUUUAGUGAAUUGACCUCUAAGGUUGGAAAUAAAAUCUGAAUCUACCUAUUGGCUGCAUCUUUAGAAGCCCCUUUAGGCAGGGCCCAUUUCACCUACUGUUACAGUAUGAUCAAUCAUGUUUUUUUAGAAUUAUCUGUUUGUCUUGUUUGCCUGUUGUACAGCACCGGGAAAUAUAUUGGCGCUAUUUAAAUAAUUGUAGCUAUAGAUUGUGAAUAUAACAUUAUGCGACAUAUCAGCUAUUGACCAGGGUGGACCUGUCUGCUGAGAAAGCCUGUAUGGGCACAUGUACGUCUGGGUAAACCUUCCAUAAAAACAACAAAUACUAUUAACAAUUCCUUCCGUAGUUUUUUCNNNNNNNNNNNNNNNNNNNNNNNNNNNNNNNNNNNNNNNNNNNNNNNNNNNNNNNNNNNNNNNNNNNNNNNNNNNNNNNNNNNNNNNNNNNNNNNNNNNNGUUUUUUUGGAAGUGUUACCAUGUUGUAUUCACAUUUUAGAUACACUGUAUAUAUGUUCCUCCUUACUGCAGGGGAUUUAGGUCAACGCAUUUCUAGAGCUUGCACUCAUUCAUUGUCUAAAACCUGUAAUUGCCUGAAAUUGCAUGCACUAUACAGGGAUCUUCCUUUGAAAAUAUAAGGGCAACCAAUAGAGGAUGCUCUAUAUUGCUACUGUCUUUCCUUUAGCAGUUUGCAUUGUCUAGUUGGCAGCUCUCCCGCUCCUCCGAUCAAUAAGUGCCCCAUUCAUCUGACGCUCAAUCUAUUUCACACAUUUUAUAUUCUCCAGUCAACGCAACAGUUGCACAAAGUCUUCAAGGUAUCUGUGGCUGAGAGAUCUUUUCAGCUGCAUAGCUUGCUUUUUGGGGAAGGUUUAUAGAUUUUUAUGAAACACAAUGAACUGCGCUCAACUGCGAGGAUCAGAAGCCGUUAUAUUCUAUUUAUAAGAAGCUCUUUGUGUUAAACCAAAAUCCUUUGCACACAGCUCCUUACUAAAUACACUUGAACUAUUUUGUGAUUAUUUUUUAUAUUUACAGAUUUCUUAUCUUUACAGGAAUCAAUCAGUCAGACAUUGAAAAAGCCUUAAAGGAUCAAUAGGCAUUACAUUAAUAAUGGUUUUAUACAAAAUAGCAAAAGCUGAAUUCUUUACCUCUGAACGCUUUCAGCUUUCUAUAAAAUUGCAUUCUUGUUAUUCUAAACAUGGUUUGCACAGUUAGCUUGGAAAUGUAGGGCACAACUAGUUAAGGGAUACUUAAACAAAUGUAGAUAAUAAUCUGUUUGAUAAUCCUUUGCAAAGUUAUUUUCGGUCGCUUAACACGUUGUAUGGUAUCUCUUCCAAAAGCUAUACAGUGUAGAUCACAAAACAUAUUUUUAUAAAAUACAGUAGGUGUUACAAAGUAAAAUGCUUGCAGUUUUUUGUAGGGAUCCUGCUGGCAUUUGUGGGAAUGCACUUUUCAUAAAUCCCAUCAGAAUGGAAAUCAUUCAGUAAUCAUUUUGGCUGUACGUAGGCAUUAAGCUUGAAACAGAUAAACAAGUCACGCAUUUCCUGUUCUUGUGAUUGAUCCAAAAGUAGAUAAAAAAACAGAUCUUACAACUAGUUUUCUCAGACUUACUUUAAAAAUGGAAACUAAUUUAAAUGUAAUAUCUCACUACAUUAAAAACCAAAUAUAAUUACCUAUAUCCAUUGUGACAAACUCCCCUUCUCACGUGAGUUUGCCACGAGUUCCUGGAGGAGCCUGCUUGCUAGCCUCCUGCCCAUAGACUAUGGGCCCUGGAAUAUACACCGUAAAAGUCUCUGUUCGUGUAUUUGGAUGAUAUGGUUCGGGAACCGAACAGCUGCACGAACCGGAGACCACCCAGGAGCUGGUUAAGCCUAAUUGCUCGUCUGGUUGGCCAUAUUUCCUAUGGACGACCACGAGGUGGCAGCCAUCUUGUUCACAUGAACACAGGCAACAGUGUUUGGUUGUCGAGUUCAUGGAACAGAAAAUGCACACAGAAACUCCUGAACAUCACUGAACUUCCAGCAUCUCCUGCAUUCGGUUCUACAACAUUUAGGAGGAUAACGUUCGGUGGAAAUGUUCCUACGAACAAGGAAAACAAGCUCCAGGGUAAGAAUAUUGACUAUGUUCAGUAGUUUGUUCGGUUUUAAACUACCGAACUAGACCAGCCGCAAGCCCUGAUGUUUUGGGCAGGAGCCUCAUGUGCAGUUGGUCAAAUUAGGACUUCCAGGAAAUUCCCGAACCCCUGAACCGAUCUGGAUGGUUUUUUGAUAUGUUGGUCACCCAGAUCGGGGCUAUCAGGCGAUGUAACUUCUAGGGGGGUUUAUGUAUUUUAAAUGUAUUUUUGGGAUGUCUGUGAAUUGUGUUUUUUUUUGUGUCUGGAGAUAAUUGAGUUAGUUCAGUUCCUGACUCAAUUAUCUCUCAGGUACAGGGGAGGAGUUUGGGAUUGGUAACUAGUCCCCUCUCAUGUCCAGGAGAGGGAUUAUGUUGUUUGUGUGGGAAUGUCAGGGGAGUGCUUAACUGUGUUCAGAAUUGUAUAAAAACAGGCCAUCUGGCCAGAUUAAAUCAUUCCAGCUUGUACUCCCAGAACUAUGGGAGUGGAUUAGGCGAGUUCCCCAUUCACCUCCAGGAGGGAGCGGUUCCAGGACCCCAGUCAAGCCACGGCGACUGUGGGCAGAAGUGUCCCUUGUUCCAGGUAGGAAGCAGUCCUUGGCUGAGGUACCCAGCCAAGGGUACAGGGAGCUCUGUUACAUCCAUAAUAAGUAUUGUAUCUCUAAAUGCAGGUCUGAAUUUGAUAAAACAGUCUCUGUGUGCUCAUAUAGACUUUUGCUCUAGUGUCAGAGUUUGAUUUGCAUUAAUUCAUGUUUGUCCCUUAAAAGAUAGAAUCCCCUCGAUAAUGUUCCUUUAAAUCCCUUGAAUUCUCCUGCACACUCCUGUACACUGUAACUUACACGUUAACAGUUUGUUUUCAUUUCAUCCUGUAUCCUUGAGUUGAGAAAUAUCUUUCAAUUGCAAGCUGGCAAUUGAACUACAACUCCCAGAUAAACUCCAUCUGAUAAAUUUCAGCUAAAUAGUAUGUGUGACCAAGAAUUAAGCAAAUAUCCUGCUUUUAUCACCCUUAAAGUGACACGGUUGGCACUAUAACCAUUUUAUCUAUUUGGAGUGGUUGUAGUGCCCGGAGUACCCUUGAUGCUGUGCCUCCAUUCAGUGUUAAGUCAUUUUCAAGCAGUUUUACACUAAAUAAGGGACCUUGGCCAUCCACAGCCCAGACCCUACUGGAAAUAUACCUAAAAUAGAGACUACACUCUUUUAUUCAGCCAUGCCAAUUCAUGACAACAAUAGGUGAUAUGCUAAGUCAGCUGACACUCUCAGUCAAUCACAGCCGCCCACUGCAGCUCAGAUUAAUGCUCUUAAUUCCCCUCUGUAUGAUGUCCAAUUCAUUUCCUUGGAUCUGGGCAGCCUUGAGAUAUCUUGGCAUUUAACCCAAACCAACCUCUCUCUGUUACCUCCCCUACAGCCUAAACUAUGAGCCCAGCCUUUUAAUCAGGAGCCAUGGUAUGAGGACUACACAUUUUCUAUUCGAGCGGAGUAUCGAACAUGACCCCUUCUCUAGGAUUGGAAUGUCAGGACCAGACCUAGUUUUUGUUCAGUGAUUUUUCUUGUUGGGUAGAUGAGCUUUUAAAGCAGCUUUGCUGGAACACAAAUAGUGAUAGUGCUCAUCCUACGUUUGUUAUUCUGGGCAUGCGGAAUCCUGCUUUAGUAGUCACAAUGCGGGCAGAGCUAUGGUUUGUUUGUCAGUUUUAGCAUGGAUGGGGUAAGAAGUCAGAGGAACUCUUUGGUUCUCCUCCAAGGUUUUGUUCUUUAACAAGCAGUGUGCACAAUAUUAUUUUUGUUUAAAAUGAUCUGCUGUGUGAGACACAAACAAUGAAUGCCAAAUAACUUCAAUGGUCAUAGAGUGAGAAAUUCUAUCCAAUUCACAAAGCAGGAACGAACAACGUGGACUGACACAAAUGUUAUUCACAAAAUGACAGCAGAUACAAAGUGAGUUCACCUGUAAAUUAUGCUGCACCUAUUCCUUGGUAUAUCUCGAAUGCGGCAAGCUUCUUCAUACAACCUCUCACCAAUGUUUCCAAUUUAAAAAUGCAAUCCUUCAGUUAUUGCUUCCAAUUUCGUGUCAAAGUACCAUUUCUGCAUAAUUUUAGCACUCCCUUACAGGUCGCCAAUCACAACUUGCAAAACAUUGUAAACUAGGAAAUUCAAUUAUUUGAAAAUAAGCAAACAAAUUUUCAAUUACUGAGCAGUGUUCUGGGCUGAAUGCCAAAAUUGUUAAAAUUAUAUUAGAGCUUUAAGUCUAAUUAAUUCAAUGAGGAACUAUCAUGUUGACUGUUAUGUCUCUCAGUAGACCUGAUGACAAAACAGGGAAAAGGGAGAAUGGCACAGCUACAAUUUUGCAGUAUAAUUCGAUAAAAAUAAUUAUGUGCAAAAGUUAUUUAUAUUUCUGGGUUUCCGUAAACAACUAAAAACUAAUAAUUUUAAACUAAAGAAUGUCUAAAAUAAUUUUUCAGAACGGCUGAUGGAUCAGUAACUCUGUUCAUCAUUUCUAGAAAAAAAAAUACAGUAUUUUUACACAUACAAGACAUGUACAUGUUUUUUUCUAUUUUUUUUCUAUUAUUUUCUAUUUUAGUCUAAAAUUGGGGUUCGUCUUAUACACGGAAAGUCACUGCAGGGGUUAAAAAAACAAAACACUUGUGCGAGGGGGCUAAGUUAAGAUGGCGCCUGCCACAUUUCAGUGUCUCACGGUCCACACACAUUCCUGGCUUACCUCCCGCCGAUCCACUUCUGAAUGCUGUAGCAAGGAGGAAGAGGUCCCUAUAUGUGUGGGUGCUGCAGCAGACAUCAGCACUUACCACCAACGGACCUCCAGAGACAUGCCACACCACAAAAGGAGCAGCCAUAUUAAGGUUUGCUCUACGUCAGAUAGGUCUUGCUUCCUGAUCUUUAUAUAUGGGGAAGGAAAUGGGGAUCAGGGAGCAGAGGGAAUACUACUGUAAUGUCCCAGCAUGCCCUCACACCACCUGAUGUAUUAUGGGAGCUGUAGUCUCCCAGCAUGCCCUCACACAACCAGCUGUAUUGUGGGAGCUGUAGUCUCCCAGCAUGCACUAUAAAGCUAUUAACGUCACAGAGUACCAUAGCAAAGGUUGGCAUGAGAAUCAGAAGUGUGUUGUUCUCCACAGAAAUCCCCUCUAAAACAUCGUUUUAUAUCAACGUUGUUCUAUUUGAUGUUUAAAAUAUUAAUUUCUUAAUCUUGGGCUAAAACAAUAGGGGUUGUCUUUUUCCAUGGGGGCGUCUUAUCCACGGAAAAAUACGGUAAAUGCCUAUCUUCUAGAGAUGUUACCGGUAGACAGCAUUGCUUUUAACCUUUUUAACUUGGACUUAAGUUAUGUGUAUGACUUGGUGACCUAUUCUUCAUUUUUAAAAUGAGUUCAUUCCCCCAUUCUUUAAACGUAAAAUAAUAUAUAGCAAUUAACAAAGUUUGGCCAUGUCGAAUCUCAGCCAAACAUUCUUCUCACAUUUUCCGGAGCAGCUAAAUUGUUAAAGUAUUACUGUAAUAUUGUAACCACUGGUUCUGUCCGCCCUCUGACACCUUUAUUGUUAAUGUGGCAUUAUUCUAAUAUUCUAGUUUGCAGUGCGCUUACUCUGUGUAUUUCCUUGACCUCUAAUGACCAGUAAUACUCCUAUUCUCUCAUAGUGAGAAGAGAUAGGUAUAAGAAGAACCACAUGCAUCUAAACACUCUUUCACCAUAACUAUAACAAGCCGUAGUGGUUGUGGUGAUUAGAGUGCCCUUUAAAGUGGCCUUCUCACCUGAAUUUUUUUUAUUUAUAUGUCAUAAAAUAAGUAACUACUUCAAACAGAUACAUUUAAGUUUAAUCUAACCAAGCUUUAUAUUUACAUAUUGAUCAGCUGCCUUCUCUGUAAGCCCCUUCACUGGCUCCCCAAUCACAGCAGAAUUAAAUUCAGAAUUCUCUGACCCCAAAAAACCUUACUUACACCGCUCCCCACUAACUGUCCUUACUAAUCAACAAAUAUACUCCAGUUCGCCUCAUAAAAUCGAACAAUGACCUGUUCUUUGCGUCUUCAUAUGUUAGACUGCAGGACUUCUCUUGUGCGGCACCAGCUCUUUUCCUCGCCUAAGACUUUUUCCUAGUCUGUCUUGCUUUAAAUGCUCCCUAAAGACAUUUUGUUGUUCAGGGAAGCCUACCAAUCGACCCUUCUGUGCAGUCCUUCCUCGUGUUACUCCAACUAUCCAUCUAAAUUGUAAGUUACCCAGGGAAUAGGGCCCUCAACACCUUCUGUAUUUGUUUGUCAAAUUUAGUAUUUUCUCAGAUGUAUUGUACUUUUGUCUUUUUACUUCUACCAAUUGUACUUAUGAACAGAAUUUAAGGAUUUGUUGCCGCUUUAUAAAUAAAGUAUAAUAAAAUAAUAAUAAUAGUUACUCCUUCAUUAUGUAGUACUCAUUUUGAAAGCCACAGUGGCAAUGUCAGAUGCUCAGGUAAUAUGUUAUAUUUUUCAAACCGAUGUUUCCUUCGACAAAUGUUGAAGACCCUUUAAUUGGUUUAUGAACUGCCUUUGUCAUGGUGGCACUGCUCAGAUAACAUAUAACCUCAAACAAAUAGCGUCAAACUGUCUCUGCAGAGCUACAAACAACCAUAAUUACUCCACACAUUUCUACUUCAUGGUAUAUAGACCCUAACUAAUUUUAAAGGAACACUAUAGGCACCCAGACUACUCCAGCUCAGUUUUUGAGUAGUACAUUGCAGCCUCUAGUGGCUGUCUACCAAAGGCACUUCCAGGAGUUUACUGGACUCUAGGUCCCUAAAUGACGCUGGAUGUCCUUAUGCUCUGCCUGAGGACAUCCAGCAUCCGUGAAAUCCUCAUAGGAAAUAAUAGAUUCAAUGCUUUACUAUGGGGAUGGCCUAAUGCCUUUGUGGCAUUCACUGCGAAUACACAUUAGGUAGGAUGAUGUCAGAAGAGGCGGAGCACUGAAGGACCUCAGCUCUGGAAUCAGAGUAAAUCAAGGGUUUUAAUCCUCUUUGUACCAGAAGGGGUAGCCGCGAGGGAGAGGGGACUAGAGGACACUAUAGUGUAUUCAGAUUUGUAUUUCUAACAAUAUAAAAUCCCUUUUAAUCAGUGUAUGUAUCAGUUAUUACAGGGUCCCCUCCUCACAUCUUAUAAUCAACGAUGUUAGAACAUGGACAGACUUUAUAGUGUGAGUGGGAAACAAAAUAAGCUAAAUAUCAGUAUUUAAAACAGGACUGUGCAAUACACCUUGACUGUUCCAUAUCAUGUACGCAGAGUGUCUUAGUACAGUUUUACUCACAGCUAGGUUUACAAAAUAUAAAUGGAUAUUAUUAAGUGUCAGGAUACACUGAUAUGCCCAACACGCAGAACUAAAGUAAAAAUAAAGAAAAGCCUUAGAACGUAUAAAAGGAAAAACACAAGACAGGCUGAGGACAAGAAUACAGAUAUCGCAUAAACGGUAUGCAAGCCAAAGGUCAAGGAAUAUAGAAGUCAGAAUAGUCAGGAGCCAAGCCAAAGGUCAAGGGAUACAGAGAUCGGAAUAGUCAGUAGGAAAGCCAAGGUCAAUACCAGAAACGCACUCUCGGAUAACCAGAAUGAUAACCAUGACAGGGCACAGAGAAAUGAAGAAAAAAGGUUUAAAUAGCCUAAGGUGCACCUUGAUUGGCUGCAGUGGAGCAUGUGACAGUUCAGUAAUAAUGUGCGCUCAGAUCUAAGCUAUCUGGGGAUAUGUUGAAUGUACCUGUUUUAUGCAAUAGCUGCACAGUUAUAUAUUUUCAUGUAUUUUAUUGUAUCUUGAUACCAUGUGGCUAAUGGAGUUUUGCCUCUGUCCUUGGAGAUAAUUGGAUUACUUCCCAAUUAUCUCCAGGAUAGAAGACUCUGUGGAACUGGUUUUGGGCAGAAAAGCCAUGCUUCCUUUGGUCACAAAGGACUAUGGUCUAUCUUGUGAACCACUGGACCAAUUUGGAUGAUUUUGACAUAUGUUUGUAUUUGGAGUAUGCCGAUUCUUAAAAUGUAAGUUUUAUGUGAAUGUGAUGCAUACUUUUAAAGUUAUGAAUAAUGUGGAAAAACUGUAUUCCUCUGCCUGUGAUAAAUACAUUAACCCAUUGUGUAAGGUAAUUGUAUCACAGGCAGAGGGGAGGAUUUUGUGUGGGAGUGUCUGAGUGUAUUGUACGUGUAUUUGGUUGUUUUCCAAAACCCUGUGGGUGGUUCUAAUGUGUAAGAAUGUGUAGAUAAGAACAAUAAACCCACAGCUCUAUCAGACCACUGCUUGACCCUCAACACAGAGCCUUGUCUCGUUUUUGUGGGGAUUUAUUGUAUGCUGUUCCAGUUUGACUGCUAGGAGUGUAAACCUAUUCGUAUGGUUUUUCCUAUUCGGCUGUUUACAGCAUUUGUAUGGUUCCGGUUCGGUUGUUUACGGCAUUUAUAUGGUUUCCUUUUCAGCAGAUUGGUGUCUUUGGUAGCUGCCUGUGUAUCUGGAAGGGGAAUAUCCUCUAAACAGCGUUUAACCACUUUUAUGCCUGGGGGUGCCGUAACACAGGUGAAGUGACUGGAUAGAAACCGUUCUAUAUUACAUAGUUUCUGUUCUAUCCNNNNNNNNNNNNNNNNNNNNNNNNNNNNNNNNNNNNNNNNNNNNNNNNNNNNNNNNNNNNNNNNNNNNNNNNNNNNNNNNNNNNNNNNNNNNNNNNNNNNGGAGGAUGACAACAUCAUUUUGACUGAUAUAAAGAUAAUUAGUUGUGUCUGGUUGGAAAGUAAUUAGAAUGUUGGAGGAUGUUCUGUUUGAGAUAUAGACCAGGCUCCGCAGGACGCAUGCUUGCAGUUUAUUAAUCUAGCCGCGGUGUAAGAAGGGACUGGCUUUAGAUCUGCAUUUUCCGAACAUAGCAAAACAGCUACAAAACAUAAAACAGAAUACUAUAUCUGGCAGAACAUAAAAUACUGUCUACAUAUUUCAUAUUUUUACGUUUACAGGGAAUAAAGAGUUUUCUGGAUGCUGGAUAAGCAUCAUGGUAACAGCGUUUGGCAAGUGCCUUCAGUUUCAAGGUUAUUCGUCAAUGCUCUAAGUUCUUAGUCAUUUGUCUGACUCAUUGUUUGCGUAAAUUAUCCCUUAUUGUAUUACCUUACUGUAUCUCUUUCUGUCACUAAUUUUGAUCCCCUGCAAACACCACCAUGAAUGAAUGUGCUGAAGGUCAGCAGUGGGCGCUAUAUAAAACCUUGCAGGUUGACACGACGCAUGAUGUAAUGAUGACCUGUAAGUUAAUAUGGCACAUUUAAAUGAUGGAAAAAAACAUGCUAUCCCUGUUAAAUUACCUUUGUUCAUACCUCAGGCAUUUUAUUUGUUAAACUGCGAGUCUGACGUUACAAAUUACAGCUAGAUAUUGGUGUUUCAAUGGCACGGUGAAGAUCAUAUUACCAAAUUGGCCAUGACGGUAUUUUACUGGUGAACCAAUAACCAUUUUAUUGAUGGUCAUUACCUAUCUCAUGCAUUACCAGUUUUAUUCCGAAGACGUUGGGAAGCCUCAUGCAAACCGACAAUGGCUGCCCACAGGGUGUAUGGAUUAGUAUGGAUUAGAUCUGCAAUGUUUAAAAGAGGGAGACCAAUGUGGCCUACUAGAAAGAUCUCAAAACAGGAACCCUCACAUUGUCAUCCGUAGGAUAAGCAUUAUUAAUGGGGUUUGAGGCUGAGAGAGUAAAUGCAACAACAGAGUUCAUAGUUAGACUGGAGCUUCAUGUCUAAGUGGAGAACGUAGGUUCAGGAAGGGACGUGCCUCUGCUGGCUGGGUGACAGAAUGUGGAUUUGUGGAUUGAAUGAGAAAAAAAGCUUUAAGGGUUGAAUGCAAGAAUAUGACUAUGUACAUUAAAGGGACACGAUAGGCACCCAGAACACUUCAUCUCAUUAAAGUGGUGUGGGUGCAGUGCCCUUGUCAGUUUAAUCAUACAAUAAAGUUAUUAAUAAACUACAAUAAUUACUUUACAUGGUUAACUCCCUGGGGUUCACUUUAGGUCGCCUAACUGACGCUGAACGUCCUCACGCUGACUCUACUAAUAUAAAAUGAGCAAUAAACCAGACAAAAGAGCAGCUUUUUCACAGAAAAAAAACUAGUUUGAGCACAUUUCACAAGGACACUGAUUCCAUUAAUAUCAAAGCAAUCAAGGUUGUGUUUUGAUGUAAGAAACGCACAGAGCGUGUGAUGCAUUAAUUUCUGGAAUCAGAACCCUGUAAUAAACGUCACAUCUCUGUCACCAGGUUCACUCCUCCACGACACUAAAAGCAGAACAGGAAUGGGAAAAUAAUGGCAGCGUCAAACAAUACAAUGCUUCCGACACACACAGAGAAUCGUUCAGCUUCACACUCUACAGCAGCCUGCGCCAAGGGAAAUCACAUCACCGUGACACUCACAAGUCCUUCACCAACACAACAUGAAUUCCAUUUGGAGACGUAAACCCGAAUCUGCCCACUUUAGCCUCUCAACGCAUUCUCUGCUCCCCAGAGUUAGGGGAAAUCUAGCUACAUACUCAACACCUCAGUAAUCAUUACCAAGACUCUCCCCGUCAUCCUGUUCAGAUUAGAACAUUAACCAGAUAAGAAUACGGUACUUCACAUAUCAGCCAGCAGAGCAAGAACUCACUGGGUCCGUUAAACACCUCCUGCCCCCAUAUUCGUAAUACUUUAUUUGCCAUGGAGGCAGUCAUAGAAAAGACAAUCACAGGCCCCUGAUCAUAUGAAACUCACAGGAAAUUAUUCACAAAAUGGGCAGUUGUAAACACCACGCAAGGAAACUGCAAAGUUUAAAUAGCAAAAUAGCAGAAGUGAAAAAUGUACACCAUUGUAUUAUGCAUUGAAAAUCACGUAUCAUUUGUAAUAACACUUUUUCAUGAAAUACUUUUCUUUUAUAUAUUAAAGGGACACUAUAGUCACCAAAACAACUUUAGCUUAAUAAAUGCAGUUUUGGUGUAUAGAUCAUGCCCCUGCAGCCUCACUGCUCAAUUAUCUGCCAUUUAGGAAUUAAAUAACUUUGUCUACACAGCCCUAGGCACACCUUCCUGCAUGUGACUUACACCGCCUUCCUAACACUUCCUGGAAAGAGUCAUCUAAUAUUUACACUUCUUUUACUGCAAAUUCUGUUUAAUUUAGAAUUAUAUAUCACCUGCUCUGUGAAUAGCUUGCUAGACCCUGCAUGAGCCUCCUGUGUGUGAUUAAAGUUACAUUUACAGAUCAGGAGAUACAAAUUGUGGCAAACCUAGCCACUUGGGACUGCCUAAGAUAGAAUGGUUGUGCCUAUUUUCUGUUGUGUACUGCGCGCCGGUAUAGUGUGGCGUCUCCGGCUAUGUUUAAUUUAUGCUGUACUGUGUAUGUCUGUUCGAAUCCUCCCCAUUCGUUAGCAUUGCUAUUAAAACUGACUAAGUUGUAUAUUUUGAAGUAGAAAGGUAACGGUUUAUGUCCUCGUAGUUUUCAUUACUGUAUGUUACAGCAGGGGCUGUUGGGAGGAGGACCUGGAAACGGUAGUCUCCCUCCAGUCCCCUCAACCAAAACCCCUGCUGCCCAUCUUUGGAAACCCCUGUUGAGUGACCUGCUUUAAAUAUCAGUUAUUUUUAAUAAAGUGACAGUUGAGUGACCUGCUUUAAAUAUCAGUCUUUUUGAAUAAAGUGGCAGUUGACUCUCAGACUGUGUUUCGUCUGGUUCUUGGGAGGAUUUGGGAAUAUUGCCUGCUUCCAGCUUUGUACUUGGUUAUUGCAUUCUACCAGCAGAGAUCCUGGGAUUAUAAAAUUGCAGCUCUGCAACAAUUGGUGGCAAGCGGCGGGAUCCAACCGUACAGCAGGAAAAACGCUGUUACCGUACAGCAGGAAAAACGCUGUUUAUACGAUUGGAAUUGACAUACUGGAAAGCAGAAGGCAAUUGAUACAGAUGCAGAAGUGAAUGGGGACGGACUACACCAUAUUGAAACGGCAAACGUUAAAGGAGCUGUUGGAAGCCAGGGGUAAGAUAGCCAGCAAUAAGCCUAAAGCAAGACUUAUUGCCGAGCUAAUGGAAGGAGACCGAGCUCGUAGUGCUACACCCCCAGCAAACAUGGAGGAGACCCCAUUUGAACGAGAAAUGAGGACAAGAUUGGCAUUUUGGCCCGCUCCAGUAUCUCCAGAAAUUAUGACCAUAAUUUCGGCGGAUGCACAGGAGUACGUGAUGGCGCAAAGGAAUCAAGCCUUCUCACCUCAAGCAGAAACCGCUGCUGUUUCAACUGUGGGCCAGGGAAGGCCAAAAAUACCACAUCAUGCAUUUAAAACUUUUUGCGAGGAUAAAGACGAAAUAGAUGGAUUCUUGCAAGAUUUUGAAAGAUUGUGUGACUUGCAUGAUGUAGAGCAAGCUAUGUGGGUACCUUUGUUGGCAGGCAAACUGUCUGGGCAUGCAGCAGACGCCUACCGGGCUGUACCCAGAGAGGACAGCAAGAAUUAUGACAAGGUAAAGCAGGCGCUAUUAGAAAGGUAUGCCAUUACCCCAGAGGCAUACCGGCGCAAGUUCCGAGAAUUGAAAAAAGGGGACAAAGACUCACAUGCGGAGUGGGCACACAAGCUUGACCAAGCCUCACAAGGCUGGAUACAAGCCAGCAGAGCUACCACCAUGGAAGAGUUACGCCAGAUGUUGCUACUGGAGCAGUUUUGUAAUGGCCUGGCACCAGAGGCUCAAGAAUGGGUGAAUGACCGAAAUCCUCACACCCUAACCGAAGCGGCACGAUUGGCCGACCAACAUUAUGAUGCUAGGAGGCAUCAUAAAAAUAAUAACCGAGGGUAUGCAAAACCCAACCCGCAACCGUUUCCAGUUAUUGCUCCUGCCCCAGCGACAGCACCAUCCAGACCAGCACUUGUGGGACAACCUCCCCACUCCCGUUAUAAUGGCAGGUCCAACAUCCAGUGCCAUGCCUGUAAGCAAUGGGGGCACAUGGCCCGGGAGUGCACCCAAAACCGGAGCCGCAAGAACUGGAAUCAGCUCCGGCAGAAUAUGGCCCCGCGGGCAGCUGCUCAUUAUUAUCAUGCAGAGCCAACUUUGCCAGGAGUGCCGCUUGAGUCGGCUGAUGAACCCCUGGGCGUUUUGCACGAUGUAAUGUCCAUCCAUGCUACUGACAACCGACAACCACAUUGCCAGACCGUGACUCUGGAAGGGAAAGAGGUACAGGGGCUACGUGAUUCCGGCGCUACCUUAACUUUGGUUGCCCCGCAUUUGGUGUCAGGAUCAGCACAUACCGGGGGAUCGGUAGCAGUCCGGGUAGCAGGGGGUGCCAUGUACCGGCUACCAACUGCCAAGGUACAUCUGAAUUGGGGUGCGGGGGAAGGUAUGGUGGAGGUGGGGCUGAUGCACAAGUUACCAGCUGAUGUUGUUUUGGGGAAUGACCUGGGGCAAAUGACUUCCGCUUUUGUGCCCCAAAGUCCUCGCCAUGAGGCAUAUCCAGUGACCACCCGUCAGCAGGCUCGCACCACGGCUUCAUCUUCCACACACUCUGAGGCUCAGGUAAGAGACAAUGUACCCCGUGUAACCCGUGUUUCCUGGGAUACCCCGACUGACUUUGAGGCAGAGGUUAAAAACGAUCCCACGUUGCAAAUUUAUAAGGAUAAGGCGACAGCUGGUCAGACAGGUUUAGAGGGAGAACAGUAUGUAUGGGAGAAAAAUCUGUUAUAUCGUGUUGCUGAGCGGGUGGUAGGGGGGUCUGUACAUGUGACUAAUAAGCAGCUUAUAGUGCCCCAGAAAUACCGGCAGGAACUGCUUAGAAUUGCCCACGAUAUUCCGCUGUCUGGGCAUUUAGGGAUGACAAGAAUGAGGUACAGAUUGACACAUGCAUUUUUCUGGCCAGGUAUAUCUAGAGAUGUGAGACAGUAUUGUCAGACAUGUGACAUUUGUCAGAGAGUGGGAAAAAGGGGUGACCGCCACAAAGCGAAAUUGUGCCCCCUUCCCAUUAUUGAAGAACCCUUUAGCAGAGUAGCAGUGGAUAUAGUCCCCAUUGGAGCAUUUUGGCCCGCUCCAGUAUCUCCAGAAAUUAUGACCAUAAUUUCGGCGGAUGCACAGGAGUACGUGAUGGCGCAAAGGAAUCAAGCCUUCUCACCUCAAGCAGAAACCGCUGCUGUUUCAACUGUGGGCCAGGGAAGGCCAAAAAUACCACAUCAUGCAUUUAAAACUUUUUGCGAGGAUAAAGACGAAAUAGAUGGAUUCUUGCAAGAUUUUGAAAGAUUGUGUGACUUGCAUGAUGUAGAGAAAGCUAUGUGGGUCCAAGCCUAGCCCUUCCAGCAAGCGGUAUAUUUUGACCAUUGUAGAUUAUGCCCCCCUGUACCCGGAGGCUAUAGCCCUUUCCAAUAUACAAGCAGAAACGGUAGCCGAAGCUAUGAUGAAGAUAUUUUCCAGGAUGGGAUUUCCCCAAGAGAUAAUUUCGGAUAGGGGCACCCAAUUUACAGCCGAAGUGACCCACCAGCUAUGGAAGUUAUGUGGCAUUAAGCCAAUUGUAAAUUCUGCCUAUCACCCGCAGUCCAAUGGGUUGUGUGAGCGCUUUAACGGUACCUUGAAGCAGAUGCUCAGGACAUUUGGGGAGUCCCAUAAAGACUGGGAGAGGUUUUUACCCCAUCUGCUUUUUGCGUACCGAGAAGUGCCACAGGAAUCUACCGGCUUCUCUCCGUUUGAGUUAUUGUUUGGGAGAAGGGUGAGGGGACCCCUAGACUUAAUUAGAGAACAUUGGGAGGGGGGGAGCAGUGCAGAUGGAGUCCCCAUUGUGCCAUACGUGCUGGAGUUCCGGGACCGCUUGGAGGCUCUAACCCAAACCGUACGGGAGAACCUCCGGGCGGCUCAGCGGCGACAGCGCCGGUGGUACGAUAGGGGAGCCAGAGACCGUAGCUUUCAGGUGGGACAGAAAGUUCUAAUUUUGAAACCUGUCCGCACAGACAAGCUACAGGCCACCUGGCAGGGCCCAUACCAAGUGGUAGAACAGAGAUGUGACACCACUUAUGUGAUCGGCCCGUGCUCUGGGGUAGGGAAGCGACGCAUGCUCCAUGUGAACAUGCUCAAACCCUAUCACCAGAGAAUAGAGGAGGUAGCAGCCAUCUGUGCCCCAGCCACUGAGGAUUAUGAGAAUCUGCCCUUGCCAGACAUGUUAGAAAAGGAAGAUUCUGCAGAAAACGCUACAGGUGUGCAGCUGGGGGAGCGGCUAAGUCUCCAGGAGCGUGCCCAGGUACAGGAGUUGAUUGCGGCAAAAGGUGCUACCUUCUCCAAUUUACCAGGGUACACUCUGUUAGCUACCCACCGAGUAGAGACCCCAGGACAGCUCCCUAUGAGACAGACUCCGUAUCGUAUCCCUGAAGCAGUAAGGGAGCACAUGAGGAAAGAAAUUGAGGAAAUGUUGCAGUUAGGGGUUAUCGAACAUUCAGAUAGCCCCUGGGCAUCACCAGUAGUGCUAGUACCCAAGAAGGAUGGCACCACGCGGUUUUGUGUAGACUACCGGAGGCUCAAUGACAAAACAGUGUCUGACGCCUACCCGAUGCCCCGUAUAGACGAGCUGCUAGAUAGGAUGGCAAGAGGCCAGUAUCUCACUACCAUUGAUCUGUGUAAGGGAUACUGGCAGAUUCCACUAGCCGAGGAGGCCAUCCCCAAGUCGGCGUUUGUCACCCCGUUUGGCCUGUAUCAAUUUCGGGUCAUGCCUUUCGGGAUGAAAAACGCUCCGGCUACCUUUCAGAGGAUGGUAGAUCGGCUACUGGACGGGUUCCAAGAGUACGCCUGUGCGUACUUAGAUGAUAUAGCCAUUUAUAGCCAGACCUGGGCAGAUCAUUUGAAACAUAUUAGUGUGGUCAUUGACCGUAUUGGAGAGGCAGGGCUGACACUAAAACCUAGCAAGUGUCACAUAGGGAUGGCAGAGGUGCAGUACCUGGGUCACAGGGUAGGAUGCGGACAGCAGAGGCCCAACCGGCCAAGAUAGAGGCAGUAGCUAAGUGGCCUACCCCCAGGACAAAGACACAAGUAUUGGCGUUCCUUGGUACCGCUGGUUACUACAGAAAAUUUGUGCCCAAUUACAGCGCCCUGGCCAAACCCCUGACGGACUUGACCAAGAAAAACUUGCCACGACAGGUCAACUGGGCCCCAGAGUGUGAACAGGCAUUCCAUGAACUAAAAACUGCAUUAACUAAGGCUCCUGUGUUAACUGCCCCUGAUCCAACUAAACGAUUUCUUGUUCACACAGACGCUUCCAUGUUUGGAUUGGGGGCAGUACUGAGCCAAGUGGGAGCUGAUGGCGGAGAACAUCCCGUAGCUUACUUAAGCAGAAAAUUACUACCAAGGGAAGUAGGCUACGCCGCCAUCGAGAAGGAAUGCCUGGCCGUGGUGUGGGCCCUCAAAAAGUUACAACCUUAUUUGUAUGGACAACCAUUCUCCUUGCUCACAGAUCACAACCCGUUGGUGUGGCUACACAGGGUGUCAGGAGACAAUGCCUGGCUGUUGCCCUGGAGUUUGGCGCUGCAGCCGUUUGAUUUCACGAUCCAUUAUCGCCCUGGAAAACAGAAUGGUAACGCUGAUGGGUUGUCCAGACAGACAGAACUUGAGAAAUGAUCUGUGAGCACUCCCCCGGACAUCCCCAAGCCGAUCCGUUGGGAUCAGACUGUGUAUGCCGGCUUGGUUUUGGGGAGCAUUGUGGCAAACCUAGCCACUUGGGACUGCCUAAGAUAGAAUGGUUGUGCCUAUUUUCUGUUGUGUACUGCGCGCCGGUAUAGUGUGGCGUCUCCGGCUAUGUUUAAUUUAUGCUGUACUGUGUAUGUCUGUUCGAAUCCUCCCCAUUCGUUAGCAUCCCUCCAGUCCCCUCAACCAAAACCCCUGCUGCCCAUCUUUGGAAACCCCUGUUGAGUGACCUGCUUUAAAUAUCAGUUAUUUUUAAUAAAGUGACAGUUGAGUGACCUGCUUUAAAUAUCAGUCUUUUUGAAUAAAGUGGCAGUUGACUCUCAGACUGUGUUUCCUCUGGUUCUUGGGAGGAUUUGGGAAUAUUGCCUGCUUCCAGCUUUGUACUUGGUUAUUGCAUUCUACCAGCAGAGAUCCUGGGAUUAUAAAAUUGCAGCUCCGCAACAAAAACAUACUCGUUUUCCUGGCACUAUAGUGCCCUGAGGGUGCCCCCACCCUCAGUGUCCCCCUCCCGCCCGGCUCUGGGGAGAGGAAAGGGGUAAAAUCUUACCUUUUUCCAGCGCUGGGCGGGGAGCUCUCCUCCUCCGAUCCUCCUCGGUUCCUCCCAUUCGUCUGAAUGCGCACGCACAGCAAGAUUUACAAUGCUUUCCUAUGGACGCUUGCGUGUUCCUAGAGGAAUUGGAGGAAGGUUUAACCCAUUUGUAAACAUAGCAGUUUCUCUGAAACUGCUAUGUUUAUAAAAAAAUGGGCUAAUCCUAGCUGGACCUAGCACCCAAACCACUUCAUUAAGCUGAAGUGGUCUGGGUGCCUAGAGUGGUCCUUUAAAGGGACACUCCAGGCACCCAGACCACUUCAGCUAUUUGAAGUGGUCUGGGUGUUGUGCCCCUUUUGCACUUAGUGCUGCAAUAUAAAACAUUGCAGUUCCUGAUUCAUAACGGACUUUUGGUCUGUUAUAUGAUGCUGGGCAUUUUAUUAUUCAAUGCUUUCCUAUGGGGAGGUCUAACACGCACGCGUGACCAUUGCUGCGCAUUCGCAUUAGGUCUCCCGCGCCGGCUAACGUUGGCGGGGGGAGGAGCAAGGGUGGAGCCUUACCCAGCAACGACGGACAUCGGCGCUGGAUUCAGGUAAGUAGCUGAAGGGGUUAUAACCCCUUCAGAGACAUGGGAUAGAGGGCGGGAGGAAUCAGUCGGGAGCUAUUAACAGUUUAAUAGAUACGCUUUUAUGUAGAAGUGGGUUUUUAAUGAUUUAUUGAGUGGAGACUGAGUUAAUGAGUUAAUGAGUGGAGACUGGGUGAGCAUCUAACAGAGCAGGGAAGUGAGUUCCACAGGAACGGUGCAGCCCUUGAGAAAUCUUGAAGGCAAGCAUCAGAGGUGGGAGUAUGGACAGAAGAUAUACGUAAGUCUUCAGAAGAGUGUAAGGGUCUAGAGUGGACAUACUUGUGUAUUAGGGAGGAUAGAUAGGUGGGAGCAGCAUUAUGUAGAGAUUUGAAAGCAAGAACCAGAAUUGUAAAUUGAGCCCUAUAUCUUACAGGAAGCCAAUGUAGCCAAUGUAGGGACCGACAGAAGGGUGAGGUGUGGGAGGUGAGGACGGACGGGAAGAUGAGCCUCGCUGACGCAUUCAUUAUGGACUGUAAUGGUGCAAGUUGGGAGCACGUAAGACCACUGAGAAGCAGAUUACAGUAGUCAAGGCGAGAAAGGGCAGUGGAGUGGACCAGCACCUUAGUCGCAUCUGGCGUUAAGUAGAGUCGGAUGUGCGCAACAUUUUUGAGAUGGAAGCGGCAGAUUUUGGCAAUGGACUGAACAUGAAGCAUGAAGGAGAGGUCGGAGUCAAAGAACACCUAGGCAGUGAGCCUGCGUGGUGGAGCUGAUGGUGGCACCAUUGACUUGGAGGGAGACAGACACAGGAGUAGCAACAAUUGAGGGAGGAAAGACCAGAAUUUCAGUUUUGGUCAAGCUGAGUUUAAGGAAGUGGGCAGCCAUCCAGUUAGAAAUAGCAGAGAGACGGUCAGAGACACUAGUCAAGAGGGACGGGGAGAAAUCAGGAGAGGACAGAUAGAUGUGUGUAAUCCGCAUAGAAAUUAUAUUGGAAGUCAAAGGAGCUAAUGAGUUUACCAAGGGAGGCAGUAUAGAUAGAGAACAGUAGGGUACCAAGGACUGAACCUUGGGGUACACCAACAGAGAGGAGUUGGGGAGAAGAAGCAGAGCCAGAGAAAGAAAUACUGAAAGAGCGCUGGGAGAGGUGGGAGGAGCACCAGGAGAGAGCAAUAUUUUUUAGACCGAAUAUCUUGUAAAGAGUCCCUUUAAUGUGACUUAACCUUGUUUAAUUAAAUUAACUUUAGUUUGAACACUAGUCAAGUGGUUUCUACAGUACAUAUUUUAUAUCCUCAGCUAGAUUGGUUUACUAACCAAAUACAUACUCCCCCCCCCCCACACACACACCUUUAGAUGACACCUAAAGCCAGUCAUGAUAGGCAGUUAUCUCCCAGGUGUAAGAUCUAUGACAUACCUAUACAUCCAAAUAUUGAGGGGACUAUAUUUAGUGGGGACUGGAGGGCAGGUGGGAGCGAGAUAGUGGUUUUAAUACAAUAGGGUCAGGAAUACAUGUUUGUGUUCCUGACUCUAUGGUGUUCCUUUAAAGAUGGAGCAACAAAUGUUGAAACCAAUAGCAAGAUUUUAUAAGUUGCUUCAUCUUUUAAACUUUGCCCCAAACUGACCAUUAUCCAUAUAUUUUAAUGUUAAAUCCUGUUUUUUGUUUUCUCUGUUUUGUUAAUCGUAAUGAGCCUUAACUUCUACUAUUACUCACUUAUGGUUUUACCUGGUGCUAUUCGAUGUGGUGUAUCUGUAUGACAUUUUGACUUUCCCUUUAGGUUAUCUUUAUUUCCUUCACAAAUUAACAUUUAGCCAUUUUAACUAUGUCUGUACAUAUCACAAGUGUACCAAUCUGUUCUAUCCUGAUAUUACAUCAUGGUAUUCCUGGGUUAAUGUAAAUAGUUCACAAGUGGCUGAUUUGAUUGAAAAUGCCAGCCCAGUUCCUGGUUUUCAACACAGCACGACCCUUUGUCAAGUAAUUAAGUUCCAAACCUCAAACCAGUGCCUACGUCAUAGAAGGAGACUCUUGGGACUAUAUCUAAAAAGAGGUGAAAAGAUGUAAAGUAGAACUCAAACAUGUUAUUCUAUGGAGUUUAAUUCUCAAACAAAUAUUACAGUUUUCCCUUUUCAACUUUCCACAGCUUAGUAACAUCGAACUAUACACGAGAUGAUUACGCAGUAUGCAUCACAUAAAAACAAAUAUUGACAAACACAGGAGACAGUAGCUCCUAUAACCGAUAUAACCUUAAAAUAAAUACUAUGUUAACUUCUACUUUAUUGACUAAGAGAUAAAUAGUGCAAUUCAUUUUUCUGUUAAAGAAGUUGAAUCAUUAUCAAGCAUUGGUCCUGGAAACAAUGAAGGUGGUUGAAUAACAUGAAGGUGAUACUUGAAUUACUCUAAAAAUGGAGCUCAUUAGACAUCAGGUAUACUACACAGACGGCUAAAAUAAAGGUGAAUGUAUAGUAUAAUGUUAGGGAGAUGUCACAAAAUAGCUGUAGAGCUGCUGUCAGGUUUUUCUGCUAAUUAUGUUGUUAUGUUGUGCAGUGAUUGGAAGACACAAUAUUUUGGUAGUAAAUGAAAAGACUAGAUCACUUUGAUAGGGUCUGCAGCUAUCAGGGCCGGACUGGGAAUUAAAAGCAGCCCUGGAAAAAAAAAUAUUUACCAGCCCCAUAAUGCGUCGCGCCAGCAUAGUGUGCAGAUACAGAGUUAGAACAGAUAACUUAAAAUUAAAAAGUACUUCAACGUAAAAAGCGCACUCAUAGGCUUCAAAAUAAACAACAGUGCAGAUUUAUUUUAAGCAGACGUGCCUUUGCAUGUACUCAAUGUUUCAGUCCAACUACCUUGACAUAUUAAGGAAAGCUUGUUAAUAGGACUGAAAUGGUGACUGUAUGUAGGGCACAACUGUAAAAAAUUUUUAUUUUGAAGUCCUGUGGGUGUGCUCUUCACUUUAAAAAUGUUAUUGUGCUGGAGUAUGCACCUAGCAACAAGACUGGGCCAAUAUCUGCUCAUUAUAUAUGGUACAUAUUAAUGACAUUCCUCGGUGUAUUAUGCAUUAUAUAAAUGUACAUUAAUAUGUGUAAAUAUAAUAGAUUAAUAUACAUGUCAUAUAUCAGUGACGGAUCCAGAGCCUGAGCCCUGGAGGGGCACUUGUAGAUUAUUUAAAGAAAUAUUCCAUGCACAAUAACCACUACUCCUCUGUGUAGUGGUUAUGGUGCCAGGAGUGUCGGCACCCCCUCCCAGAGUAAGUAGUCAAACCGUUUAAGAACAGUGGUGCAAUGUGUGAGGGGUGCAAUGUGUGUGAAAGGUUCAGUGUGUGGGUGUGGGGGGCAGUGUGUGAAUGUGUAUGGUGUGUGUGUGGGGGGGCAGUGUGUGAAUGUGUAUGGUGUGUGUGUGGGGUGGCAGUGUGUGAAUGUGUAUGGUGUGUGUGGGCAGUGUGUGUAUGGGGCUAGAGUUCACUCCUACUACUGAGACCACCAGGAAGUGGUGAGAGUGAACUCUAGCCCGUAGCUCCAGGGCUAGAGUUCACCCUCGUGAGAGCCGGAGUGUUGCCCCGGGUCCUCUCUUUCUCCCCCUCACUGCUCCUCUGUGUCAAUGUCUCCCCUCUCCUUCCCAGUCUCUCUCUUCCCCCUCUUUCUUCCCCUCCCCUUGUGUGUCUCUCUCAUUUCUCCCUCUUUGUCUCUCUCUUCCCCCUCUGCCUCUUUCACCCCCGUUCCCUGUGUCUUUCCCUCCUCCCCAUCUCUCUCCCUCCCCCCUUUCCCUGUGUCUCUCCCUCCUCCCCAUCUCUCUCCCUCCCCCCUUUCCCUGUGUCUCUCUCUCCAACCCAUCUCCCCCCGUUUCCCUGUGUCUCUCCCCUUUCCUCAUCUCUCUCNNNNNNNNNNNNNNNNNNNNNNNNNNNNNNNNNNNNNNNNNNNNNNNNNNNNNNNNNNNNNNNNNNNNNNNNNNNNNNNNNNNNNNNNNNNNNNNNNNNNUGCAUUAACUAAGGCUCCUGUGUUAACUGCCCCUGAUCCAACUAAACGAUUUCUUGUUCAUACAGACGCUUCCAUGUUUGGAUUGGGGGCAGUACUGAGCCAAGUGGGAGCUGAUGGCUGAGAACAUCCCGUAGCUUACUUAAGCAGAAAAUUACUACCAAGGGAAGUAGGCUACGCCGCCAUCGAGAAGGAAUGCCUGGCCGUGGUGUGGGCCCUCAAAAAGUUACAACCUUAUUUGUAUGGACAACCAUUCUCCUUGCUCACAGAUCACAACCCGUUGGUGUGGCUACACAGGGUGUCAGGAGACAAUGCCCGGCUGUUGCGUUGGAGUUUGGCGCUGCAGCCGUUUGAUUUCACGAUCCAUUAUCGCCCUGGAAAACAGAAUGGUAACGCCGAUGGGUUGUCCAGACAGACAGAACUUGAGAAAUGAUCUGUGAGCACUCCCCCGGACAUCCCCAAGCCGAUCCGCUGGGAUCAGACUGUGUAUGCCGGCUUGGUUUUGGGGGAGCAUUGUGGCAAACCUAGCCACUUGGGACUGCCUAAGAUAGAAUGGUUGUGCCUAUUUUCUGUUUUGUACUGCGCGCCGGUAUAGUGUGGCGUCUCCGGCUAUGUUUAAUUUAUGCUGUACUGUGUAUGUCUGUUCGAAUCCUCCCCAUUCGUUAGCAUCCCUCCAGUCCCCUCAACCAAAACCCCUGCUGCCCAUCUUUGGAAACCCCUGUUGAGUGACCUGCUUUAAAUAUCAGUUAUUUUUAAUAAAGUGACAGUUGAGUGACCUGCUUUAAAUAUCAGUCUUUUUGAAUAAAGUGGCAGUUGACAUAGGCGUGCGCAGCCUAUUGCAUUAGGGUGUGCACCCUAAAGCACAAGCACACGCCGCAUAUAUGUAUAUAUAUAUAUAUAUAUAUAUAUAUAUACAUACACACACACAUACACAUAUAUACACACACUGCUGUGUGUGUGUGUGUGUGCUGUGUGAGGGUGCCGUUAGUGUGAUGUGUGUGUGACGGUGCUGGUAGUGUGCUAUGUGGGUGAGGGUGUUUGUGUGCGUGCUUGUGAGGAUGCUGUUAAUGUACUGUGUGUGAGGGUGCUGUUUGUGUGUGUGUGCGCGCUUGUGAGGGUGCUGUUAAUGUACUGUGUGUGAGGGUGCUGUUUGUAUGUGAGUGUACUGGUAGUGUGCUGUGUGUGUGUUUGUUAGGGUCCUGUUUGUGUUUGUGAGGGUACUGUUAGUGUGCUGUGUGUGUGUGAGGGAGCUGUUUGUGUGCUGUGUGUGUGUGAGGGUGCUGUGUGUGUUUGUGAGGGUGCUGUAUGUGUGUGUGAGUGCUGUAUGUGUGUUGGUGCUGUGUAUGUCUGUGGGUGCUGUGUAUGUCUGUGGGUGCUGUGUAUGGGUGCUGUAUGUGUGUGGGUGCUGUGUAUGGGUGCUGUAUGUGUGUGGGUGCUGUGUAUGUCUGUGGGUGCUGUAUGUGUGUGGGUGCUGUGUAUGGGUGCUGUAUGUGUGUGGGUGCUGUGUAUGUCUGUGGGUGCUGUAUGUGUGUGGGUGCUGUAUGUGUGUGUGUGGGUGCUGUAUGUGUGUGGGUAUGUGUGUAUGGGCGCUGUAUGUGUGUGGGGUGAUGGGUAUGUUCUGUGAAGUUGUAUGUGUGGGUGCUGUGUAUGUCUGUGGGUGCUGUAUGUCUGUGGGUGCUGUGUAUGUCUGUGGGUGCUGUAUGUGUGUGGGUGCUGUGUAUGUCUGUGGGGUGCUGUAUAUGUUUAUGGGUGCUGUGGCGUCUGUGGGUGCUGUGUAUGUCUGUGGGUGCUGUAUGUCUGUGGGUGCUGUGUAUGUCUGUGGGUGCUGUGUAUGUCUGUGGGUGCUGUAUGUCUGUGGGUGCUGUGUAUGUCUGUGGGUGCUGUAUGUCUGUGGGUGCUGUGUAUGUCUGUGGGUGCUGUAUGUGUGUGGGUGCUGUAUGUCUGUGGGUGCUGUGUAUAUCUGUGGGUGCUGUAUGUUUGUGGGUGCUGUGUAUGUCUGUGGGUGCUGUGUAUGUCUGUGGGUGCUGUAUGUCUGUGGGUGCUGUGUAUGUCUGUGGGUGCUGUAUGUGUGUGGGUGUUGUAUGUCUGUGUGUGCUGUAUGUGUGUGUGCUGUGUGUGCUGUAUGUGGGUGGGUGAUUGUGGGGGUGGAGGUGGGGGUACAUUAUUUGCUAUCCCCCCUCCCUUCUUACCUUUUGUAGGGAGGGGGGAUCGUGCUGCUGCUUCCUUCCCUGGUGGUCCAGUGGAGGAGGGGAUCCUUGCUGCUGUGAUCCCUGGUGGUCCAGUGGAGAGUGAACUCUAACCCCUGUGGGGCUAGAGUUCACUCUCGCGAGAUUUGAGCGUUGCCGUGGCAACGCUCAUAUCUCGCGAGAGGAAGCCGGCGGAGCUGCCGGCAAUAGCUCCGCCGGGUCCUCUCCUGCCUCCCUCCCUGCAUGCGGGUCAGUGGGGAGGGAGGCUGAGAGCAGAGCCGGCGCUCGGAUAGCGCCGGCUCUGCAUGAGCCGACAGGGGAGAUCCUGAGAUCUCCCCUGCCGGUCUCAAUAUACAUAGGCGUGCCGCGGGAUUAGGGUGUGCCCAGGCACACCCGGCACACCCCGUGCGCAAGCCUAUGGCAGUUGACUCUCAGACUGUGUUUCGUCUGGUUCUUGGGAGGAUUUGGGAAUAUUGCCUGCUUCCAGCUUUGUACUUGGUUAUUGCAUUCUACCAGCAGAGAUCCUGGGAUUAUAAAAUUGCAGCUCCGCAACAAAAACAUACUCGUUUUCCUGGCACUAUAGUGCCCUGAGGGUGCCCCCACCCUCAGUGUCCCCCUCCCGCCCUCUGGGGAGAGGAAAGGGGUAAAAUCUUACCUUUUUCCAGCGCUGGGCGGGGAGCUCUCCUCCUCCGAUCCUCCUCCGUUCCUCCCAUUCGUCUGAAUGCGCACGCACGGCAAGAUUUGCAAUGCUUUCCUAUGGACGCUUGCGUGUUCCUAGAGGAAUUGGAGGAAGGUUUAACCCAUUUGUAAACAUAGCAGUUUCUCUGAAACUGCUAUGUUUAUAAAAAAAUGGGCUAAUCCUAGCUGGACCUAGCACCCAAACCACUUCAUUAAGCUGAAGUGGUCUGGGUGCCUAGAGUGGUCCUUUAAAGGGACACUCCAGGCACCCAGACCACUUCAGCUAUUUGAAGUGGUCUGGGUGUUGUGCCCCUUUUGCACUUAGUGCUGCAAUAUAAAACAUUGCAGUUCCUGAUUCAUUACGGACUUUUGGUCUGUUAUAUGAUGCUGGGCAUUUUAUUAUUCAAUGCUUUCCUAUGGGGAGGUCUAACACGCACGCGUGACCAUUGCUGCGCAUUCGCAUUAGGUCUCCCGCGCCGGCUAACGUUGGCGGGGGGAGGAGCAAGGGUGGAGCCUUACCCAGCAACGACGGACAUCGGCGCUGGAUUCAGGUAAGUAGCUGAAGGGGUUAUAACCCCUUCAGAGACAUGGGAUAGAGGGCGGGAGGAAUCAGUCGGGAGCUAUUAACAGUUUAAUAGAUACGCUUUUAUGUAGAAGUGGGUUUUUAAUGAUUUAUUGAGUGGAGACUGAGUUAAUGAGUUAAUGAGUGGAGACUGGGUGAGCAUCUAACAGAGCAGGGAAGUGAGUUCCACAGGAACGGUGCAGCCCUUGAGAAAUCUUGAAGGCAAGCAUCAGAGGUGGGAGUAUGGACAGAAGAUAUACGUAAGUCUUCAGAAGAGUGUAAGGGUCUAGAGUGGACAUACUUGUGUAUUAGGGAGGAUAGAUAGGUGGGAGCAGCAUUAUGUAGAGAUUUGAAAGCAAGAACCAGAAUUGUAAAUUGAGCCCUAUAUCUUACAGGAAGCCAAUGUAGCCAAUGUAGGGACCGACAGAAGGGUUAGGUGUGGGAGGUGAGGAUGGACGGGAAGAUGAGCCUCGCUGACGCAUUCAUUAUGGACUGUAAUGGUGCAAGUUGGGAGCACGUAAGACCACUGAGAAGCAGAUUACAGUAGUCAAGGCGAGAAAGGGCAGUGGAGUGGACCAGCACCUUAGUCGCAUCUGGCGUUAAGUAGAGUCGGAUGUGCGCAACAUUUUUGAGAUGGAAGCGGCAGAUUUUGGCAAUGGACUGAACAUGAAGCAUGAAGGAGAGGUCGGAGUCAAAGAACACCUAGGCAGCGAGCCUGCGUGGUGGAGCUGAUGGUGGCACCAUUGACUUGGAGGGAGACAGACACAGGAGUAGCAACAAUUGAGGGAGGAAAGACCAGAAUUUCAGUUUUGGUCAAGCUGAGUUUAAGGAAGUGGGCAGCCAUCCAGUUAGAAAUAGCAGAGAGACGGUCAGAGACACUAGUCAAGAGGGACGGGGAGAAAUCAGGAGAGGACAGAUAGAUGUGUGUCAUCCGCAUAGAAAUGAUAUUGGAAGUCAAAGGAGCUAAUGAGUUUACCAAGGGAGGCAGUAUAGAUAGAGAACAGUAGGGUACCAAGGACUGAACCUUGGGGUACACCAACAGAGAGGAGUUGGGGAGAAGAAGCAGAGCCAGAGAAAUAAAUACUGAAAGAGCGCUGGGAGAGGUGGGAGGAGCACCAGGAGAGAGCAAUAUUUUUUAGACCGAAUAUCUUGUAAAGAGUCCCUUUAAUGUGACUUAACCUUGUUUAAUUAAAUUAACUUUAGUUUGAACACUAGUCAAGUGGUUUCUACAGUACAUAUUUUAUAUCCUCAGCUAGAUUGGUUUACUAACCAAAUACAUACUCCCCCCCCACACACACACCUUUAGAUGACACCUAAAGCCAGUCAUGAUAGGCAGUUAUAUCCCAGGUGUAAGAUCUAUGACAUACCUAUACAUCCAAAUAUUGAGGGGACUAUAUUUAGUGGGGACUGGAGGGCAGUUGGGAGCGAGAUAGUGGUUUUAAUACAAUAGGGUCAGGAAUACAUGUUUGUGUUCCUGACUCUAUGGUGUUCCUUUAAAGAUGGAGCAACAAAUGUUGAAACCAAUAGCAAGAUUUUAUAAGUUGCUUCAUCUUUUAAACUUUGCCCCAAACUGACCAUUAUCCAUAUAUUUUAAUGUUAAAUCCUGUUUUUUGUUUUCUCUGUUUUGUUAAUUGUAAUGAGCCUUAACUUCUACUAUUACUCACUUAUGGUUUUACCUGGUGCUAUUCGAUGUGGUGUAUCUGUAUGACAUUUUGACUUUCCCUUUAGGUUAUCUUUAUUUCCUUCACAAAUUAACAUUUAGCCAUUUUAACUAUGUCUGUACAUAUCACAAGUGUACCAAUCUGUUCUAUCCUGAUAUUACAUCAUGGUAUUCCUGGGUUAAUGUAAAUAGUUCACAAGUGGCUGAUUUGAUUGAAAAUGCCAGCCCAGUUCCUGGUUUUCAACACAGCACGACCCUUUGUCAAGUAAUUAAGUUCCAAACCUCAAACCAGUGCCUACGUCAUAGAAGGAGACUCUUGGGACUAUAUCUAAAAAGAGGUGAAAAGAUGCAAAGUAGAACUCAAACAUGUUAUUCUAUGGAGUUUAAUUCUCAAACAAAUAUUACAGUUUUCCCUUUUCAACUUUCCACAGCUUAGUAACAUCGAACUAUACACGAGAUGAUUACGCAGUAUGCAUCACAUAAAAACAAAUAUUGACAAACACAGGAGACAGUAGCUCCUAUAACCGAUAUAACCUUAAAAUAAAUACUAUGUUAACUUCUACUUUAUUGACUAAGAGAUAAAUAGUGCAAUUCAUUUUUCUGCUAAAGAAGUUGAAUCAUUAUCAAGCAUUGGUCCUGGAAACAAUGAAGGUGGUUGAAUAACAUGAAGGUGAUACUUGAAUUACUCUAAAAAUGGAGCUCAUUAGACAUCAGGUAUACUACACAGACUGCUAAAAUAAAGGUGAAUGUAUAGUAUAAUGUUAGGGAGAUGUCACAAAAUAGCUGUAGAGCUGCUGUCAGGUUUUUCUGCUAAUUAUGUUGUUAUGUUGUGCAGUGAUUGGAAGACACAAUAUUUUGGUAGUAAAUGAAAAGACUAGAUCACUUUGAUAGGGUCUGCAGCUAUCAGGGCCGGACUGGGAAUUAAAAGCAGCCCUGGAAAAAAAAAUAUUUACCAGCCCCAUAAUGCGUCGCGCCAGCAUAGUGUGCAGAUACAGAGUUAGAACAGAUAACUUAAAAUUAAAAAGUACUUCAACGUAAAAAGCGCACUCAUAGGCUUCAAAAUAAACAACAGUGCAGAUUUAUUUUAAGCAGACGUGCCUUUGCAUGUACUCAAUGUUUCAGUCCAACUACCUUGACAUAUUAAGGAAAGCUUGUUAAUGGGACUGAAAUGGUGAAUGUAUGUAGGGCACAACUGUAAAAAUUUUUUAUUUUGAAGUCCUGUGGGUGUGCUCUUCACUUUAAAUAUGUUAUUGUGCUGGAGUAUGCACCUAGCAACAAGACUGGGCCAAUAUCUGCUCAUGACAUAUGGUACAUAUUAAUGACAUUCCUCUGUGUAUUAUGCAUUAUAUAAAUGUACAUUAAUAUGUGUAAAUAUAAUAGAUUAAUAUACAUGUCAUAUACCAGUGACGGAUCCAGAGCCUGAGCCCUGGAGGGGCACUUGUAGAUUAUUUAAAGAAAUAUUCCAUGCACAAUAACCACUACUCCUCUGUGUAGUGGUUAUGGUGCCAGGAGUGUCGGCACCCCCUCCCAGAGUAAGUAGUCAAACCGUUUAAGAACAGUGGUGCAAUGUGUGAGGGGUGCAAUGUGUGUGAAAGGUUCAGUGUGUGGGUGUGGGGGGCAGUGUGUGAAUGUGUAUGGUGUGUGUGUGGGGGGGCAGUGUGUGAAUGUGUAUGGUGUGUGUGUGGGGUGGCAGUGUGUGAAUGUGUAUGGUGUGUGUGGGCAGUGUGUGUAUGGGGCUAGAGUUCACUCCUACUACUGAGACCACCAGGAAGUGGUGAGAGUGAACUCUAGCCCGUAGCUCCAGGGCUAGAGUUCACCCUCGUGAGAGCCGGAGUGUUGCCCCGGGUCCUCUCUUUCUCCCCCUCACUGCUCCUCUGUGUCAAUGUCUCCCCUCUCCUUCCCAGUCUCUCUCUUCCCCCUCUGCCCCUUUCUUCCCCUCCCCUUGUGUGUCUCUCUCAUUUCUCCCUCUUUGGUUCUCUUCCCUCUGCUCUCUUCUUUCACCCCCUNNNNNNNNNNNNNNNNNNNNNNNNNNNNNNNNNNNNNNNNNNNNNNNNNNNNNNNNNNNNNNNNNNNNNNNNNNNNNNNNNNNNNNNNNNNNNNNNNNNNCAAAACCUAAAUCCCAACUGUACCAUGUGCUGUUAAUACUAUGUUAUAAAGUGAUAAUAUUUCUAGUACAUCAUGCAGAUAAUAAAAUUAUGAAAAAAACAAAAAAAAAACUUUCUCAAGCUGCCGUGAAUUAAUUUUUUCAAGAACAUUGUUUAUUAUACAAGUUUCACAAAAUAAAUAGGACGCAAGGCAUACAUUGAAAAUGCAGUAAACACAAUUGUACUUUACAGCACAUCUGUUCAUUCCGAUAGUUUAUUUGGCAAGUUCAACCCAUUUUUUUUUUUGGAUCUGCCGUCUGCCCAAAGUUUGUAUUUGCGGUUAAAUAAGGGCCGAGGUUGUCAGUCUUUAUUGAAAAUGCACAACAUUUUUUUGAGACCUUGUAGAAGGCGAAUUGAGCACAAUUUUAGCUUCAUCAAUCUUCCUUGUCUUUAGAGACCAACGCGUUUCAAUUCAAUUUCAUCUGGCUGCCGGUGGCAGUACAAAGCAAUGACAUAGCCCAGACAAUAGCUCAGUGUCACGGCCGUACGGCACAGUUCACCUCUAGCUUCUAAAACACGGGUCAGAACAACAUCUAGACAGUGGACCGCCUGUAAAAUCCAAACUGGGGACUUAAUGUGGCUUAGAGCUAACUUUAUAUUAACCAGUAAACCCCAAGAAUGUUACUAUAAAAUUAUUUUCACUUUCCAAAUGCGUUUGUGCAUUAUUUAUUAUAUUAAUACCCAAAUUCUUGGCUGAGUAAAUAUGUUGUGUUUUUAUUUUGCUGCAAUUAUGUUUACUGGAAUGAAAAUAGAAAUAAGUAAUUUCUCAUUAGUGAAUCUCCUAAUUACAGCCUACACAGUUGCAUAGUGAUAAUAAAUAUGUGUAGAUCUAAUUUGAAAUGUAUUUAUAAUAUAUUAAAUAUAGUGGAAGCGUUAUUCGUACACUGGUUGUAAAAAUCUAUCCUCCCACUGCGUUCUGGUUAGAUGUUUCUUCAAGCUAUGUAGUCUUUUUCCAGUUAGGGCUUUAGAUAUUUUUCCUAUCAUUAAUUUUAUGCUAUUUUAACGUGUGAUUUAUUUCAUUUAUUGUUUUCGAAAAUUAGCUCUAAAGAUAACAUUAAAACAAAAGAUAAUGGAACAGUGAUUUUUUUCCUAUUUAAACAGGAUUUUGAAAGAGUAGCUGAUUAAAGUAUUAUACAGACAUUCCUCACUUACCGGCCGGGUUCCGUUCUUACGAUCCGGUCGUAAAAAGAAUUGGUCGGUAAGUGAGGAUGCGCUAGCGAGCAUGCGCAAGAGAGCAGGUCUACGUUCCGGGGAAUUCCCCGUGACCAGUUCACUAGCACAGGGAAUCCUGCAAAUAUAUGCUCGGGAAAACUUCCCCAAACAUAGGCCAGCUCUCUAAAGUAGGGAAUCCUUUAAAUGAGGACCACCUGUACUGUCAUUUGCAUUUUCAGACAGUCAGCUGAAUGCUAUAUAUGUAUAUAUAUAAUAUCAGAUUAAUCAAAAGGAUUUUGUUACAUAGCAAAAAUAGGCAUUAAAGGCAUUUUACUUUGUGAAAAAAAAACUGAAGUGAAUGAACAAAACAGUUAUUUACCAAACAUAGUCUAGAUUGCAACUUUAGUAAAAGCUUAGCAAAAAUGAUUUCCGUCUGAUUGAUUUGCACUGAAUUAACAUGUCUUAUUUGAUACAAUAUGUGUGGUUUAAAAUCAACAAUUCACACAUAUAACGUAUAGUUAUCAAAUUAUGGAUCUCGCUUAGCGAGGGUAAGUACAAGUGGGGGGGCCACUGAUAGGACCUCCCCAUCUUUAUAAUAAUUCCCCAUAUCCCACUACUAGGAGCUCUUUUUUGUCAAUAUGUAGCAAAUGGGCAAAGCUUAAACAAUGUUUUUUCCAGUUGCCAAGCUAAUUUACCCACAAUCCUUCCAUUAAAUAAAUCUCACAAAUGGCAGACAGCAGCGAGAGGAGAACAAAACGGUGGCAGCCAGGUUAGACGAGGGGUUAUAAUAAUUUCAAAUCCUUUGCUACACUCACCAAGGGUUAAUUUCCAGGACUAAAUUUUCACAUGUCAGUGGUUAGGGUAAAUGUUGAGCCCUGUUCUAAUCCUUGUGAAAUGAAGAGGAAAACUGAAAGAAAAAGGCAAACUGUCGCUUUAAUUCAGUGUAUACACUUUCAGUUUGGAAGCUGCCUUGAUAAAUUGUUGAUAAACUUUGUGAAUAAUGCUCAGAUUUUUGUGUUGGGGAUUCAGAGUUUUGUGAAUAUAUCUGAUAAUUUGUUUGAAAUAUAAACAGAUAAAAAAAAAAAUGCAUGCAUAUUGUUCUGACUGCUGGCAAUCAUCCUUAUACUUUGUUUAUUUUGUGUUUUUCAGAGUUUUUAAGAAGGCAAGCCCUAAUGGGAAGGUAAGCAAAGAAUUUGUCACAUAUUUUGUCAAUUGCUGGACUUUACUUAGAAAAGUGUAAACAAAUCACACAUAUUUAGGAACCCAGUGAUACAUACAGUACUUCACUUUAG
rnacentral:lncRNA from 1 species